CAUAUAUAUAUAUAUAUAUAUAUAUAUAUAUAUAUAAAAUUGAGUUAGAAUACUUUUAGAAGUACCAACCCCUUGGUGCUUCUAGAUUUCUAGCCCUUGGAUCUACUUCUUGAUUACUAAUAGCCUUUGGAUCAAACACUAUUUGUAACGACCCAGCCCACUAGCAACAAUAACUCGUUGGGCCCAACCACCGGCCCAAAAUGCUUAAGCCCAGUUAUUAUUACUAGUGUCGAAGUCUCUUAUAAAACCAAUGACAACCCCAUUCCCAUCCAAUGUGGGAUUAUUGGGGUGUGACUCCCCCUGUUAAGGCCCUGACGUCCUCAUCAGUCCAAAAAUACACAACCCAAGAUCACCAGGCGAUGUGAGACUCGUCUCGCUAGCCCGUCAUCCAGAACCUGGCUCAGCCGAGACUCGCCACACAUGUCCAGCUGGUGAACCGGCUCUGAUACCAAAUGAAACGACCCAGCCCACUAGCAAUAAUAACUCAUUGGGCCCAACCACUGGCCCAAAAUGCUUAAGCCCAGUUAUUAUUACUAGUGUCUAAGUCUUUUAUAAACCCAAUGACAACCCCAUUCCCAUCCGAUGUGGGAUUAUUGGGGUGUCACACUAUUCCACCUACCACCACCUACCACCAUCAUCUCAACCUUACAUCUCUCCAUCCAAUAGUUAAAAACUCAAAAGCACCACCUUCAUGGUACUUUUGAGAGUAUUCUAGCUCAACUAUAUAUAUAUAUAUAUAGAGAGAGAGAGAGNGUAAGGAGCUAAGGUCUAGCUAAAAGGUGGCAGCAGAAUUUAAGAAUCAUUUGAAAUUGGUAUCAAAAGUAAAUCAUAUAUAUCCAACUGCGUACAUAUUUAACUAGCUUGGAAAAGUGUUGUUUGGAAAAGUGUUGUAACCUGCUCUGAAGUUUUAGAUGAUCCAAAAAAAAUCGAAAUGUAAAGAUAUAUAUGUUCCGCAAUUUUCAUGAUUAUACAUGCUACUGUAAAGAUACUCGGAAAAGUUGUAGAAUUUGAAUACCCAUAUCAGAUCCGAAUCAGGCUGAUUGAAUAUUGUGAAUUAAAGUUUUCAUGCUAUGUUCAUAACCAAGGCCUGCUAAUAUAUAAUUGAUUUUGGACUUGCAGAAGCUCGGACACAAUGGAAAAUGUCAGUCUCAAACAAAUUGAACCCAUGCGGAUCCAUCGUUUCAUAUGCGGUAAUGCUAAAUCUAUUUCAUAUCCAACGAAGUAUCAACUCGCCCAUUCCAAUUCACAUCCUACAUAGAAGCCCAUAACAAUUUCUUAAUCCUCAAUUCACUUCCUAAAGAUUCUCGGAAAGUAAGUUCUAAUAUUAUCUUACUCCCAAUUUAAUUUCACAACAAAAUUUGCAUAAAGAAUCCACGCAAGGCAUCAUUAAACCGUAAUCAAAAGGAAAAAAAAGCUUAAAAUCUACUAGGGCUUUAAAGAUUGCACUGCCCAAGAGGCCAAUUAACACAGCAAACUUCUUAAAUUUUUGCACGAGAAUCAUCAGCACAAGCCAACGUGAACUCCAUAAAUAAAUUUAGUAAUCUCUACCACACAACUGUAUCAGGAAAACCCCAAUCUAACAAAUCAAAAAAAAAAAAAAAAAAGAAGCAAAAUAAAGGGGGAAAAACAUGAAAACAGCAGAAUCAAUAAAAGGUAAUCGAUGUCAUACCUUGCAAGAAGAGGGAGGUCGUCGGAGCGCCGCCACCGACGCCGCCGCCGGCGCCGCCGCGCUCGUGGAGGAGGAGGCCGAGGGCGACGCCGGCGGCGGCGGAUCUCCUUGAAGCACGCGGGGCCGAGAAGAUCGGGGGCGAAAGCGAGGGCGAUUUGGGGAGAAGGGGGAGAGCUCGAGCUCGGAUGGGGGAACAGGGGAGGGAGAUCGGAGAGAGGGGAAGGGGAGAGAGAGAAAUAAACACCAAAUAUUGCAAAGGCGAGGAAAUGAAACACCAAAAGAUUAUGGAUCCAAAGUUCUAUAAUAAAGUAAGUACAUAUUGGUGGAUCUAAUGCUCAAAUUUAUUUCUCUUUUUGUCUUCUAGUAAAGCUGCUUUCAUCAUUUGAUUAAUAAAAAAACUUAAAAAAGGUGAAGGGCCUUAAACUUAAUUCUUCCGAUACUCCAAUAUAUCUAUGUAGUACAUAUAUUUACCAUAAUUCAUACUCAAAGUUAUCACCUUUAACACAUAGAAGCAAAAGGGGUAGUUCAGUAUCAUGCAACAAAGUAAUACUGAUCAAUAGUUUUAUCAUUUUUAUUUGUGAUCAUCUAAAUAAUGGAGAAUAAUAUAAAGUGUGUGUUAUUUUAGAGAAAUUCAAAAAAAUCAAAUAAUAAUUUAUUGUUUUUUUCCUAUUUUCUUGCUUACCACCUAUCAUUAGAGAUAUAUAUAGCUGAAAAAGUUUAUAACUUGAGAAGAGAGAAACAAGUUAGUUUAGAAAUGUUAAAUAUAUUAUUUCUAAACUUAUUGUAUAUUAUAUUAAUCUUUUAGAUAAUAUGCUAUCAAAUUCAAGUCAAAGAUCCUGCAAUUUAUGUGUAUUCUUAUUUUUUAUCUCAUAUAUCAGUUUCAUAUACUUUUCAAAUUCAUUAUGCAGGACAGGUACUUUUUUAAUCUAUCAGUAAGAUUUACUUUUGGGUAACAAGGAAAAUAUUUUAUGUAUUUGAUCCUUAAAUGAAACUUAAUCUAUAAGUUAAUCCCUUGACAAAAUACUUUUGCAAAAUUUCAUACUUUUUUUAAAGGGGCAAUUUCAUCACUAGCCCUCUUAAGCAUGGAAAUAUCACAAAUACCCCUAUAAAAUUAAAAAUAUCAUAUAUACCCCUUCAAAUGUAGAAAAUUAUCACAAUUACCCUUUCUUCUAACUGACGUUACGAUUAAAUUAUAAAAUGACUAAUUUACCCCUUAAAAAGUUGGUUGGGUUGUUCUUUUAAUAACAAAUAAUAAAGGAGUAAUUUCAUGAAUACCCUUCUAACUUUUAAAAAUAACAUUUCUAACACUAAUUAUUGGUGGAUAAAAUAUGUGGAAACCCCUCACCUGUCACGCCCCGUGAUGGCCAAUUUGGUCGGUUCGGGCUCGCACACAGACGCUGAACGAACAGAACCUCCCAUGUUUGCUCAAGGCUCAACAAUAACUAUCAAACAUGUAUAAGAAAAUGUUCAGAAAAAAUUUCAAUAUACAUGAGUUACACGAGGGUAAGCAGCACAAGCGAGUGAAAGUAAACUAACUAAACCAUUCAUACAUUGUAUCUUGAUUACUUUAAAUCAAAUAUACAGAUUGCAUUGUUAUUACAUACAUAUAUUUUUAACAUUUACAAUUGCCAUCUCUCAAAUAAAUAAUUUACAUUUGCUUUCAUCAACUACAAGAUGAAAUAUACAAGAUAUAUAUCUAUACUCAAUGGAUGUCGCUAUCUAUAGCGCGCUGUUCCUAUCACGAUCCUCGACCACCCCGCACGAGCUAGAACCUGUAUGGUUAGUGGGGUGAGAACUACUGAAAGUUCCCAGUGGGUUCGGCCGCCGACCUCGCCGACUCACCCACUAGGUUUACUCAGGUAUAUAUAGGCAAGAAAAGGAACAGAUAGUAACCAACUAUAACAUGUAUCUACUACAAUGCAUGUACAAAGCUGAAUAGAAUAAUAUAUAACUCAUGGAGUUUAUGCAUGCUGCUACUAAUACCAAUACCAUUAUCCAAUCAACUUAGUUAACCCCUGUGGUUAACUACAACUCACCAACUAAAUCCCUUUUCAUCGGGGAGAAUUCCGCUACCAACCCGACAGGACCGUCUACUGGGGAGAACUCCGCUUACCAACCCAGUUGAUGACAACUCCGGAGCAUAUCGUCCAAGGAGGAACGACCUCUACCUCGAGCAUUAGACUAAUGUGAGUAUAAUUCAAUCCUCAUCUAGAGAAUACCAUGACAAUGCCACACUUAACUAGCUCUUUAUGCUAGGUUUACAUGUCCCAUUCUAGAUGCUAAUCAAUUCAUCUAGUUCUAAUGCCACAAACAGUACAAGUCCAUUUUCCUUAUUUGACAUUCACAAUACUUGAUACUAUUCAUACAAUCUAUUCACAAUGUCACUUUGUCAACUAUUUCAUAGUCCGACACAAGUUCAUACAUCUAUAGGAUUCUAUGUUUACUAGUCAUUAUCCACAUGCAUUUUGCUUCCAAAGUAUAUAAUUAGAACACAUAUAACACUUAACCAUAUAACAAUCACAACCCUAUCAUGUAUGAAUAUCAACUAAACAUGUAUAAUCCAUGUAUGCUCAAGAAAAGUGAUAUAAACAUAAUAGGCUCAUCAGAACGUCGAUUCGAGCUUUCCAACGCGUCAGUUUUAUUCUCAAUUAGGAUUCUACGCGAUCAUUUUCAAGCUAAGUCUCCAAUCCUACAAAAUAGCAUUUUCGAGCAUUAGCUCUACAUAGCCUAUUACUAUAUAAAUUCUAUAAGAACACAUAACGUAAUUCAAUUUUUACUAACCCAAGUCUACAUAUAUGCUGUUAACAUAGUAUAGUUUCUAGUAUUAUAUAGCAUCUAUAAGUUUUAGCCUCUAAUAGAUGCACAUUCCAGCCAUAACUAUGCUCCUACAACUCCACUUUUAACUAACAGUUCAUAUAUAUAUAUAUAUAGGAUAAAUUGCAUUGUUACCCCCUGAACUUUUGGCGAAGUUUCACUUUACCCCUCGAACUUCUAAAAUGGACAUCUAACCCUCUAAACUCUAAUAUUUCGUUCAUGUUACCCCUUCCGUCAGUUUUCCGUCAAGCUCCGUUAACCGGAAAUUGAUGGAAGGGGUAAAACGAAUGAAAUAUUAGAGUUUAGCGUGUUAGAUGUCUAUUUUAGGAGCCUGGGGGAUUAAGUGCAACUCGCCAAAAGUUUAGGGGGUAACAGUACAAUUUACUCCGUAAGGGACUCUUGACUAUAAAUUAUUUUAUUAUAAUAUAUUACUUAUGGAUUAACUACUAAUCCUCAUGUUAGUGAUCAUGCUUGAUUUUGAAUUUAUCUAUAUUUUUAAUCCUAAAAUAAAUUAUACCGUUAAAUACUCUAGAUCAUGCUUGAGGAUCCUAAAAUCCUCAAGUUGAGAGGAUGUAUAUAUAUAUAGAGAGAGUCAGGCUACUAUACUCUUAUGAGUGUGAUCGCCUUCGUACUCAUAAGUUGUUUUCAAUAAUAAAACUUCCGAAUCGACGAUUCAUACCGUUAAAUAUUAUCUAGAAUAUUUAAAAACAUCAAGAAAUCAAAUUUUAUAAUUUUUUUAUAUCAUUUCGAUCAAAAGAUCUAAAAAUUGACAAUUUUUAAUGGUCGGUAUGGAAUACUUGCUAUUUUAAUGGUGUAAAAAAAUCGGAAUCAAUUGAAUUUUUGAUAGAAAAUUUUAUUCACUAUCAAAAUAAAGAUCAAUAUAGAGAUUUUGACAGUUCAUUUUAUGCCCACUUGAUGGACGUUAUUAUGAUUUCAAAAAAUUACAAAAUUUAUUUUUUAAAAGUUUCAAAUACUCUAGAUCAUAUUUAACAGAGUGGAUCGUCGAUUCGGAAGCUCCAUUAUCGAAAACAACUUAUGAGUACAUAGGGCUCUAUACUUAUCAAAAUAUUGUAGCCCUAUAUAUAUAUAUAUAUAUAUAUAUAUAUAUAUACAUAUAGAGAGAGAGAGAGAGUCUAGCUAUGGUGCUUGUAAAAGCACCAUGCACUUGGUGCUUGUAAGUUUUUUACCGUUAGAUCUACUCCUCGAAUAAUUUUCAACUAUUAGAUUAUACUAUUCAACCAACCAUCCAUUCAAUCUUAGGGGGCCCACAUCAUCCUAACCGCUUAUCUCUUAAUCUAAAGGCUAAAAACUUACAAGCACCAAUGUCUUGGUACUUUUAAAAGCAUAGGAGCUCAAUUCUACAUAUAUAUAUAUAUAUAUAGUUGAGCUAGAAUACUCUCAAUAGUAAACGGAGCAUUUUACUAUCGGGUUGUUUUCGAUGAUAGAGCUUCUAAAUUGACGAUCGGCUCCGUUAAAUAUGAUCUAAACCAUUUAAACUAUCUAGAAAUCAAAUUUCACGCACUUCGAUAUUGUUCUUUUAUCCAUCUAGUGAACAGAAAAUGAAUGGUUGAAAUAAAUAUUCUUUAAAAAAUGAUGAUAGGAGUCUUGUAAUCAAGAUCAAGAGUAUGAUCUGUUUUAAAUAGUUUAAAGAAUUUUCUAACAAAAAUUCAAUUGAUUUGGAUAUCUUUACACCGUUAAACGAGAAAAACGUCUCUUAUCCACCAUUAAAAUACAAAUUUUGAAACCCUUUGAUCAUUAGGCAAAUGAUGUCGAAAAGAUUUGAAAUUUGAUUUCUAAACACUUUAAGUAGUAUAGAUCAUGUUCACACGGAGCCGAUCGUCAAUUUGGAAGCUCUAUCAUUGAAAACAACUCGAUAGUAAAUGCCCCGUCUACUAUCGGAGAUUUCUAGCUCAACUCUAUAUAUAUAUAUAUAUAUAUAUAUAUGUAGAAUUGAGCUUCUACGCUCUUUAAAAGUACCAAGACAUUGGUGCUUGUAAGUUUUUUGCCUUUAGAUUAAGAGAUAAGCGGUUAGGAUGAUGUGGGCCCCUAGGGUUGAGUGGGUGGUUGUAGAAUAGUAAAAUCUAACGGGUGUAAUGAUCAACAGUGCUGAUCUAACGGUUAAAAACUACAAGCACAAAGUGAUUGUGCUUUUACACACCAUAGCCGGACUCUUCUCUCUAUUAUAUAUAUAUAAUAUAUUAUAUAUAUAUAUAUAUAUAUAUAUAUAUAUAUGUCCGGCUGGGGGUACUAAUCAAUAGCUCCAAGGAUUUGGUGCUAUCGAGUUUUCCACCGUUAGAUUUACCCUCUCAUAAUUUUACCCGUUAGAUAUAUACUAUUCAACCAACCACCCACUCAACCCUAGAGGCCCACAUCAUUCCUAACCACCCAUUUCUCAAUCUAAGGGCUAAAAAAUCAAUAACACCAAUAGUUUGGUGCUAUUGAUAGUAUUCCAGCCUAGUUCUAUAUAUAUAUAUAUAUAAUGAGUCCGCGCUGGGAUACUAUCGAUAGCACGAAGCAUUUAGUGCUAUCAAGUUUUCUUCGUUAGAUUUACCUUUUUAUUAUUUUCAUCCGUUCGAUAUAUACUAUUCAACUAACCACCUACUCAACUCUAGGGGGCCACAUCAUUCUAACCGCACAUUUUAAUCAAAGGCAGAAAACUUAAUAGCACCAAGUCAUUGGUGCUAUUAAUAGUAUUCUAGCCUAGUUCUAUAUAUAUAUAAUAUAUUAUAUAUAUAUAGAGUCGGCUACUAUGCUAUUAAUAGCACGAAGCACUUGGUGCUACCAAGUUUUCCGCCGUUGAAUCUACCCUUUUGAUCAUUUUUCACCCGUUAGAUUCAUACUAUUCAACCAACCACGCCACUCAACCCUAGGGGCGCCACAUCAUCUUAACCACACAUCUUUUAAUCCAAAUGGCCAAAAACUUGGUAGCACCAAUGACUUGGUGCUAUUAAUAGUAUAUUAGCCUAGUUCUAUAUAUAUAUAUAUAUAUAAUAUAUAUAUAUAUAUAUAUAUAUAUAAUUAUAUUAUUAUAUCAUAUAUAUAUAUAGGGUCCGGCUACUAUACUAUUAUGAGUACGAUCGCCCUCGUACUCAUAAGUUGUUUUCGACAAUAGAGCUUCCGAAUUGACGAUCCACACCGUUGAACGUUAUUUACAGCAUUUAAAACUUCUAGAAAUCAAAUUUUAUAAUUUUUCGACAUCAUUUAUCUUACGAUCAAGAGGUCACAAAUUUGACAAUUUUUAAUGGCCGGUAUAGAAUACUUGCUAGUUUAACGGUGUAAAAGAAUCAGAAUUUGUUGAUUUUUGAUAGAAAAUUCUAUUCACUACAUAGAUAAAAAUCAAUAACUCCGAUCUUGAAUUGAAGGAUCCGAUCAUCCUUUCCUAGGACGUCGUUCGAUUUGACCGUUCAUUUUAUGCCCACUCGGUGGACUUUAUUAUGAUUUCGAAAAUUUACGAAAUUUAUUUUUUAGAAGUUUCAAAUACUCUAGAUCAUAUUUAACGGAGUAGAUCGUCGAUUCGGAAACUCUAUCAUUGAAAAUAACUUAUGAGUACGAGGGCUUAUAUAUAUAUAUAUAAAAUUCAAAGUUAAGAUCAUGCUGAAGUGGACUAAUAGUUGAGAGGGUCUUCAUACAAUGUUACUUUUUUUGUUGACAAUAAAUGUUUAAUUAGAAAACUGUUCCUUGAGCAGGUUAUAUGAAAAAUACUCUAAUAUCAAGAAUUUUGAUAUCAAAAUAUUUUUAAUGUGACUUAUGUGAGUUAUUUAAAUAAAAUUCAAAAAAAAAUCUUGAAAUAAUUAAUGUUGAAUACUACAAUGGACAAUUGCAUUACAACUAUUAUAUAAUUUAAAAGCGAAAAAUCAUAACAAGAUUUAAUUAUUACACUUAAUAGACUGUAGAUCUUUAAUUGUAAAAUUUUAAAGAGAAUGUUGAAUUGUUAUGUGAUUGAAAGGUUAAGAAUUAAUCAUAUAAUUAAUCUUAAAUUAUUACACUUAGUUAAAUUAGUAAUAAGGGUAAAAUUGGUAUUUAUAGAAUUUUAGAUGACUUUUUAACGGAAUGUUUGUCUUAAGGGUAUUUGUGAAUAUUUUUGCUUUUUAGAGGGAUAUUGUUGAUAUUUUCUAAUUUAGAUGGGCAUUUAUGAAAUUACUGUUUCCUAGAGGGGUAUUGAUGAAAUUAUCAUGCAAGGGGCACAUGUGAGUGUUCAAUUUUCUCUAUUUAAAUAUAUGGUUAAUUGCACACAUGUCCCUGCAAAUAUAGUAAAUUAUAAAUAUAUUCCUACAAAGUUCAACUUUCAUAUAUUGUCUAUAUAAAAGUCAUAAUAUUUUCAAAUAUUUCCUUAUUGUUAGAAUCAGUUAGAAAAAUUUAGUUAACAAAGUUAAAUACUUAACCCUAGUUAGUUUAUAAGAUAAAUUGAUAUUUUUACACCUCUUAUAUUAUACUGUUGUGGUACGUGGGUUCUUAAAAAAAUUUUAAGUUUCGAUCAUUUUAGACCAAUUACAACGAAAUUACUUUUUAGUGGCAAUUUAAUAACGGCGAUAAUCAAACGGCCACUAUUAUUAUUAUCUUAUUGUACUUUAGUAGCAAUUAUUUCAAAAUAUAUAUUUUUAACGGACUAAUAUUUAUAUAUUAAAUAUAAUCCUAGCCCAACCUCAACCCCAGCCGAACCCACCCCACUUCUCUCUAUCGCGAGCGGAUCAACCUCUCUCUCUUUAUCGCGAGCGCGCGGACCAACCCCACCCCCGCCCCCCCUCUUUCCCCCCUCCCCCCUCCUCUCUCGAUCCAAGCUGCGUCGCCCUUAUUGCGAGUUCUCUAAGCUCGGAUCCCUAUCGGCAGUGGCGGCGGCGGCGGCGGCGUCGUCUCCGGCGGAGGAGCUCUCGGCGGCGGAGGAGUGGCAUUACAGGCUGAGUGUAAUGUACUAGCUGUCUAUCGCGGAUCCGAGGUAACGUAACCGAGGUUAGAAGAGGUCAGGGAAUAGAGAGGAAAUGGGAUGGAGGUAGACUAAGAGUUGGGGAAGAUAGGGUUAGGGAAAAUAGAGGUGAGUAGAGAGUAGAAGAGAAGAAAAAUUGGGGAAGAAGAGUUUAGAGAGUUGGGGGAGAAGAAAGAACUUCAAUAAUUUUCCAUUCAUUGAUAUCCUGUUUACAUGAUAAUAUGGUAUUUAUACUACUUAGUAAAUUGAACUGGAAUGAAAAACACCUAGUCUACGAGGGCUAAACUGUAAUUUGUCAAAAUGGGGGUGGGGGAAUGGGGAAAUGGGGGACGGGUUGAAUUCGGAUGCCUUGUGGGCCUCGGGUGGGCCUUCCCGGUCCAGGAUGUUGGUUAUCGGGCAAGCGGGCGUCGGUUCCGCCCUUCUCCGCACUAUCCGCAACCCGGCGGGUACUGGGCUCGACAUUUUCCCCCGAUCCGCCUACUACUUCUCCUUCGCCCCCAAUUGCGUAGAUCGCGGUCCUCCCAUCUUCCCUCUGUACGCCGACGAUGCCCUAAUCCUCGUCGCUCGCCGGAAUUUCGCCGGAACCAGAACCUGGAGAAGAGCCGCAUCACAGGCAUCACGAAGCACCUGGAGAAGAACCAGAACCCUAGCUGGCACCAGGUGUUCGCCUUCUCCAAGGACUGCAUCCAGGCGAACUUCGUGGGCCGCAUCGUCUUCGACCUCACCGACGUGCCCCUCGCCCCGCAGUGGUACAAGCUCGAGGACAAGAAGGGCGACAAGCUCUCCUCCGGCGUCGGCGGCGGCGAGCUCAUGCUCGCCGUGUGGAUCGGCACCCAAGCCGACGAGGCCUUCCCCGACGCCUGGCACUCCGUCUCCCUCGACGUCCUUGCCGUCGGUUCACCCCGCCGAGCUCGCUCCCUCACCAAUCUGCUGCUGCCACUUAUUUCACCCCUACCUCGUAAAGUUGCUACCUUUACUACUCCUUUUAACUACUCUGCUCCUUUAUUCUUCAGGUUGUUACACUGAGGAAGCUCUCGGCGGCGGCAUCUAGGGUUCCGGCGGAGCCGCGACGACCGCGCCGUGUGGCUCGCCGAGAAUCCCCUCUAGCACGCCCAGCUCUCCCUCAACGUCACCGAUCUCUACAUCAGGUCCCCAUCCUUUGAUUUGUAGUGGUUGGAAUUUUAAUUUUGAACCUUUGAUUUGUUUGUGGAUUUUAAUGAAAAUUAGUGCUUCUUCAAAUUGCUUUAUUCAUAGUGGCCCUUACCUCAAUUAUAGGUAUUUACAUGAUGAGUUAAUUGAACUCCCAAGCAAGGAUUUAAGUGCCGUGACACGGUGUCGUGCCAGAAACCUGCCGGUACGGUAUGGACGGUGCGUAUCGAGUCGUACGGUACGGUACGGGACGGUGCGUAUCGAGUCGUGCCGAUACGUGUGCCGAUACGUGCUAGUUAAAAAAAUUCUUGUGUGCCGAUACAUAAUAGCAUGAAAUAUUUAUUUCUUUAGCAACAAAACAUUCUAACUAUUUAUUAUGUCUUUUUAUCAUAUCUUUUAAAUUUUAUUGAGACAAUUACUUACUAAUUUAAAGAAUAGAGGGUUUUGAGCUGUGCCAUCGGCACGAGGUCUGUAUCGUGCCGGUAUCUUGUUGGCACGGUACGGCACGGUGGAUACGGCCCGUGCCGACGGGCACUUAAAAGUUAAAACCUUGCUCCCAAGGAAGUUUCUGAACAAAGGCACUAUUGGGUUCUUUGGGCAGAGUAAUUUAAGUUAUUAAUUGAAAGUCAUAACACAGCAAUGAGAACAAAGGCACUAUUCAAUCAGAACUUAGCUUGUGAAUUCCUUAUAUUGGGAUUACUUGUCUGGUUUCAGCAAUUCUUGUAGAUUUCCAACCACUGAUCGCGGUUUUUAAGUUGUUCCAUUAUUUCAAACUUUUCAUUUGUGAGAAUAAUAAUUAAAAGAUCAUAUUCCAUCUCACCAUGACUCAAAUGCGGCUUAUAACAAUUAAUGCAAAAUUACAGUAUUCCUAAAAAGUAGUAAACAAUCCGCUUCAUUCAUUUUUUUUAAACUAAACUCAGUUAAAUAUGUGAAAUAGUUAAACUUUGAAUUUAAAUUCUCGGAUACCAUCCAUCAAGUCUUUGCCAACUGUGCUACCUACCCGUAGGAGUUAGUAAAAGAGCAAUUGAGGAUUGGAAGAAAUUUAGGUUGUAAGAUAAUUGACCAAAUGUAAUGGAUGGUAACACUAUUUCUAAGUGACUUUUCAUUAGAUCGAUCUGUUACGUAACCCAGUAUCGAAAUCACUCCUAAACUCCUCGGAUUUCUAAGGUUGUGGAUUUUAAUCAUUGCAUGUUAUCUAUUUUGCUCGUGAGAACACAUUUUCUGCACUCUGAGCAAAAUGAGGUUGUAGGCAAACUCUGCUGGCGCUGUUUAUUUAACCUUCGUUUGGUACAUACAAUUCUGGAUCAUUUCUUAUGGGAGCCAAAACCUAAGAUCUCAUCUCACAUAUCAAUUUUAUGUAUCUUAUGCAUUUCGCAUUCUACAGGACAAACUUAUUUUGCACUCUUAAUUAGUUGAGGGUCAUCUUAAAAAGUGUUGUGACUAACAUGAGAGCAUCCUGAUUCAGAAAAAUUUAGGUGGUUAAGUUUGAUUUAGAUUGAGUCGGAAGUUCAAAGAUGUAUCUUCUAAUAUUAAUUCAGAUCGAGAAGAUUCUUAAUUUUAUUUGUUUGGAUCGAGAAGAACUAGUUAAAAUAUACGGACUGAGAAGAACUAGAUGAGGCCUGACAAUCGAACUUAAUAGUACCUACUAAGUUGGAAGUUCAAUACGAAUUUCGGGACGCUUGAGAUUGUUUAGACCUCCGAAAUCGUGAUCAAUGUUUGACUUUUUAUUCAUAAAAUGUUUGAUUGUGAAUAUCUUUUUAUCCGCAAGUAACUAGAAUUUUGCCUCAUAUUCAGUUUGAUAUACUCAAGAUGUUUUUUCAGAUAUGAUGUUAUCUGACUGACUUUCAUAAAAGAAAACUACGAAUUCUGAAAAGUAUCACUCUACUCUUUAUAGGAUUUUAGAUUCUGUUCUAUCUCACUAGUUGUAAAAUUAACUUUGGUCCUAUAAAUAUUACCUUGUGAUUUUUUAAUUAAUUAAUAAUUAGUGGCGUUUAAAUAAAAUUUAAUUUUUGCGUGUAUCUCUGUAAAGUUUUUCUUUCGUAGAGUCCUGGAUUGAUAUAUUACCAGUCACAAUUGGUCAGUGUGCCUGCUAGAUGGGUUUCCAAGACUUGCAUCAAUUAUUCUAGGGAAUGCAAAUCAUGAGAUAGUAGGAUAAUUAUGCGUUGCUUGGCAGAAAUGUUUGUUUAACUACACUAGUUAUGUCACGGCUAACUAUUUGUGGGGUCCUCACUAAGAUGUCUAAGAUCUAGUUUAAGAAUGAUUUGCUCAAACGCCCCUGCUUUAGUGCAUUAGAGGGCUAUAAAAACCUCAAAGUGGCUGCUGGAGAUUCCAACAAGUUGAUUCAGCAGUUCCCCGUGCUGCCCCGCGGGAAGUCUAAUUUCCACAAUAUGUCAUUCCAUAAUGAGUAAAAUGGUGGUUGAAACCACCACCGAAGAAAGAAGUCUUCAUACGGGCUCCUCCCGUGGUGGUCCGGGACCUGUGGUCCCUGUCACCACUUGAAGCAUCUGAAUAGGGAACCUCUAAAAUGCUUUCGAAAGUUUUUGGAGCCUUUGAGCAUCACGAGGAUUAUGUUCCGGCCACUCAUUCUGAAGCUGGGGCUAAAAGGGUCUAACUCUUAUUGCAUUUGCUCUCCAUUAUGACUAUCACUUAGUUUUACAUUUAAAAUUCACUUAAACAUUAGUUCUCUUUUUACCUCUUGCUGCUACAUUAUUGGUUUUUAUUUUAUUUUAUUUUAUUUUUUGUAGUGGGAUGAUUUGUUCGGAUCUCCAUUCCCAGCAAAUCCCGUGAAGGAACCUCAUGUCUCUUACCCCAAGAAACGGAAGGAUUCUUUGUCAGUCAGAGACAACGAUCAGUUUAUUUUACGUAAAAGAAGAAAAAAAUGGAGUUCAUUGGAAGAGGAGACCUUGAGAAAAUCUGUGGAAAGGUAUGCACAUGAUAUAUACCCUUCAAAAAUUUACUUCCUUAGUUCCUUAGAUAUAUGUACCUCUUACUGCGAAAAUAACCUUUCUCAGAGAGCAUUUUUAGGAGAAAACCACCUUUCUGCCAUGAAUUAGAUGACUCCCCUAUUUAAGAUUAGGGUAUGUCUUUUGAGAAACUGAAAUUUUGUGGGGUAGGUAUGUAUGAAAAUAUGUAUGUAAAUAAAUGAUGUUGUAUAUACACUAAAGACCCAAAAAAUAAUUUGACUGUCAACUAAUGCUCUGAGGAGGCAUAUUUUGAGAUUUCAGUGUCACACAAUUUCUUAAUGGAAGUUUCCACUUUCGAAGCUAUUUGGUAGCCUGCAAGUGCAAUUAUGUAUGGCUGCAAAUGCAGGUAGAAGAUGAGCUACUUCCUACUAUUUGCUUUUCUAGAUCAUUUAGGGAAUAGAUAGAGACAAUUUGGAGGUUGGGUAUUAGUUAGAACUUGCUGUAAUUACUAGCUUAAUUCUUGAGUGCAGAAUGGUCAUUGUUAGAUUUGAUUCUUGCAAGCUUCAGUGAGCCUUCAACUUUAGCCCAAGGUGUAACAUCCCUAAUCCCAGGCAUAUACUAGUCUUUCGGUAAGGCUCCAGUGUGCUGGGCUUCUUUUGUGAUCCUUCUUAACAGAUAUGCAUUGUCCAUAUGUCCUCAUUUUAGGGGUGAAAAUAGAUCAGAUGAUAAUCAUGAUAUCAAUCCAAUCAGACUCCUGAAUACGAGCUUUGUCGCACAUGGGUUUAGGUUUUCCUUAUCCAUCAUUGAAUCUGGAUGUAGUUAAUAGCAUCCCUAUCCAUAUCAAAAGAAGUUGCAACAAGAAGCUCAUUCAUUCGGUGCGGUGCCGGUGAACUUAGACUUACUGGAUAUCUGAACAUGUAAAACCAUUCAAUUGCACGGUCAAAACAUUUGUUUCCGCAUUUCAAAUGCACAGUUAAAACAUUUGUUUUCGCAUUUCAAUUGCACGGCCAAAGCAUUUGACAGUUGUACGUACCUCUGUUUCACUUUGUGUGUUCAAAUCAAAUCGGCAUAUUCUCCACCACAAUCAUUUAUUCAUCAUCCCAUAUGUACUUCGACUGUUGAUAACUUAGGUGGCCUUUUCUACUUAUGGAGAUGAUCUUACCAUACAGGACAAACUUGCUAAAUAAAAAAGGGUCUUAUUGAACCUAGUAACAUAAAUCCUUUUGUCCUAAUUUAGCACCAAAAUUUUCUAAAUAGACCAUUAUGUAGAACAAAACAGGUCCCUGCCACAUUUUGUGCACCUUAUUUUGCCCCAAAUUAUGAAAAUAUUACUCUUGGUGCCGCAGUGGUUUCACUUAAUUUAGCUAAAUUUAUUCUUUUUGCGAGUAGUUGCUUGGCUGUUCGGCGUGACUUUUAGGUAUUUUGACAAUUUGUGGAGCUGUUGCAAAUUAAUAUUUUAAAUAGAAAGUUUUUAACUCUUGCGCCCCUUAAAUAAGCACUUCCACAUCACCUCACGAGAAGCUCCAACUAGGUCAACCUCAUUCUAACGGGCUUUUCAGAAAAGGUAUUGGAGCCUGACAUUUUAGAAUCAUUCUUUAGGAAGAUAUUUGUUAGCCUAAAAACAAAUUUGUGGUAAACCAAGAUGUAGCGAUAAAUUGCUAGCGUCAUACGUUACCUGCUGUAUAUAUUUUUCUCGUUGAUUGACCAGAAAUUAUCAGCUUCUGGGUGCAGCCACUAUAAAUAGGCCUACUAGUGUAACAUGUAAGUAUUCUAGUGCAAUGGCUUAUUCAAUCUCUAUAUCACUAGUUCAUAUCAUUGCGUUUCUGUGGAUCCAAAUCAAAAGCACUAAAUCCCGAAAGUUUGUCACUUUGCUUCUUGAGCCAAGCUCAUGAAGAAACAUGGUUUUCUUUCAUGUUUUAGUCGGGACGGAAGGAGAUAGUUUUAGAUCUGGCAAAGUUUGUAGACAAGGGCGUCCAAGUGAAGCUAACUGGUGGGAGACAAUGUUUGUAUAAUGUAUUUAGAUGUAUUUCAUGUUGUACUGGCAUGUAGUUAUCCCACAAUAAGUUUUGACUUUUGUUACUCUUGCAAAUUUUUUUUAUGAUUUAGUAUUCACUGAUUGUUUUCUUUUCGUACUAUGUGAAAAGAGUACAAGUAUGUAGCUCGGUAUAUAUGUCAAUAACUGAUUAAUUGGCAAGGUAAUUAUGCCGUUAGAGAGAGAAAGCUCUUCACACCACAAAGUGAUAUAAUACCUCUAUUCCUUGUGUUACAAAAUGAACUUUGGUUUUGGACAUAGCUGUGUGAAAAGACAACGGUUUGGAAUUUUGCAUGUGUGUUCUUAUAUGUGUUUUCCUUAGAAGACCAAUAAUCAAUGAUUGUUGUGCCACUCAGGAUGGUAUGCACAUGCCGACCAUGGCAACUAUGCCGAUAUGAUUGUGUCAUGUGCUGAUGUGUAACAACAUGGUAAAAGCCUAGAUAGUGGUCCAUAUUGAUCGUGCCGGCAUAUUGACACAGAAUAGUGUUGUAACAUGUCAUGUUGACUAACGGUCGGCACAAUCUCAUUCUGAGACGCUUAAAAGCUUGGUAGUACUGAUAAUUUGGCAUGAUGGUUUUGAUUUUGGGAGAAUUCUAGAGUGAGCUCUCUCUCUCUCUCUCUGUUGAUUUGCUUGCCUCCCUGUUUUCCCUUCCGAAACUUGCCUUUCCCAUUUUGCUCAAAUAUCACAUGAAAUAUAAAAUAUCAGUAAUUUACCAUGGUUUGAGGUUUUGGCUUCAGCCAAGGCCUAAGAAUAUCAGCUCUGGCAGUUAUAGUUGUUUCAGAUUGGGUUCAGCAAUUUUGGUCAGAAAAGUCUAUGAAACAAAGAGAUCACUGAAACUGAGGGAGAACAAAUAAAAGGGAGAAAGUUAAAGCUACUGCCGAAUUUCAAUGCAUUUGGAGGUAUACGUAAGUCAUUUUGAUACUUCGGAUAGCCUGAUAGUUAUACUAUAUUUUCGAAGAAGAAUACCAAUGUUGCUGGUGACCAGUCUAAUAAUUGUGAUCAUUGUGUAAAAAUAAUUGAUAAAGCUUGUUGAUUUGGAACUUAUUAGUACUGCUUACAUCUUGCAAAGCCUUUCAAUAAUGUGUUACUGUGUAAAAUUUUUGACUUAUAAUGGUUUUCUGACCAUUUGUUUAUCUUGCAGUCACAGGAACUUUGAAAGGUUAUGAUCGGCUACUAAACCUGGUACUUGAUAAAGCAAUAGAAUUUCUAAGAGGUUGUUAAAUGUAUUAUGUCAUGACAUUUAGUUGUAAAGCAUACCUAAUUUGUGCCUUCUUUUAACUGCUACUACUACAGAAUACUUGUUAUUCGAUUGUCCCUGUGCAAUGCACAGAAAAACCUAUAGGGCGCGUUUGGUUCGCACUAUGAAAGAUUAUUAGGAAUAAAAAGAUAUCCGAAAAUCUUAUUCCUAUUCAUCCUAUUACUAAGAAUAUGACAUUCCUGUGUUUGGUUCGUACGGUCAUAUUAUUUAUUAAUGUUAUUUAAGAUUACAAAAAAUAUACAAAUAAUUUAUUUAUUUCUUUAAUUAAUUUUAGAUAAUGCUAUCAAAAAUUUCAACAUUUUUUUUUUUAAAAAAAGUAGAGAGAACAUAGGUUAGAGAGAGAGCAUAAUUAAAGAAAUAGGAAGAGAAAUAGAGUCGGAGUUAGAGAGAAUGAGAGAGUUGAAAUUUUAGAAAAAGAGGGAGAGAGAGAGCUUAGUUUAGAGAGAAAAAUAAUUGAAGUUUGGAGAGAAAAAGAUAAGUUUAGAGAGAGAUAUGAGGUUAGAGUAUAAAGAAAAAUAAUACUAACUAGCCGGCGGGUAGGGAGAAAGAAAGAAAACAUAUUAUGAUUAUUCCGAUCCAUUAAUAUGAGGAUAUCCACCCUCUCUCAAAAGAAUGAGAUUAGUACUUUGGGAUGAAUCUCAUUCCCAAGUAAAUAUAAUAUUACCAACUAGAUUACUUAGUGCGUUUAGCCAAGUACCGCCAUAGUUUUUUAUUCCUAUUGAAUUACUAGGAAUCUUAAAAAGAUGGCGCAAACCAAACGCACCCAUAUAGUUAUAUAGUUGGUCCCUAUUUUAUGUUGGGCUAUCAUUUGAGGCAUUUUCUUGUAUAAUGUUAAUGAACGCCUCCGAAAGGGUUUAGAAUAAUCUGAAACAAAUUCAACAUGAAUCUCACUCUAUUCAACCUCUACUAAUUUAAAUGCUUCACUUUUGUAUAUUAUGAGUCUCAAAUUUUCUUAUUAUGCUACUGUUUCUAUCUAUUUUUGUAUAUGUAGUGCACCAUUCUCUUCAUAUUUUGUACUUGCAUGCCUGGAUAUGAAUUUAAUGGGCUUGCAUGGCUGCACCGUUCUUAAUUCAUGCUAAACAAAUUGCACUUCUGAUAGGGGCAUUAUCCUUCUAAAUUUUGAUCUGAAAAGUUGGCAAUAAGAAACAUCUUAUUUACGUAACUUUUGCAUCUAAGAGGUUGAACUCAACCUGAUAUAAUCUAAAAUUAAAUUAGCAAUCAGAUCUUGAUUGUAUUGGCUAACUUUUGCAUCCUAAUUAUACAAGAGAAUUAGUGAGCCCGUUUUUAAUUUAGAGAAAAAGGAAUUGCGACCAAUUAAGUAAUAUAUCUCCAAAGAAAAAACCCAUUAAAUUCAUUGCAUAUCACAGAUCUAACUGUUGGAAUGUUCUUGAUGUGAUUUGAUUGUGAGAUUGUUAAAAAAUUGGAAAAAGAAAUAGAAAUGAUGGAAUGACAUCAUGGGAAUGAGAUGAAGGUUAUGAAAGAAAAUCAAGCUAGAUUAGAUUCUAAAAUUGUACUGAUGAGGUCAAUCAUUAAUUGAAGGUUUCUGAAGAGAUACAAUCAUGUGGUUCUAGAUCCUAUGAGACUGAGAGUUUUUAUAUUUAUUAUAUCAUUAGCACAUUCAAAUUUAUCUGUAUAUCAUGGUGUUUUUUAUCUAUUUAUUUGAGAAAAUCGCUUUUUGUUUAUAAUUUCUAAAAUAUUUUUUUUCUAUUUCUAUUGUUUAUUUUGUAUAAGUAUAGAAGAUAUUGUUGUAAAUUGUGUUUGUUAUGUGAUUGUAAAAUAGGUUCUUGAUAAUUCGAGUACUCAUUACAAUAAAGUUGCAUAAAAUACGGGAUGCUCUAGUUCUUUUUUAUACGCCUCAAUCUAGUGACAUGGUAAUCUAGAGUUUUUUGUAAAUUCUAAAUAUAUUUUCUUAGCAUAUUUGUUACUAAUUUUUUAACCGUUUAUUCUCAUUUAUUUUUCUUGCAGAUUAUUCUUCUUAAGCCCAUGGAUCUUUUCUAUUGGAAUCUUCACUCUUUAAGGAUGAGUCUUCAUGAACUGUAGUUUGAACUUCUUUAUUGGAGCGCAUAGAACUUUUCUUUCGCCUAUAUAAUUUUUUAACUAUAUAUUAGUCUUCUUAUAAUUUGAAUUUUUUUUAGCUAUCUACUGUUUGAUUAACAUUUAUUUUGUGAUAAAAAUUGAUUUUGACAUUUAUUUGUACUCGCAACACUUUUGAGAAUGUAAUAGGUUUUUAUAUUCAGCUUAUUUGAUAUUCAUGAAAUAUUGGGUUUUUAAUUUUCUUUGUCUAUACAUUAUUUUUGAAAUUUUUAUAGUGAUUAAUUGAAUAUAUGAUUUUUAAUGAUAAUUUAAUAUUUUUUUAUAUUUAGUGACUAUUUAUCUUAUCUUUGUUGGCAUUUGUGAUUAAUAUUACAUAUUUUAUGGGCAAAUAUAUUUUGCUUUUAGUGGCUUUUAUAAUUGUUGGUAUAGAGUAAUUUUUAGUGGCAAUUAUUUUGCUUUUUAUCGGUCGCUAAUAUAAUCGCCGCUAGACUUUUACCAAUCCCAUAUAUAGUGACAAUUGCCAAUAAAGAGAGUAGCAGCGAUUAUAAUCGCCGCUAAUCUAUGAGAUAAUUGCCACUAAAAGACAAUUUUAUUAGUGUAAAAAAAAUCUGGCUGUGUCGUCCCGUGUCCCCUCGAAUACGUGAAACUGUGUCCGAUAUUUUUUUAUUUUUUAAAAAUAUGGUUCAUUUUCGUAUCGGAUGCGUAUUAGUAUCCAAUACGUAUCCGAUACGGAUAUAAUAUGAAAUUUAACGUAUCUGUCCUUCACAAUUUGAAUAAUUUUUCUGCUUGGCAGCACGACGAGAUAUGAGCAGAGAUGCAGGAUUACCAAAGCAUGCAUAUUUUACCUUUAUGGAAAAGCUUCUUCCUGUCACCCCAAAUUGAAUGACUGCCAAAAAGAAAAGUAACAUACUCUUAAACCAAAUCACUUGAAAAAACAAACACAUAAGAAUAGCUUUUCUUCCUCACCUACUCCCUGUUUACUGGAAAAUUUUUUUAAAAAAAACUAUAAAUUCUAACUAUAUCUUUUUUUAACUAAUGUUUUUAAGAAAUAAAACUUAUAAUCGAGUAAAUGUUCUUAUAAAAUAGUUUAUAUUUAUUUUCGUAUGUGCUACUUGUACUAUCCUAGUUGAGCCUACAGAAUUAAAAUACCAAAACGAUAAAAUAUUGAUAUAAUGAGAGUUGCAGUCCCACAUAGUAUAUAUUGGAGAAUCAUAAAAGUUCAGCUGCUGCCAUAAUAAUUCGAAAAAAUUAGAGUCAUCUGCAACAUAGUUAGUUAAUUCGGAUUCGGCAAAAAUUUGGUACAGGUAUAAUUCGGAUAAAAUUUGUCCUUUAAUUUUUAAAUUUGUUGAAAAUACGGCUAAAAAACGGAUUCGGCAAUUAUUUGGAUACAUGAUUUAUACGGAUGUUAUACGUUCAUCAAUUAAAAAUUCAGGAUAAAAAAUUUGGCUAUAUAAUAAAUAUAUAAUAAUUAAUAUACUAUAUAUAUUAUUAUUAUAAUUUUUAUAUAUAAAUUAAAUAUAUUUAAAAUUAUAAUAAACAUAUAUUAAUAAUAUAUAAGAGCAUAUAUUUAGAAAUAUUAAUAAAUAAUUACAAAUUUAUAAAUAAAAUAUUAUAUAAUAAUAUUUUCAUAUAAAAAUAAAAUAUUAUAUAUAAUAAAUAAAUAAAUAUAUAUAAUUUGCAAAUAAUUUGCGAAUUAAAUCGCCAUCAUCUGCAAUCUUCACGGGCUCUGCAAUCCUUCACGAGCCAUCCUUUACGGGCUAGUUUUUUCCAAAUAAUUUCCAAACAUGGAAACUGAAAAAGAAUAUAUAACAACGAAUGAAGUUACCAAAAUGGAAAGCAUCUUGUCACUCUCUCCAAAGUAUCGAUCACAUGGAAAACAACAGUAUCUUGUCACCCUCUCCAAUGCAUCGAUCACAUGGAAAACAACAGUAUCUUGUCACCCUCUCCAAUGUAUCGAUCACAUGGAAAACAGCAGUAGCUUUAAUCAUGUAAAUCGAUCACAUGGAAAAACAACCUUUAUAUAAUCCCCUUCCUCCUUGCUGCCUUCUUCAUCUUCGCACUCUCUUCCUUCCUCUUUGCUACCCUCCAUCUUCGCACUCUCUUCUAUGGGUGUCAUCCAGCCGGCAGAGGAUAGUCCCCUUCCUCCCUCUCGGUCACUCUCUUUUUCGCAUUCAUUGUGCCUAUUAAUGAGUUGAGAGAGUUUUUUUUUUUUUUUUGAAAAUCAAUUAGAUGGAACCCACCAAUGACGCCACGUGGGUGCCUGCCUACUUGCGGCGCCCAUCAGGGAACGGAGCUCACCUCUGGGCUCCCUUCCCGUGACUCCGAGCUAAUUUAAACCCGUUCAUAUAAAUAUAUAUUUUUUUAUCUUUUUGUUUUGUGAUGCCAUAAUUCAAAACUUUUAUUUUAGUAGUCAUUACUAUUUUUAAAUUUUGUUUUACAGGAUAACUAAAGAACUGAGGGUAAAGAUGGACAACUGGUACUAUUAAUUUGCAGCUCGUUUGCAUUUCACUUCACAUUUACUGCACUACAUAUUGCAUUACAUUACAUUACAUAUUAUAAAAGUAGAGUUGGGGCAAGCAUACAAAGAUAGGUGUCGCCCAACUAAAUGCACAAACCUGCACUAAAUUUAUUUUAUUUUUUUUUCAAUGAUUAAAUACUAUAAAAAAAAUAAAAUUCACUAUGUAUUUUUAUUCUUACUACAUUGAAAGAGAGUUGGUUGGUCACACUUGUUCCCCUAAUUCUCAACUUCCAAAUCUCCAUUAAAUAGGAGAAAUAUUGUAUGUGUACAAUCUACUAAUAAACUACAUAAACCGAGCAUAUUACUUAAUUUUAUUAAUAUUAUAAAAUUAAAAUCUAACUUGAUAAAUUCAAUCUAAAUCAUAUAAAAUAUCAAUGUCUAAAAAAAAUAAUAUCUAAACUUUUAUGAUAGAAUUUUAGAAUACGUUGGGGUCUAGAAAAAUUCAAAAAAUUUGUGUUUAAAAAGCUUGUGUUUAAAGAGAUUUUUCUAGAUUAUAGGAAUGGGAAAGGAAGAACUGAAGAACGGCAAUAGAGAACGAGGAAAGUUUUUUUUUGUUUUUUUUAUAUAAGAUAAAGUUUAGAUAGUAAAUAAAAAAAUUAGUGUUGUGAAAUUAAAAUCUAAUUUAAUAUAUAUGAUCUACAAAAUAUUAAAACUCUAUAUAUAAAAAUUAUAGACUUCAUAUUUUUAUAAUAAAAUUUUAGACAUUUACUGUACAAAAUUUAUUCAUAGACGGAUACGUAAAAUGAUUUCUUCCUACUAUUUUAUUUUUCUUUCUUUAUUGAUUUAUAUAAAUUAUAUUAUUAGAUCUCUCUACAAUCUUUUUCAUGUAGUCUCUAUAAAAUAAUGUAAUUACUAUAUAAUCUAUAGAAUAUAUAAAUUGACGAUUCGGUCAUACUGAAGAAAAGGUUUCUAAGAGAAACAGGUUAAAUAAAUGGGAAUUUUUCACACAGCGAUCCAAUAAAAAUUUUGAACAUGCCUCUUGUACUGUAAAUUGACUCUAAAAUAUGCAUUAAAGAUUUUUUUUUAUAGUACAAUAUAUUAUUUAAAUAUUUUAUAUUAUAUAAAUUAAAAAUAUCCCACAUAGGACAAAAUUCAUCAUAUAUAUACACUUGAAGCAGUUUUUGUUGGGAAUCUGGUACUUGCCCCGGUACCGAUCUUGUGAAUCCGCCGUCUGCUGUGGAUUCGGUAUCGAUUAUUGGGAUUUCGCAACGGAAGCGUUAAAUCGAGUUUUUACCAUAAACCUGUCUUCUCAGCAGAAGCUGAUACAAUCAUAAAAGAGAAAAAUAUGCGGGUAAAAUAAGAAUCAUUAAUUAAGAGAAGAUUACACCCGACUCAUCUUCUGCAACUGAGUAGCUACAAUCCAAGCCUUCUUUUUGAAUCUCUCUUACCCUUCUCUCACCUUCUAUAAAACCACAAAGAAGACAAUCAUUCACAUGCACCCGUGCACUAGGUGCACUCAACUCUUGGCUAUUCUCUCUCUCUCUCUCUUUUUCUCUCUGGUACGCACACUCAAGAGACUCUCUCUCUUGACCGUACUACACCCUCAAUAGCCUCUAAUGCAUUAUAUAUAAUGCUCAACCAAAGAUGUACCCAAUCCUAGUAUAUUUAGGAUUCCGACUUUAGAGAAAGAUAACAAGCACUAAAAGCCUAGUUACUGAAGUAAUAGUUUCACUCUUUGACUUUUUAAAUUUCUUGUUAGGUACCAUCCUGGUAAAAGUUAUGCCGAGCACAUAUGACAGGUACGAUUUUUUUAAUUUUUUAGUGUAAAUAACAACCAUUAACACACGUAUUUGUGACAAAAUCCAACUGUUUUUGCUCUAUACGCUCCACAACAAAGAAGGUACGCAAUUGACACUUUUAUCUGUAAUUUUAUCUGUAAUAAAAUUCACAUGUUUUGAUAUAUCUCACUGUUUACAGAAUGAACUAGUAUGUUUGCAGUCUACGUAGGUUGAUAUAAUAUAUAAGACGUUACGCAAUAAUAGGAAAACGAUUACAACAAUAUGUUAAAUAAAAAAAAGAUGACGUAUAUUCAUGCACAUGAUGUAUCGGUAUAUCCAUAUGUUUAUGCUCUAUACUUUUGUCUUAUUUCAUACUUUUUUACAAGUGAUUCUAAAUUUUAAUGGUAUUAUAUUAAAAAAUACUAGGUCUACAAUCCAAAAGGGUAUAAAUGCAAUUUUAAAUUUCACGUGCCAAUAUUUAAUUUAUCUCCAAACUAAAAUCACUUCUGCAGAAACCACUUUUCCAGAAAUUAGGCUAAAGAGGCCCUAUGUUGUAUUUGGGCAUAUAGUUUCUACAUUUAAUUUUAGUUCCUCAAUGUUAGAAAUUAUGUGCCCAGGUACAACUAACCUAUGUUACAUAGUUGUACUUAGGCAUAUAGUUCUCUUGAGAUUGAACUAUUUUAUUUUUGUAAUAUUUGUAAUUUAUCUACAAAAUUAACAACUUUUUUUUGUCAAUUAUAUUCAUAAUUUUAAACCUAUUUCCUUGCAGAGCGAGAGACAGCAUGGCUUUGAAAAUAAAUUAAUUAUCGGUGAUAGAGCACUUGACAAGUAUUCGGAAAAAAACCUUGGUUUUAGAACUGGACAAUACAAAGAUGAUCAUCUUCAAGAGACAAUUGAAGUUUUCGUCACAAAACAUAUUACGGUGGAUUGUUACAAUCUCGGAAACGUUUUAAGCUAUCAAAACAUACUUUGGUUUGAGAAUUAUCAUAUAGCGAAAUUCUCGGUAAUCACAGAAGUCGUUAGUUGUAAACUAAAGAAUUAUAUUAAACAUUAUAAGAAUAAUUUAUUUGUCAAUAAAAAAGACCACGUGUACGGUAUAUCCGAGACAUACGACAAGUUAAUUCUUCCGUAAGAUUCGAAUUAAUUAUUAUAUAAAUAUUUUUUUUAUUAAAUCUAAAAAUAUUCUUUUUUCUUUUAAAUAUUUUUGUUUUCAGUGGUAUUUCUAACGGACUUGAAUACGCGCAUUUAAUGGGCAUUUGUCAUCCUGAUUUUUCGCUUGACAAUAUUUAUGUUAGCGAAGGCGCGACUGGACAUCAUGUGAAAAUUUCUUCGUUCAAGGGUAAUAUAUUUUUUAACUAAUUUGUCUUACUAGUUUAAACAUUAUAUCUUAGUAUACACUAUAUUUGUUUAUUCACUUAAUUUUGUUGUUCAUAAAAGGUUCCAGAAACAACACGUGCAGCAAGUCAAAGCUAGAUGAUUAUAAAAGUAUUGAAAAUAUCAUAAGAGAAAGUUAUGACAUUGUCAAUUAUAAUUUUUGUGAUAUAGUGGAGGACUACAUCUUUUUUCUGGAAAACAAGAUUACGCGNGAGGCUGCUUGACAACAAGUUAAAGCAUUAUGAUGACUUACCUGCUAAUUUUAAGAUCUGUAAUAUUAUAUUAUAUUUUUAUUUAUAUUAUCUAAAUUAAUACUAUAUUUUUUUUUUGCACAGUAUUAUCUAAAUUAAUACUAUGUUUUUUUUUUUUUGGCAUAGUAUAUUUGGAAUGGGUCGGGAUGAAUUGGCUAUGUUACGCUUCCUUGAAAAUAUUCAACCAACAUUUUGGAAAGACUUGUUCAAUACAAUUGGUCCGAUUACAUUUGGAUGAGAGCAAUUACAUUCGUAAUGGUUAAUUUAUAUUUUGACCAUGUACUCGUCUUUGUUGUUGUGCACUAUUUCCAUUAAUUAGUACUUAUAUUUUCCUUGGUAAAAUUAAAUUAUAAUGUUUAUGUCGAGUUAGAGGAGACUACUAUCUUCAUCUUUUCUAUAUAUUGCAAGUUGUUCUAAUAAGUUCACACGAAGAAUAAUUAGGAUUGCAUGAACUUAUUAAAACAACUUGCAAUAUAUAGAAAAGAUGAAGAUAGUAGUCUCCUCUAAUGUCACGCCCCGGGGUCCCUUUUAGGUUCAAAAGCACAGCGGAAAAAUUAGCUAUAAAUUUUUUUUUUGAAAACCUGACCCCAGAGUGCCAGAUCCGCCACAAAUACAGGGAAUCUACUGUUCACACGGACAGAGUCUCCCCUGUAUUUGCACGGCGUCGCACAAGUACAACAGAGUAUAGAUACACACACAACCACAACCAGAUGAACAACAAGACAGAUAACAUUCAUCCAUUCCAUUCACACACACAGAUAUAAUACUUGAGUUAUGAAUAACAUUCCACAUCUAUCAGUUAAAAUGUUUCCUCCCUGGAAACUGAUUUUGAAAUACUAAAUCCAUAAAACCACAGAAAAGUCAAUUUGAAAACUGUUCCCCACACGAGAACCAUUCUUUUUCAAAACCAGCUACCACGAGGGGUAGAAAACUGUUUUAUUUCGAGAAAACACCAAUCUUUUAGCUCAUUCCAAAACCAGUUGAAAAUCCAGAUGAUCAGAUAAUAAAACAAAACUGAACCAUGUAAACCGUCUAAGCUAUAUGUAUCCACAGAAAUAAUGAGGGUAAUAACUAAAUCGAGAUAACCUGGGUCGGAAGCUCUAUCGACCGCUACACGCGUAUCUCACGUCUCGUCCUACUACUCAUCGCCCGCGAUACCUGAAACAUGGUGGGGGAGGUGAGAACAUGUAAACAUGUCUCCCCUCCCAGUGGGUACCGCAAGCCGAAGAAGGCGAGGUGUACUCACCGGAUCAGGAAGAGAUAACUAACAGUAUGGGUAAGUAAAAUACAGUAGCAACGAUAAUGAACGAACGAGAUAUAUAUAUAUGAGAACACAACUACCGCUACUGUAAUGUACAACUGCAAGCAUACAAGGAUAUCAAAAUUAUAGUAGCAAGACAACUGUAAAGAAAGAACUAGAAGUAUAUAUGCAACAACCGCUACUAUAGCUAUAUGCGUCAACCGGACGAGGAGUCCAAAAGUACCCAAUCUAAACCGCCGUGUCGGUCUAAGGACCUCAGACAAAAGCCACUAUCUGCUCACACUUGGCAUGUAACCCUAGCACAAAGAGAACACCGCUUGGCUCACGGGUCGGAUGUACGACCACUUUUCCGGAAAAGAACACCCUCCUGCGGGGGAUCAACCCGCUGGUGUACGUGAAAUGCACUCGAGCUGUGGCGAUCAAUGCGGAUAUGAUCAAUAGCCAACCGUCGGCAAUCAGCCGACAAUCACCGCCCCUUGGGGCUAAUCGACCGUGUAGGUCAUCAAGUAACAACGUGAACCGACCAAGAGAGGUCAAUAUACGGAAAGUAACGAACGACCAAACAGGUCACCGAUGCAAACAGGAGAACCGACCAACCAGGUCACAAGUAUAGUAUAUACGAAUGCCGUCUACUCUACCCCUAUACAGGAUACUACACAUAGAACAACUAGGCAGAGUAAAUAAAGAUAAUAUGUAGAUACUGCUCGAUGUCAACUAAAAGUACGAACGCAAGAACCGACCGAUAGGUCACAGGAGUGUAUUCGAUAUAGUCCAGAACUACCGUCAGCACCAGCCGACAAUCCUACCCCUCAGGGUACACCGACCUCAAAGGUCAUCGAACGACAGAAGUCAAGAAAUAGACCAACCCACUACAUAAUGCAACAACCGACCAACCAGGUCACCGAAACAAAGUGCGAGAACCGACCAAUCAGGUCACCGGUAUCAUAUAUGGAUAAACUACUCUAUUCCUACACAUAAUACUAAGCAUAGAAACAUAAGAGUAGAGUAUAAUAGAAACAACGGGGAUGCAAGCUCAAUAUACUAUGCGAUAGUAACAACAGAAGGGUAAGGGUAAGAAACCAUCACCAAGCGUGCACCACUGUACCGACGUCGGAUCGAAGUACCCACCUGUACGGAUGUCGCGUCUGUCUCCUGACUGCAAAAGAAAGUCGACAGAACCUAUAGAGGGUCCACCGGGUUAGUAUCUAACCCACAACUAAUAAUCACAGUAUCCACAACCCCACAAACGGUUCCACGAAGAUCGGUUUCCCCAAUACCGAUUACCGUAACUCGCCGGAAGUCCCGAAAACCACACUGGGACGCCGUCGGGACCCACUAAGUGUCCCGAAACUCACCGACUCGUGUCACGAGUCACCUGCUGCCCCAAAACACUCCAAUUUGGAUGUUUUGGCAGCAAACACAAGAUAACACCCCUACACAAUUAUCGCCGGAUAAUUGUACGAAUCCGGGUUCCCGAAAGUGUCUAUUUCGACACCGGAACCCUCCGUCGCUCACCUAUCAUCAUCGAACCUACAAAAUAAUGAUGGUGACCAGCCAACAAGGCUCAGCGACAAAACACAGAGCAAACAAACACUGUCGAAAAGAAUCCGAACCGAAAUCGCGUUCUUUCGACGAAUUUCGUCGAAAAACGCACCGAAAUCGACCUUUCGAUUUCCGCGAAAGCUACAGGAUCAUGGACACUCAGUCCAGAGGUCAAACACACACUUACACGCUGCCCACAGUAGCCACAAGGCGUACAAUUGCACAAAAGCCCCUAUGUUUACAUAAAAUCCAUUAUUUUAUGUAAAUCGGGCGACUCCUAUGACUCGUUCUCUCAAACUGAGGACCUCUAAGUUCCGCCGAGACACGUACUGACAGGUCUCGACGUGCCGGAGGCCGUGCUCACGGUCUGGAGCGCAACAGGUCACUGUGGGAAGCGCGGGAGCAACCCGAAGUUCUACGAACAGCGCGCAGUCGGGGAAGAUCGCGCCAAACAGGGCUGACCGGACACUGUUGAUCCAAAUUGAGGUGAGCAAUGUGAUCAGCACUGACCCACGAUCACCGUGCUCACCUCCGGAGGCAUCAGGACAGCCUCAGAUCGCCGGAUAAGCGUGCGCAAACCCAAAAACAGCAGCCAAACAGGCUUGACAGGGUCGACACUGCCGAAACAGCGGAACGGAGUCUCCCCGGCAAAAUCCAAGGUGAGCACGAUGAUCAGAAAUGAGUCACGAUCAUCGUGCUCCCUUCCGUAUUGAUCAGGGAGGCUCGGGAAGCUCAGAACACGAAUCCGUCCUAAACUAAGCCCUAUUUCGGGCUUGGCCGGAGCAAGGUUGCUCCGGCCGGCUUCCGGCAGCACGGCGGCAUGCGCGGCGGCCAGGGACGGGUGCGGGGGAGGUGAGGAGUACCGUGCUCACCUCGGUUGGCGGCUGGAAGCGGCGGCGGCGACGGCCAAUGAUGCCCUAGGCAUCCAAACCCGAAAAGGACACGGCUCGCUCCGGCCGACGAGGAGCUCCAGCGGCGCGGGCGACGACGGCGGACGAGUGCGGCCGACCAGGAGGGACCCGUGCUCACGUCGUUCGACGGCGGAAGGCGGCAGUGGCGGUGCUGGACCAAACCGAGCCCGCGCGGGGAGAGAGGAGCUUGGGUUCGGCUUCUCCGGCGACGGCGACCUCGGAACGGCUCAGGGCGGCGGCGAGCGGUUGUCAGAGGCCGGCGGGAGGCGGCCCGGCCGAGCCUGGACAGCGGCGAUGCGGGGGAGAGAGAUCUGGCCACUCACGGCCAGAUCUCGCUCGGCUGGCCGCAGACCGCAGGAGCGACGGCGGCGGCCACCCUGGCCGGUCGCGGAGGUGCCGGCGGGAGGCCGGAGGGAGGCGGCACGGCCGUCACCAGGUGGCGGCGGCGCGCAGGCCAGCAGCAGCUCGGUCCCGGCCCGAGCUCGGCCAGCAAGGCUGCAGGCUGCCAAGGCAGCAGCGGCUGCGCGCGGGGCCAGUGACGACGGCACGCCGGCAGUCGCCGGAGGUCGGGCAUGGCCAGGGGAGGGGGCCCGAGGGUGAGAACAUUCCUGGGUUGCCCACGUAUAGGAAUGGAGGAGGUUGGUGGGUUAAUUGAGAGGGAAUGAUGGAGGGGGUGGCCGGGUUCGAGUUUUCCGGCGGCCGGGGCACCUGCCGGCGGCCGGGGUGCGCGUAAGGGUUGGGCAGGUGUGCAGAGGUGUCGGCUAGGGCGAAGUUGGGGAUUGGUAACGGCUGGUCUAGGGUUUCCAUGGUGAAAACCUAGCUACCCAAUAUACAUUUUGCAUAAAAUGCGAACUAGUCCCCCAAAAGUCAUUAUUUGCAACCCAGCCCUUCACAGCGUGAGUGAUUUGCGCUAACACACCUCUAUGUUUGAUCUCACGCGAUUCGAUACAUAAAAUGUCGCGCUUUUCGCGGAUUUCCGUUUUGCCACUUUCGACCUCUUAAUAAACUUCAUGCAUUAUCGGACAAUCCGUUCAUCGAAUUUCCGAACGGAUUGCACCAUCGUGUUCAGCACGACGAGGGCAUCAAAACUGCCAUUUUGUUUCGUCAGAUUUGACCUCCGAUUCACGACGAAAUCCGUCCGCUCUCCAAUUUCAAAAACCACACACACAUACCAGUGUGUAAUCCCGCUAAAUCCUUUGAUUCAAAUUCAAAUUUGAAUCUCCUACCACUAGUAGGUAUCUAUAACAUCCCUCACCUUACUCUUGGUCACAUACACAGAUCACGAGGGGUGUCAUAACGCAAGAAUAGCGAAGAACGAAAACCCUCUUUUUGAUAAAACUCCUUUUUCUCGAAAACCAUAUAUCAGAAUCCGAUUCUGUCAGCGCCAAUGGUUCCAGUAUAGUCGAGAGGUUCAAAACGAGCUAUUGGAGUCCUAUAUUCAGAGGUUUGUACGCGCCAGAGGCCAAGUUUGCUUCGUGGCUUCUCCGGAAAACCGGAGUUACUAUUCACUUAAGUCGAACUUCCGGAUCUCAUAACUUCUCCAUUUUAGCUCGGUUUCGCCUGAAAUUUGACGUGUGCUUUUAUAAUUACAUUACACACAGAAACAUUGUCAACAAAGGGUUUAAUUUCUAUUAAAAAAAAAAUGACAGUUAUUACAUCUAACUCGACAUAAACAUUAUAAUUUAAUUGUAUCAAAUAAAAUAUAAGUACUAAUUAAUGAAAAUAGUGCACAACAAUAAAGACAAGUUCAUGGUCAAAAUAUAAAUUAACCAUUACGAAUGUAAUUGCUCUCAUCCAAAUGUAAUCGGACCAAUUGUAUUGAACAAGUCUUUCCAAAAUGUUGGUUGAAUAUUUUCAAGGAAGCGUAACAUAGCCAAUUCAUCCCGACCCAUUCCAAAUAUACUAUGCCAAAAAAAAAACAUAGUAUUAAUUUAGAUAAUACUUUGCAAAAAAAAAUAUAGUAUUAAUUUAGAUAAUAUAAAUGAAAAUAAAAUAUAAUUAUUACAUACCUUAAAAUUAGCAGGUAAGUCAUGAUAAUGCUUUAACUUGUUGUCAAGCAGCCUUACAAAAUCAUACGCCUUAGUCUUGUCAUAUGUAAUAUUUGUUAUUGAAUUAUAAUUAAUAAUUUCAUCGAUCCAAUGACUGGUAGGCCAAUAAAGAUUGUUGUUUAUUCUGCUUCGAUAUGCUUUCCAAUUAUCCCUACUAGUUACCCAAAAAAUAUGUUCUUUUUCUGUCAUCAUCCCAAAAUAUUGUGUGACUGAAAAUAUGAGACCUAUUCAUAUUAUAAUAAUAAUAAAUAAAUUAAUUAUAUAUAUAUAUAUAUAUAUAUAUAUAUAUAUAUAUAUAUAUAUAUAUAUAUAUAUAUAUAUUGAAUAAAAGGAAAGUAUUAAAUAAAAUAUAAUGAAAAGAACUAACCUCCGCGUAAUCUUGUUUUCCAGAAAAAAGAUGUAGUCCUCCACUAUAUCACAAAAAUUAUAAUUGACAAUGUCAUAACUUUCUCUUAUGACAUUUUCAAUACUUUUACAAUCAUCUAGCUUUGACUUGCUGCAUGUGUUGUUUCUGGAGCUUUUUAUGAACAACAAAAUUAAGUGAAUAAACAAAUAUAGUGUAUACUAAGAUAUAAUGUCUAAACUAGUAAGACAAAUUAGUUAUAAAAUAUAUUACCCUUAAACGAAGAAAUUUUCACAUGAUGUCCAGUCGCGCCUUCGCUAACAUAAAUAUUGUCAAACGAAAAAUCAGGAUGACAAACGCCCAUUAAAUGCGCGUAUUCAAGUCCGUCAGAAAUACCACUGAAAACAAAAAUAUUUAAAAGAAAAAAGAAUAUUUUUAGAUUUAAUAAAAAAAUAUUCAUAUAAUAAUUAAUUCAAAUCUUACGGAAAAAUUAACUUGUCGUAUGUCUCGGAUAUACCGUACACGUGGUCUUUUUUAUUGACAAAUAAAUUAUUCUUAUAAUGUUUAAUAUAGUUCUUUAGUUUACAACUAAUGACUUCUGUGAUUACCAAGAAUUUCGCUAUGUGAUAAUUCUCGAACCGAAGUAUGUUUUGAUGGCUUAAAACGUUUCCGAGAUUGUAAGAAUCUACCGUAAUAUGUUUUGUGACUAAAACUUCAAUUGUCUCCUGAAGAUGAUCAUCUUUGUACUGUCCAGUUCUAAAACCAAGAUUUUUUCCGAAUACUUCUCAAGUGCUCUAUCACCGAUAAUUAAUUUAUUUUCAAAGCUAUGCUGUCUCUCGCUCUGCAAAGAAACGGGUUUAAAAUUAUGAAUAUAAUUGACAAAAAAAAGGUUGUUAAUUUUGUAGAUAAAUUACAAAUAUUACAAGAAAAAAAGUUCGAUCUCAAGAGAACUAUAUGCCCAAGUACAACUAUGUAGCAUAGGUUAGUUGUAUCUGAGCACAUAAUUUCUAACAUUGAGGAACUAAAAAUAAAUGUAGAAACUAUGUGCGCAAAACAACAUAGGGCCUCUUUAGCCUAAUUUCUGAAAAAGUGACUUCUGCAUAAGUGAUUUUAGUUUGGAGAUAAAUUAAAUAUUGGCACGUGAAAUUUAAAAUUGCAUUUAUAUCCUUUUGGAUUGUAGACAUAGUAUUUUUUAGCAUAAUGCCAUUAAAAUUUAGAAUCACUUGUAAAAAAGUAUGAAAUAAGACAAAAGAGUAUAGAGCAUAAACAUAUGGAUAUACCGAUACAUAAAGUGCAUGAAUAUACGUCAUCCUUUUUUUAUUUAACAUAUUGUUGUAAUCGUUUUCCUAUCAUUGCAUGAUGUCUUAUAUGUUAUAUCAACCUACGUAGACUGCAAACAUACUAGUUCAUUAUGUAAACAGUGAGAUAUAUCAAAACAUGUGGAUUUUAUUACAGAUAAAAUUACAGAUAAAAGUAUCAAUUGCGUACCUUCUUUCUUGUGGAGCGUAUAGAGCAAAAACAGUUGGAUUUUGUCACAAAUACGUGUGUUAAUGGUUGUUAUUUACACUAAAAAAUUAAAAAAAUCAUACCUGUCUUAUGUGUUCGGCAUAACUUUUACCAGGAUGGUACCUAACAAGAAUUUAAAAAGUCAAAGAGUGAAACUAUUACUUCAGUAACUAUGCUUUUAGUGCUUGCUAUCUUUCUCUGAGGUCGGAAUCCUAAAUAUACUAGGAUUGGGUACAUCUUUGGUUGAGCAUUAUACAUAAUGCAUUAGAGGCUAUUGAGGGUGUAGUACGAUCAAGAGAGAGAGAGUCUCUUGAGUGUGCGUACCAGAGAGAAAAAGAGAGAGAGAGAGAAUAGCCAAGAGUUGAGUGCACCUAGUGCACGGGUGCAUGCGAAUGAUUAUCUUCUUUGGGGUUUUAUAGAAGUCGAGAGAAGGGUAAGAGAGAUUCAAAAAGAAGGCUCGGGUUGUAGCUACUCAGUUGUAGAAGAGGAGUCAGGUGUAAUCUUCUCUUAAUUAAUGAAUCUUACUUUACCCGCAUAUUUUUCUCUUUUAUGAUUGUAUCAGCUUCUGCUGAGGAGACGAGUUUAUGGUAAAAACUCGAUUUGACGCUUCCGUUGCGGAAUCCCAACAAUCGGUACCGGAUCCACAGCAGUCGGUAUUGAAGCAGGUUGCGGAUUCACAAGAUCCGGUACCGGGGCAAGUACCGGAUUCCCAACAAAAACUGUUUCAAGUGUAUAUAUAUGGUGAAUUUUGUCCUAUGUGGGAUAUUUUUAAUUUAUAUAAUAUAAAAUAUUUAAAUAAUAUAUUGUAUCAUAAAAAAAAAUCUUUAAUGCAUAUUUUAGAGUUGAUUUACAGUGCAAGAGGCAUGUUCAAAAUUUUUAUUGGAUCGAUGUGUGAAAAAUUCCCAUUUAUUUAACCUGCUUCUCUUAGAAACCUUUUCUUCAGUAUGACCGAAUCGUCAAUUUAUAUAUUCUAUAGAUUAUGUAGUAAUUACAUUAUUUUAUACAGCCUACAUGAAAAAGAUUGUAGAGAGAUCUAAUAAUAUAAUUUAUAUAAAUCAAUAAAGAAAGAAAAAUACAAUAGUAGGAAGAAAUUAUUUUACGUAUCCGUCUAUGAAUAAAUUUUGUACAAUAAAUGUCUAAAAUUCUAUUAUAAAAAUAUGAAGUCUGUAAUUUUUAUAUAUAGAGUUUUAGUAUUUUGUAGAUCAUAUAUUAAAUUAUAUUUUAAUUUCACAACACUAAUUUUUUUAUUUACUAUCUAAACUUUAUCUUAUAUAAAAAAAACAAAAAAAAAAACUUUUCUCGUUCUCUAUUGCCGUUCUUCAGUUCUUCCUUUCCCAUCCCUAUAAUUUAGAAAAAUCUCUUUAAACACAAGCUUUUUAAACAUAAACUGUUUGAAUUUUUCUAGACCCCAACAUAUUCUAAAAUUCUAUCAUAAAAGUUUAGAUAUUAAUUUUUUUAGACAUUGAUAUUUUAUAUGAUUUAGAUUGACUUUAUCAAACUAGAUUUUAAUUUUAAAAUAUUAAUAAAAUUGAUUAGUAAUAUGCUCGGUUUAUGUAGUUUAUUAGUAGAUUGUACACAUGCAAUAUUUCUCCUAUUUAAUGGAGAUUUGGAAGUUGAGAAUUAGGGGAACAAGUGUGACCAACCAACUCUCUUUCAAUGUGGUAAGAAUAGAAAUGCAUAGUGAAUUUUAUUUUAUUUUUAUAGUAUUUAAUCAUUGAAAAAUAAAAUAAAAUAAAUUUAGUGCAAGUUUGUGCAUUUAGUUGGGCGACACCUGUCUUUGUAUGCUUGUCCCAACUCUACUUUUAUAAUAUGUAAUGUAAUGUAAUGCAAUAUGUAGUGCAGUAAAUGUGAAGUGAAAUGCAACAAGCUGCAAAUUAAUAGUACCAGUUGUCCAUCUUUACCCUCAGUUCUUUAGUUAUCCUGUAAACCAAAAUUUAAAAAUAGUAAUGAGAACUAAAAUAAAAGUUUUGAAUUAUGGCACCACAAAACAAAAGGAUAAAAAAAAGUAUAUUUAUAUGAACGGGUUUAAAUUAGUUCGGAGUCACAGGAAGGGAACCAGAGGUGAGCUCCGUUCCCUGAUGGGCGCCGCGAGUAGGUAGGCACCCAUGUGGCGUGAUUGGUGGACUCUAUCUAAUUGAUUUUCAAAAAAAAAAAAACUCUCUCAACCCAUUAAUAGGGGCAAUGAAUGAGAAAAAGAGAGUGACCGGGAGGGAGGGAGGGGACUAUCCCACAUACAUAGUCUCCAAAGUACAGACAUCACUCGCUCCAGCAAACAAACCAACAUAAGUAUGCACAUGAACCAAAAUACCCCAAAACUACUUGUGGAAGGUACUACUCUAGCACUGCAACCCGGGAAGGGAUCUAGCUCGUGACUCUCUUUCCAUGAUCAGUAUCAGCGACAGCAGCAGCCGCAGAAAAAGGCUCUGCAAAAAGGGGUCAACAACUGGGUGUGAGAACUAGUGCAAAAAGUAGUCCUCAGUGGGUACCGCUAUCGACCUCAACGACUCACCCACUAAGUCUACAGAAAGUAUGCUCAAGGAUAGUAAAGGAAGCUGGAAAAACUCUACAGCUACAUGCCACUAUACUAUCUCUAACUAACACUAGCUAUCUGUAGAUAUAAUCAAGAUGCAAUCUCUGACCUAAUCUCACUAGGGACUGUGAACGCACCCGUCCCGCCUGUCGAAGCUACACCAACCACCACCACGCUGGGUAAUUGGUGAAGAGCAAGUCCACACUGAACACUACGACAUCUACGCAAACGCAUAAAGCACGACUCCGGAGUGGCACUCAUGAGCACUACCCAACCGAGUAUGCAAGCGUAUCUCUGUCGAGCUCAAUCAGGCUCUCACAGGCUAUAAUCAAAGAAAAUGAGUUUAACUGGUGUAACAACCAAAGCUCAUGUGCCCUCGGCACAAUUUGAUGCAAAUACAGAAAUCUGGGUCCACUGUCAACCGCGACAGCACCCGACUGUUUGGAACAGUCUAUACACUACUAUAAAAAUCAACUCGGCUCCUCAGCGCGAGCGUAAACUCAACCUACACUCAUCCGAGCAUCCACCUCGCACUAACAGUGGUGGUACAAAAAUCUGGGUUCACGGUCAAUCCCAAUGGCACCCGACAGUACGAAAUAGUCUACAUACUACUAUAAAAUAAGCUUGGCAUCCCAGUACGAGCGUAAACUCACCCUACACUAAUCUGAUAACUACCGUAUACAAACAGCAGCGAUAGGAACAAACCAUAGCUCCAAAAGCUAAAUCUGGUAAUUUUCAGAAAAUGACAGUGUAGGAUCUAUAGUUUUCUCCUAAGUCAAUUUCAAGUCCAACAUGUAAAAUGAUACAACUAGCUUAACUCCAAAUUCAGAUUUAAAUACUAAUUCAUGAAUUCGAGUACUAGCAAGGAUAACCCAAACAACAAGAAACACAUGUUGACGUUGAUAAAACUUAUAAGGAAAUCCAACGAUUUCGGUACACUUCAACCCACCUCGUAAAGCUAAUCCAACUACGGCGAGAAGUCAAAAGGAGAGGAAUCACGCGCUUGCCCGGCCUCCAACAGUGCAACCGCGACACCCUCAAGCUCGAACGGCUCUCCGACGUAAUGUCGACGUCGAUCAAAGCUCAAGCCGUGGUCUCCACUAAGCUCACGACUCCUACCUAGAGAGAGAGAGGAAAUAGCAACAAGAGGCUCACUCCCUGCCUCUUUACACGUAUAAGAAGCGGUGGGGAUAAGGGUGAUAUAAACGAUGCAUAAAAUGACCAAAAGGCCCCUCACCUACUCAAAAAUCCAGCUGGAGAACCGGUACCUCACUUGAAUUCCGAUACUCGGGCCUUCAGCGCGCAGCUUCGCACACUGGGUACCGGUAUUAUCACGCUCCGAGCCCGCCUAUUUGGUCGGUUUUGGGCACGCCAACAGACCGCCGAACGGACAGGGUUCCUCUGUACCGCGGACAGAGUCUCCCCUGUACGUCCAAGGCGUCACAACCUAUACAAUACGCGUGGUUCCAACCAGGAACAACAUACAAACAAAGAUUGCAUAAGGAAGGUAUCGAAAACAUAAACAACUAAGUUAUUACAUGUAUUCAACUAACAUAUUACUUAUUACAUCACAUAUUGCCAUUCCUUUUUAAUUCUUUGAUUCUUACUUUCAAAUACAAUCAAGUUUCCAACAUAAUUAUUACAACAUUGUUCUUUCCAUUACUAAACCCCUAAGCUAAGCCGACUUAGGGUAUCGCUAUCUCCGGUCUCGGUGGUAGGGCGCUAACUACGGAGCUACGCCCUCACCUCGCUCCGCCGCGCCGCUCACGUGUGAACCUGUACCCCCAAAAAUAAUACGGGGGUGAGAACUGUUGUCCAUAGUUCCCAGUGGGUACGGCCACCCAAGGAAAAAGCUCGACCCACCAGGUCCAAAGGAGGCACUGUAAACAUGUUAGUCCAACAGAUAUCCACAAAUAAUAUUUAUGCAAAUAUUGAAUACAUGUUUAUGCCUCAAGACAUGCAAUAUGUAAAUCAUGCAACUCCUGCAAGUAGAUUAAUUGAUUCUACUCUCUAUCAUUUACCAUUCUUUAUAUUAUUAGCAAUUCUUUAUCACUUACCAUUCUUUACUCUUUAUUCUUAGCCAUACUUUACUCAAUUGUCAUUCUUUUCUAAGAUUACAUUUACCUUAGCCAACUAUGCCACUCAACUCGGUCUUGAGUCAAUUCAUGAUGAAUGCAAGAUUUUAUUGCCCAAUCUCUUGGCUAACCCGUAGGUUUCGCCCUCAACAAACUCACCAACCAAAUCCCUACUAUCGGGGAGAUACCCGCUACAAUCCGACGGGACCAUCAUCUGGGGAGAUACUCGCUACGACUCAGUAAUGACAACUCCGGAGCACAUCGCCCGAGGAAAAGCUACCAUCCUCGAGCAAGGACUUACAGGUAAGUAUGAUCCAAUCCUUAACUAUAAGGAUGUUAAGUUCAAUCUAUUCCUUAACUAUAAGGAAACAAUACACAUAUGACCCUUAACUCUAAGGUUGUUAUGUCAUAAUGUUACAUCACUCUUUUACUUGCAUUCUUUACUUUUAUUAGUGUCAUUUACACUACUUGUUCUUUAUACUCGUUUUCAUGCACUCGUUUUGUUCUCACUAAUGCCACACACACUAAGUGUUCUCUUUCUAGCAUUCUUUAGCAUUGAUUAUAUUCAUUAAUGCCACUCAUACAUUUAUGUCAACAUGUCACUUUGUUUCUAAGUUUUCAUUGUUAUGUCAAAUGCCACAAUGUCACAAUUGCACAUGUAUAUACUUUUUAGCACAUUUCACAACUUUCCAUCAUGCAUACUUUCAUCUAGCAUACUCCACAAUGUCAACAUGUAUANAUGAAUGUUUGGUAUAUGUAUAUAGACAUAUAUUGGAAUAUGAUAAAUGAAUAUGCAUGUUCACAUUGUGGAGUAUGCUAGAUGAAAGUAUGAAUGAUGGAAAGUUGUGAAAUGUGCUAAAAAGUAUAUACAUAUACCAAACAUUCAUAUGCCAUCUAACAUGUUCCAUAAUUUAUCAACAUGCAUAUUACCUCUAACAUAUUCCUCAAUGUAUUAACAUGUUUAUCUCAAUGGUAGGUAAAACAUCAAGCAUAAUAAGGAUCAUGCAUCCAUAUUACCUUAUGCAACCUACCACUAUACAUAUAUGCAUUAAUAAUGAAAUAUUACUUUGCUUCGACAUGGAAGCGAGCUAGACAUUUCGGUGAGCACAACCCACCUCAAAUCGCUUUCUGAUUGCUUGUAGUCACUUGCAAUCGGCCUCCCACGGCACCUGUUGCCCGGUUCGGCCCGAACUCGCAUUCGACCGCCAAACAGCCACCAAUCCGUAAUCCGGAAAUUAAAGGUCUAUAACUUGAUACCACGAUGCUCCGAAUCCAUUCUCGUGAUUUUUGGACGUCGCCUCGGCGUUCCAGACGGAAACGAAGCCGAAACGUCUGUUUCUUUAAUAUCUUCGUACCGGCUAGACGAAUCGCCGAACCGACUUCGCCAACGCGUUCGUAUACCUAACAAUUAGGUUUACGUAGGGUUAAUUUAGAUCAAACCCAAACAUAAAGCAAAACUCUAUUUUUGAGCCCUAAGAUGCCCUAUUGUAAGAAAUCAUCACAUAAUCUCUUAAUUCAUGUAAUAGUCAUCCAUUUAGCAUCUAAGGGUUUCUCUAAAUCCAAUUCUAGAGCAUAUAAUUUAAAUCCUAGAAAUCCACCAUUUUAAACAUUGCCUCUACACAUGCUCCAAAUAACCCAAAUUAAAUGAAUUUAACAUGCCAACAACACAUUAGAGACUACUAGAACACUAAGUAUUAAGGAUUAAGCCAAAUCCCCAAAACUUACCAAAACGUAAACGUCAAGACGGAGGCACGCCGCUCAACCGGGCGCACGAAGGCCCGAUCCGACGCUCCCAACGCGUUCCCAAGCUUGCUUUCCACCAACCCUCAAAUUUGUAGAGAGAGAUCUAGAGAGAUGAUAGAGAUAUUUAGAGAGAGAAAGGGAGGGUUUCUCUCUCGCCCUCUCCAAACGUGUGUGGGCUGGUGGUGUGGCUCGGUUGAGGGAGAAGAAGAAGAAGACCACCUUUUAUACAAAACCCCCUCAACAUUACACUAUUCACAUUAGCAGAUUAGCAGCUUACAAACUGACGUUUUUCGUCGGAGCCCUUCUGAAUGUCCGUUUGCACUCAAAUUUGACAGUCAGGCUUGGUUUUACUUAACAAGUACAAAAAAAUUUUAAUCUUUCAGUUUCGACCAUGUUUGGUCAUCGAAAGCUCUACCGAACUGUAAUCUCUAGCAGAUAGCAGUCGGAUUUUAUUUUUCACCUUCCGAAUGUCAGAAUGACAUGAAACUUUAAAUCUAGCCUCAUAAAAAUAAUUUUGACAUAUUCUCCAAUUUUCAUAAUUUUCUGACACUGCAUUUUCUGCUAAAAUAUCAGUCCCGUUUCCAAUAGAAAAUUCUAAAUCUUCUGUUUCUGUUUCGAUUUUAGCACAAGUCGUUUCUGACUUAUGUUUUACUUCUCUAAAUCUAAUAAAAAUAGUAUCUCACACUAUUUUUAUUUAUCUUUACUUUAAUAUUAAAAUCUGGUAUGUUACAGGUACUCACCCGAUGUAGUACCUGUCACGCCCCGGAUGUCUCGUUCCCAGGGCACGCCGACAGAUCCGCCGUAUACAAAGGAAUUUCCCCUAUAUACGAAGCGACAGCUGUAGCCGUAAAUCCAACACUACUACGAACAGUAGUAGCGAGCUGCUAGAGAAAAACAGAAGCUAAACAAACUGAGUUUCAUAUACAUAGUCCAAAUCUAAAAUACAGAGCUACUCGCACUGGCGAGUUAAGUCUACUAUGUACAUAAACUCGAAACAAAACAUCUACCUGCAGUAGGGGCACCUCUAGCUCAGCACGUCGGGUAGGGCUCUAACUCGCGGCGCCCUUGCCUCGAUCCUGAUCCGCGGAAGGCGCAGUAGCCGAAACCUGUGGCUCUGCAAAACAGGGGUAACAACUGGGAGUGAGAACUACUGUAAAAACAAGUAGUCCUCAGUGGGUGCAGCCCAAACAACAUCGGUCCACCCACUAAGCUACAGAGGGGAGCCAGGAUAGUAGGAAAAGCAGAAAGUAAACACUACCGCUAUCAGUCACUACACUAUCAUGCUCUACACUAACCAACUGUAGGACAUGUCAAAUCUGACCCAAUCCAAUCGGGACUGUAAACAUACCCGUCCCUGGGACUGUGAAUACACCCGUCCCUGCCCAGUUGCGACUAUCCAGCUACCUCCACACUAACUGGUCCGUGGAGAGCAAGUCCAACCGGCAUGAGCGACACCAACGCAAAAGCACAAAGCCUGACUCCGGAGUGGCACUCGUGAGUGCUACCCAACCGAGUAUGCAGCGGAUCUCUGUCGAGCUCAAACAGGCUCUAAAAAGCCAAAGUCAAGAAAUCGACUCUAACUGGUCUAACAACCAACUGGUAACGUGCGUAAUCUUGUUUUCCAGAAAAAAGAUGUAGUCCUCUACUAUAUCACAAAAAUUAUAAUUGACAAUGUCAUAACUUUCUCUUAUGACAUUUUCAAUACUUUUAUAAUCAUCUAGCUUUGACUUACUUGCUGCACGUGUUGUUUUUGAAAAAUCUUUUCUGAACAACAAAAAUUAAGUGAAUAAACAAAUAUAGUGUAUACUAAGAUAUAAUGUCUAAACUAGUAAGACAAAUUAGUUAUAAAAUAUAUUACCUUUGAACGAAAAAAUUUUCACAUGAUGUCCAGUCACUUCCUCGCUAACAUAAAUAUUGUCAAGCGAAAAAUCAGGAUGACAAAUGCCCAUUAAAUGCGCGUAUUCAAGUCCGUCAGAAAUACCACUGAAAACAAAAAUAUUUAAAAGAAAAAAGAUAUUUUUAAAUUUAAUAAACAAAAAAUAUUCAUAUAAUAAUUAAUUCGAAACUUACCGAAGUAUUAAUUUGUUGUAUAUCUCGAAUAUACCGUACACGUGGUCUUUUUUAUUGACAAAUAAAUUAUUCUUAUAAUGUUUAAUAUAGUUCGUUAGUUUACAACUAAUAACUUCUGUGAUUACCGAGAAAUUUGCUGUGUGAUAAUUCUCGAACCGAAGUAUGUUUUGAUGGCUUAAAAUAUUUCCGAGAUUGUAACAAUCCAUCGAAAUAUGUUUUGUGACUAAAACUUCAAUUGUCUCCUGAAGAUGAUCAUCUUUGUACUGUCCAGUUCUAAAACCAAGAUUUUUUUCCGAAUACUUGUCAAGUGCUCUAUCAUCGAUAAUUAAUUUAUUUUCAAAGUCAUGCUGUCUCUCGCUUUGUAAGGAAACGGGUUUAAAAAUAUGAAUAUAAUUGACAACAAAAAAGUUGUUAAUUUUGUAGAUAAAUUACAAAUAUUACAAAAAAAAAAAUUCAAUCUCAAGAGAACUAUAAUCCCAAAUACAACUAUGUAGCAUAGGUUAGUUGUAUCUGGGCACAUAGUUUCUAACAUUGAGGAACUAAAAAUAAAUGUAGAAACUACGUGCUACAACAUAGGGCCUCCUUAGCCUAAUUUCUGGAAAAGUGAUUCCUACAGAAGUGAUUUUAGUUUGGAGAUAAAUUAAAUAUUGGCACGUGAAAUUUAAAAUUGCAUUUAUACCCUUUUGGAUUGUAGACCUAGUAUUUUUUAGUAUAAUGCCAUUAUAUUUUAAAAUCACUUAUAAAAAAGUAUAAAAUAAGACAAAAGAGUAUAGAGCAUAAACAUAUGGAUAUACCGAUACAUCAAGUGCAUGAAUAUACGUCAUCUUUUUUUUGUUUAGCAUAUUAUUGUAAUCGUUUUCCUAUUAUUGCAUGAUGUCUUAUAUGUUAUAUUAACCUACGUAGACUGUAAACAUACUAGUUCAUUAUGUAAACAAUGAGAUAUAUCAAAACAUGUGAAUUUUAUUACAGAUAAAAUUGCAGAUAAAAGUGUCAAUUGCAUACCUUCUUUGUUGUGCAGUGUAUAGAGCAAAAACAGUUGAAUUUUAUCACAAAUACGCGUGUUAAUGGUUGUUAUUUACACUAAAAAAUUAAAAAAAUCGUACCUAUCUUAUGUGCUCGGCAUAACUUUUACCAGGAUGGUACCUAACAAGAAAUUUAAAAAGUCAAAGAGUGAAACUAUUACUUCAGUAACUAUACUUCACUAUACAUACAUAGUCUCCAAAAUACAGAUAUCGCUCGCUCCAGCGAGCAAACCAACAUAAGUAUGUACAUGAACCAAAAUACCCCAAAACUACCUUUGGGAAGUACUCCUCUAGCACUGCAACCCGGGAAGGAAUCUAGCUCGCGACUCCCUUUCCACGAUCAGUAUCAGCGACAGCAGCAGCCACAGAAAAAGACUCUACAAAAAAGGGUCAAUAACUGGGUGUGAGAACUAUUGCAAAAAGUAGUUCUCAGUGAGUACCGCUACCAACCUCAACGACUUGCCCACUAAGUCUACAGAAAGUAUGCUCAAGAAUAGUAAAGGAAGCUGAAAAAACUCUACAGCUACAUGUCACUGUACUAUCUCUAGCCAACACUAGCUAUCUGUAGAUAUAAGCAAGACGCAAUCUCUAUUUCACUAGGGACUGUGAACGCACCUGUCCCGCCUGUCGAAUCUAGACCAACCACCACCACGCUGGGUAAUUGGAGAAGAGCAAGUCCACACUGGACACGACAUCUAUGCAAACGCUCAAAGCCCGACUCCGGAGUGGCACUCGUGGGCGCUACCCAACCAAGUAUGCAAGCAUGUCUCUGUCGAGCUCAAUCAAGCUCUCACAGGCUAUAAUCAAAGAAAAUGGGUUUAACUGGUGUAACAACCAAAGCUCACGUGCCCUCGGCAUAAUCUGAUGCAAAUACAGAAAUCUGGGUCCACCGUCAACCACGACAGGACCCGACAGUCUGGAACAGUCUACGCACUGCUAUAAAAAUCAACUCAGCUCCUCAGCGCAAGCAUAAACUCAACCUACACUCAUUAGAGCAUCCACCUCGUACUAGCAGCAGCGGUACAAAAAUCUGGGUUCACCGUCAAUCCCAAUGGCACCCGACAGUACGAAACAGUUUACACACUACUGUAAAAUAAGCUCGGCAUCCCAGUACGAGCGUAAACUCACCUUACACUAAUCUGGGUAAUUACCGUAUGCAAACAGCAGCGAUAGGAACAACCACAGCUCCAAAAACUAAAUCUGGUAAUUUUCAGAAAAUGACAGUAUAGGAUUUAUAGUUUUCUCCUAAGUCAAUUUCAAGUCCAACAUAUAAAAUGAUACAACUAGCUUAACUCCAAAUUCAGAUUUAAAUACUAAUCCAUAAAUUCGAGUACUAGCAAGGAUAACCAAAACAACAAGAAACACAUGUUGACGUUGAUAAAACUUAGAAGGAAAUCCGACGAUUUCUGUACACUUCAACUCUACCUCGUAAAGCUAAUUCAACUACGACGAGAAGUCGAAAGGAGAUGAAUCACGCGCUCACCCGGCCUCCAACGACGCAGCCGUGACGCCCUCACGCUCGAACGGCUCUCCGGCGUAACGUCGACGUCGAUCCGAGCUCAAGCCGUGGCCUCUACCAAGCUCACGACUCCCACUUAGAGAGAGAGAGGAAAUAGCAACCAGAGGCUCACUCCCUGCCUCUCUACACGUAUAAGAAGCGGUAGAGAUAAGGGUGAUAUAAAUGAUGCAUCAAAUGACCAAAAGGCCCCUCACCUACUCAAAAAUUCAACUGGAGUACCGGUACCUCACUUGAAUAUCGGCACUGGGGCCUUCAGCCCGCAGCUUCGUACACUGGGUACCGGUACUCACCCGAUGCAGUACCGAUACUCGGGCUCGGUACCGAUACUCGCCCAAUGCAGUACCGGUACUCAGCAUCAGAUUGGCACAACCCGAGAGCAGACUGUUCAGGAAAUACACCGGCGUACCGGUACUCCCCUAUCUUACCGGUACUCAACACUAAAAACCUGCACUUUGCGAAUUCCAAUGUUAAAACUCUGCUCUAGCGUCACACUAAGUCCGUUUUGCCUCUAUUUCGUGUCAAAACGACUCCGACUUGUCCCGACACUCUCCAGAUAUGUCGACAAGCCUCAGAUGCUGAAAUCACUCGGGCAACCAAACACCAUGAAUACUACAUCAUCCCCCACUGCAAAAAGUUUCGUUUUCGAAACUUAAUCACAUAUCUCAAUCCUAAACCUCAAACAAGUAAGGGUAGGACUACCGUAUCACCGUCUCCGACUCCCACGUCGUCUCACGCUCCUCAUGAUGACUCCACUACACUUUUACAUAAGGGAUGGCCCGGUUGCGUAAUUCCUUCGACUCACGACCAAGAAUUCGCACCGGUCGCUCCUCAUAUCUCAAGUCCUCACCAAGCUCCAGUGGAGUGAAGUCGAUAACGUGUGAGGGGUCAAACACGUAUCUCUUCAAUUUUGAGAUGUGAAAAACAUCACGAACACCAGCCAGUCGUAGGGGUAAAGCAAUCAGGUAGGCUACCGGUCCCACUCGCUCCAAUACCUCGAAAGAGCCUAUAAAGUGUGGACUGAGCUUUCCACGUACUCCGAAUCUGCGUAUCCCUCGGGACGGCAAAACUUUAAAAAACCUAUGAUCUCCAACCUGGAACUCUAAGUCUCGUCUUCUGAUAUCGACGUAGCUCCUCUGUCGACUAUGGGUUGUCAAAAUGCGUCGUCAUACAACCUUGACCUUCUCCUCUAUCUCUAUCAGAAUCUUAGGCCCCAGAGUCUUCUUUUCACCCACAUCACUCCAAUGCAAAGGGGAUCGACACCUGCGUCUAUACAAUGCCUCAAAUGGAGCCAUCUGAAUGCUCGUUUGAUAGCUGUUGUUGUACGUAAACUCAACCAGCCUCAAAUAUCGAUACUACCCUCCUCCAAAGUCCAAGACACAAGCUCUCAGCAUGUCCUCUGGAGUCCGAAUGGUCCGCUAUGACUAACCAUCUGUCUGUGGGUGAAACACUGUGCUGAAAUGUAGCUGUGUACUCAAGGCCGUCUGAAAACUCCUCCAAAAAUGCGAGAGAAAUCUCGGAUCUCAAUCCGAUACUACCGAGGUAGGCACACCAUGCAAUCUGACAAUCUCAUCCAAGUAUAACUAAGCGAGUCUCUCUCUGGACCAGGUGAACUGUACUGGUAGAAAAUGAGCAGACUUAAUCAGUCUGUCCACUAUCACCCAAAUCGCAUCAAAGCCACCAUGUGCUCUCGGUAAACCCACGACAAAGUCCAUCAUAAUCUGCUCCCAUUUUCACUCGGGCACUGGCAGAUUCUGAAGCUUGUCAGCAGGUACCUGAUGCUCAGCUUUCACCUGUUGGCAAGUCAGACAUUGAGCCACAUAUCUACGAAUGUCCCGCUUUAUUCCAUUCACCAAAAGUGCCUUUAAGUCCUUAUACAUCUUGGUUCCACCAGGAUGAACCGUAUAAGAUGAGUAAUGAGCCUCUCUCAAAAUCUCCUUUCUGAUAUCUAAAUUCAUAAGCACACACAGCCGGUCCCUAUUAUUACAUGAUGUCUUAUAUAUAUGUCAUCUCUUUUUGAUUUAGCAUAUUGUUGUAAUCGUUUUUCUAUUAUUGCAUGAUGUCUUAUCUGUUUUAUCAACCUACGUAGACUGCAAACAUACUAGUUCAUUAUGUAAACAGUGAGAUAUAUCAAAACAUGUGGAUUUUAUUAUAGAUAAAAUUAUAGAUAAAAGUGUCAAUUGCGUACCUUCUUUGUUAUGGAGCGUAUAGAGCAAAAACAGUUGAAUUUUGUCACAAAUACGCGUGUUAAUGGUUGUUAUUUACACUAAAAAUUAAAAAAAUCAUACCUGUCUUAUGAGCUCGGCAUAACUUUUACCAGGAUGGUACCUAACAAGAAAUUUAAAAAGUCAAAGAGUGAAAUUAUUACUUCAGUAACUAUGCUUUUAAUCAGUGCUUGCUAUCUUUCUCUAAAAACUGCUUCAAGUGUAUAUGAUGAAUUUUGUCCUAUAUGGGAUAUUUUGAAUUUAUAUAAUAUAAAAUAUUUAAUUUAAAUAAUAUAUUGUACUAUAAAAAUUUAUUUUUAAUGCAUAUUUUAGAGUCGAUUUAUGGUGCAAUAGGCAAGCUCAAAAUUUUUAUUGAAUCGAUGUGUGAAAAAUUCCCCUUUAUUUAACCUGUUUCUCUUAGAAACCUUUUCUUCAGUAGGACCGAAUCAUCAAUUUAUAUACUCUAUAGAUUAUAUAGUAAUUACGUUAUUAAUUACAUUAUUUUAUAGAGCCUAUAUGAAAAAGAUUGUAGAGAGAUCUAAAAUAUAAUUUAUAUAAAUCAAUAAAGAAAGAAAAAUAAAAUAGUAGGAAGAAAUUAUUUUAUGUAUCGAUCUAUGAAUAAAUUUUGUACUGUAGUGUCCCUGGAGUUUUGCAGCAUGUGUGAUCUCAGCAUCUGAGACUUGUCGACACGUCUAGAGAGUGUCGAAACAAAUUGGAGUUGUUUCGGCGCGAAAUGGACACAAAACCGACUCAACACGACGCGAGAGUGGAGUUCUGACACUGAAAUCUGUAAAAUACAGGAUUUCAGUGUUCAGUACCGGUACCCUAGUAGAUUGCAGAAUUGGAUGCUCUCGGGUUUGCGCGUAUUUGAUGCUGAAUAUCAGUACCAACUUGUCGAGUACCGGUAUGGAGCUCGGGUACCGGUACUGCAUCGGGCUGGUACCGGUACGGAGCGUGCGAGACUGCGGGCUGAGGGCCCGAGUACCGGUAUUCAAGCUGAGUACCGGUACUCCAGCUGGAAAAGUAAGUUGGUGAGGGGCAUUUUGGUCCUUUGAUGUGUCGUUCAACCCAACGUUACCCAGCUUGUACAUAUGCAUGUAGGGUGUUAGAGAGAAGGGAAUUCUUCUCAUUUCCCUCUCUCUCUCUAGCUAAGCUUGUACAUAUGCAUGUAGGGUGUUAGAGAGAAGGGAAUUCUUCUCAUUUCCCUCUCUCUCUCUAGCUAGUGGAUUCGCACGUUGUGGAGGUCGCGGCUCGAGCUCGGGUGGAUUCCGACGUUUCCCUGGAGGGCUGUUCGAGAGCGUGGAGGUCGCGGUUGCACCGUUGGAGGCCGGACGAGCGUGUGGAUUCCCUUCUAUCGAUUUCUAGCCGACAUUGGAAGUGCGAUCGAGGUAGGUUGAUGUUUACCGAAAUCGUCGGAUUUCCUCCUAAGUCGAGUAUUUGUCAGCAUGUAUGUUUUAUGCGUAGCAUCAUGUUAGUAGCUCAAUUCAUCGAUUUGCAUAUUUUUUAUGAAAUCUGGAUUGGAGCCUUAAAUUUUAGAAUCGUUUUACAUGUUGGACUUGAAAUUGACUUAGGAGAAAACCAAUAACCUACACUGUCAUCUUUUCUGAAGAAUUAUCAGAUUUAGCUCUAGGAGCUGUUUUCAUUUUGUAUCACCGCUGUUAGUGCGAGGUGGAUACCCAGAUUAAUGUCAGUUGAGUUUUCGCUGCUGGGAGGCCGAGUUCGUUUUACAGUAGUGUGUAGACUAUUCCGUACUGUUGGACGCUGUCGUGGUUGACGGUGGACCCAUAUUUAUGUAUCUUGCAGCGGAUUGUGCUAAGGGCACAUGAGCUUUGGUUGUUAGACCAGUUAGACCCAUUUGCAUUGACUACAACCUGUGAGAGGUAGAUUGAGCUCAACAGAGAUUCGCUUGCAUACUCGGUUGGAUCGCGUCCACGAGUGCCACUCCGGAGUCUGGCUACCUUGCUUUGCGUUGAUGUCAUAGUAGUCCGGUUUGGACCUUGCUCUCCGUCGGCCGCCCUUGGGGUGGUGUCCGGUGUAGCUUCGACAGGCGGGACGGGUGUAUCACAGUCCCUAGUGAGGUUGGGUCAAUGGGAUGCAUUUCCAUAUCUAUAGAUUGGAUCAGCAUGCUAAAGACCCAAUCACGAUGAAAUACGUCACCUGACCCCAAGGUCAAAAUCUGUGGAAGUGAACACCGACCGCCUAGGUCAAUCUCAUGGAGUAACACUCCAACAAUAAAAUCAAGUCUCAUCGAAGAUAAUUCAACUGAUCAACAUGAUCAUAUCUCAACAAGGAGUAUACACCGAUCCAUCAAAUCCAAUCACACAUAGGUGGAUAUUCUACUAGAUCAUCACUUACUCUACAUGUCAUACACGAGAUACAAGAAAGCUCAAUCAAGAGUCUACAAAUCUAUAUGAUAAUCAACAAGACAAUCAAUAUGUAGAGUAAAAUUAUGGACCAAUGUGAAGUCAAAAGAAGUUGUCCUACUCAAUUAAUAAAAUAGAUCAAGCGGGAAAAACACCGAGUAAGAUACAACUUUACCAACUUCGGAAUGGAGCACCCACCUCACCAAGUACCCGAGUCCUCGACUCAAAACGAUAGUUCUAGAAGUCACCUGUACAUAGAAAAUAUCAACACGAUCAUCAUCAACAUCCUGCGUGUCAUCUAUACUAACCUGACACAUUCCACCUAUACUUGCGUGUAUCGCAAAUGACCGGAUCAUUAGUUCCAUAACCGGCAUACAUAACUAAGCCCAAGCCAAGCCGACUCAACAAGGAGUCACCACGUCACAACCACAAUCUCAAGAUUUACCGGUUUAGGUGAUGAGAUGACCGCACACACUAGGUGCUCGAUAAACCGAACGACAACCGUCAUACAAGGCUACAACCGAACCUAUAUGUGUCGUUCCGAUUAUCCGAACACCACUUUGGUGUCGCACCAUGUACACAUGGUACAUUUGGCCCGAUGAUGCUCGCAAUAUUGCAACAUCACCAAUUGGUGACAUAAGGUCACCCACAAUGUGCCACGACACAAGCGGAACAUCAGACAUUCCUACCGUUCUCCCGAACCCACCGAUUUUUGUAAAAACCCAUCGGGAUGCCACUUUGGUCAAGAAGCAUUCCGAGUCACAACAAGACAUAUUUAACUCGUAUCCGCUGUCCCCAAACGCCUUAUUUUAGGUGUUGGGACAGCCGCAAAAGAAACACACUGAAAACGGGAGCCGUAGCUCCAAAAGUGACCAAAAUGGGUCCGACGAUACCUAUUUCAGUAUUCGAACCACCCACAACUCACUUGCUGCCACGAGGGGCACAAAACACAAAGAUAUAUCAGCCCAAACACCUUGGACAGCAAAAGCUCCAACACCCAAGUGACCGGAACCGAAACGAGCAAUAAUAAGCUUUAGUUAGUGUCGAUUCGCACCAAAUCAGUCACGGGAAGUUUCUAAGCCUCGAACACUAAGUCCAAACACCAAAUUCCAUCAAACACCGCUGCCCAACACCACCCACAAUGCACAAAGCAUCUAAGAGUCCAAGUCGCCCCAACAUUACACAUUACGCAUCAUUAUAAUACAAAAGAUGGGGUUUCAAGUGUUUUACUAGAUUGGAGCUAAGCGAGUAUAGUCGAAUGGCACACGGGGGUCGAAGACGCACCUCUGGCUGCAGUGAACCAGCAAGGGAGUCACUUUGACAAUUGCCGUCCGUCGGAGAGCAAAGAAUAGGCCGCAACCGAGCCGAUUUGAGUCCCCGAUAGCUUCGCGAUUCCACCGAUCUUCCGAAUCACUCUACCAAGGUGAGCACUACGUAGAAAUUUUCCUCACGAUCGCUACGCUCCAAAGAACUCCAAUUUUCGACCACCGAAUUGCUCGGAAAAGGCAAAACAACCAACAGUCAAUUUAUCGAACACUUGGCGGGUGCAAUUGAAAACAGGGAUUCGAGACAUCAAUACCUGAAAUUUAGGAGAGCACGGACUAGGGCCUAUGUUCAGAAGUGCUGUGCUCACCCGCGGAGGGUCGCCGGAGGCGCCGGAUGGCUGGAACAGUGAGUCGACCAAGCUAAACACCCCAGAUUACAACUAUGGCAGCAGCAGCCACCAAGGUUGGGGAGUUUCAGGCUGAUCCGAACGGGAUAAAGGGGGAGGAAGAGGUUGGUCUAGGAGAGGGGGAGCCAGGGCUCGCACCAGCCGGCGGCGAGGUGCCGGAGAGGUGGCUGCGACAACCCAGAAAGCAGCAGCCCGGUCGGGGCAGCACACAAAUGCGCGCGGGGGCGAGGUGGGCCGGCGGCUGGGAGCAAGGCCGUACAAAGAGGGGACCUCGACCAAGAUCCCGCGACGGCGGCGGCGCAGUGACACGGCGUCGCCGGUUCUAACUUGAGGGGAGGGACCACCUCUCUCUAUCUCUCUAUAUACAUAUAUGUAAGGAGAGGAAGAGAAUGAAGUAGGGACAGCGAGAGAGAUCAGGGGAGGUUGCCGGCGAAGGCCGCACUCCGGCGAGCACGGGGAGAGGUGAGGGCGGCGGCUGUGCACAAGGAGAGGGAGAGGGGAUGGUACGGCUAGGGUAUACCCCAGAUUACCUAUACCUCUCUCUCUCUCUCUCUAUAUAUAUAUAGAGUAGAGCUCCUGUGCUUUUAAAAGCACAGGAGCUCUGGUGCUCUGGUGCUUGUGAUUUUAUCACCAUUGAAUUGCUCUCGCCUCAAGAUCCGUGCGUUGUUAGUGAGGCAAGUUAAACGGGUGUAAGGAGACUGCGUUACUCUGUCUCUGCACGUGAACUCUCUCUCUCUCUCUCUCUCUCUCUCUUUCUCGCUGGUGCUUUGGCAGAUCCGCCCAUGCCUCCCCCUCUCUCCACGCUACCUCUUCCUCUUUCCCCCUCUCUCCAUGGUCGAUCUACGCUACAGAGUUGAUCUGCGCGAGGCGAGCUCCGUCAACCCUGUAUGCUACAGAAUUGAUCCCGAGCGAAGAUAUGAAGGUCUCCUUCUCCAACUCCGGCGGCCUCCAUCCCUCCGAUCCAGGAUGCCCUCCUCGAGCGCGCACCAUAUACCAUUAUAUUUUUAUGCCACAUAUUUUUAUUUUAAAUAAAAUUUUGUAUAUAUUUAUUUUUAUUUUUUGAGAGAGAUAAAUAAUAUGCUACACAACUUUUUUUAUUGUAAUUUUUUCCGUAAUAAAUUUAAUAGGAUAAAGUAAAUUUUAAUUUUGAGAAAGAUAAAUAUAUAUGACAACUAGUAAGGUUAUACCACAAAUUUUUAUUUUAAAUAAAUUUUCAUAAAAUUUUGCAUUUAUUUUUUAUUUUAAUUUUGAGAGAGAAAUACGCGGUUGUUCGGAUUUCUUCUUGUAAUUUUUUUCGAAAUAAGGAAAAUAAAUGUUAGAUUUAUCAAUGUCACUCAUCCCUUUAGAUGUUAGAUUUUCUGUAAAUAAAGACAAAUUGAUUAGUGUUAAUAUGUCGUGGUCUUUUAAAUUGGUUUGAGAUCAAUUUGUUGUUUUCUAUUUAAUCUUAGAGAACCGAGAACAAGAAAAAUCUGUAUGAACUUUCUUUUCGAAAAUCAAUUUAUCUUGAUGUAAAGUUGAUGUAUUGAUGAUAAUUACAUGAUUAUUGCAGGCUUCUUGAGUAAAUUAUAUAGCCAUAUAUACUUCACAUAGGACCCCACACGCUUCUAUUCGCAAUGGUCCCUGCUUCUUUUUUUUUUUUUUUUUUUAUUUUUUUUGUUACAUCCGAAGUAUUUUCUUAUAAAAUAUCAGUCUUGAAAAAAGUUUGAAUGACUUUUAUUUUAACUUCAAAAAAAGAACUUACAUGUUACCGGUAAUUGGUGGCAUUUACUAUAAAUUUUAAUCUUUAUUAUAUUCAUUUUAAUAAUUCUGUGUGUUAAAGUUUUAUAUGCCUAAAUGUAAUAUGAACUUAUCAUGUUCAUUUGAUCGUAAUAUGUAUGUCUUAGUUGAUAUGGAGCUGAAAAAUAUAAAAAUUAAUGUAUGUCUUAUGGAUUUGUAAAAUGAGGUAUUUAUGUGAUUGAUUAGAUGCUGAAGAAUGUGUAUGCAGAAUAGUAUUGUGUAUGCUGAAGAAUGUGUUACAAAUCAUGCGGUCAAAUAAUUCUGUAACCUGAAGAGCAAGUCCAUGUAACCUGAAAUAUACUAAAACUUUAUCGGUACGUUACUUUUAUGUACAUUGUUGUAAAUGAAAGGUUCUGAUUUUCAAAUUUGAUGUCAUUUAGAUUUUAUGUUUGAAGUUUCGAAAAUAGACCAGCCCCCAAGGUAUGGUUUUUCUCGCUCUUUGAUAAGAGAGCAUUUUCCCUUUUCCUUUGAAGCUGUGGGGAUUCUAAGUGGAACUGGAGUAAAAUUCUAAAAAAAUAAUACAAUGUGCAAACAAUAACUGCAUUGAAAUCGUUAACAGAAUAUAUUUAAAAUCUAAUUAAUUGUCCUCAUUUUGAAGCAAAAAAAAAUACCUAUUGCAGCUACACUUCUAUACAUAUUAUACUACUAGUCUAGAGUAGAAUCAUAAUACAACAAAAACAGAAUCUAGUUCUGCCAGGAGGUUAGAUUGAAUUCUUCAAUUCGGAUGUAUAAUUGUGAGAUGAAUCUGCUUUAAACAAACACAUUCUUUUUUUCAUCCGGCGAAGACAUGCCCACCUUCCAUUUCCGAGGCCCAUAUAUUAUCCAAGUACGACUGUGAGUAAACUUCUUUGAUCUGCACAACCUGCUCCACCAGAGCUAAUUAGUUGGGAAAUGCAAUAAGAACACUAAAUUAUCGAUAAUUCAAACCAAUACGGCAGUGGAAAAUGCAAUAAAAACUUCUUUGUGUGCAUGUCUAUUUAUCUCUCUCAAAAUUAAAAUUUACUUUAAUAAAUUUAUUCCGAAAAAAAUUACAAAAAGAAAAUCGAGUAGCAUACUAUUUAAAUCUCUCAAAAAUAAAAAUAAUAUAUACAAAAUUUUAUUUAAAUUAAAAAUAUAUUGUAUAAAAAUAUAAUGGCAUUAAAAAAUGGCGAGCAUUCGAGGAGGGCGUCCGGGAUCGGAGGGAUGGGGGCCGCCGGAGUUGGAGAAGGAGGCCUUCAGAUCCUCGCCCGGGAUCAAUUCUGUAGCGCACAGGGUUGACGGAGCUCGCCUCGCGCAGAUCAACUCUGUAGCGUAGAUCGACUAUGGAGAGAGGGGGAAAGAGGAAGAGGUAGCGUGGAGAGAGGGGGAGGCAUGGGCGGAUCUGCCAGAGAGCGCCAGCGAGAGAGAGAGAGAGAAUAUAUAUAUAUAUAUAUAUAUAUAUAUAUAUAUAUAUAUAUAUAUCUCAAGUCGAUACCACGAACAUUUUCGUGGUUCAUAAACCACGAACAUUCAAAAAAUGACUAUCUAAAUGAGGUGCCUAGUAAAAGUUGGUAAUCUAAUAUGAUAAGUUUUUUGGUGGAUGAGUUGGGAUCCCCCGGGUAUAGUAAUAUUGACGUAUAGAGAAUUAGGUUACCAAUUUUUAAAUGUUCGUUAUUACAGAACCAUGAAAAUUUUCGUAUCCUCGAGUUAAAAUAUAUAUAUAUAUAUAUAUAUAUAUAUAUAUAUAUAUAUAUAUAUACUCGUCCCGACGACACGAGAGUCCUCGUGCCUCCGGAGACACGAGGACUCAGCAAAAGCUACUACCUCAAAGGCUUAGUUGCUAGCCGAGGCAAUUUGAACUCACUCCGAUGAUACGAUAGCCUUCGUGCCUCGGAAGGCACGAAGGUCGAGCAAAAGCUACAACGUUGAAAGCUUAGCAGUUAGCCGAGGCAAUUUGAACUAGAUCUCAUAAACUUCAUGGAUCUUUUAUUUAAAAUACUAAAAUGCUAUAGUAAACGGAUCACUUGCUUACCCGAGUUUUAGUUGCCGACUUUUAUUUUUAGAAUGUUUUACAUUAUUAUACUGUAAUUUUAAAAUUUAGUUUUUAUAACUAGAACAAAAUAUAUCAUAUUUCUUAAAAGAUAGUUUUAAAGUGCAUUAAACCUAUAAAGAUGUGGCAAUUUGAACGUUUGCCGAGUGAUGCCGGUAACUUUAAACAACUAAAACUCGGGUAAGCUAGUGAUCCGUUUACUAUAGCUUUUUAUUAUUUUAAAUAAAAGAUCCAUGAAGUUUAUGAGAUCUAGUUCAAAUUGCCUCGGCUAGCUGCUAAGCUUUCAGCGUUGUAGCUUUUGCUCGACCUUCGUGCCUUCCGAGGCACGAAGGCUAUCGUAUUAUCGGAGUGAGAUAUAUAUAUAUAUAUAUAUAUAUAUACCCAGGCCGAUGAUAUGAUAAUACUCAUGCUAGCGAGAGCAUGAGUAUUCAGCAAAAAAUACUAUCUCGAAGGUUUAGCUGCUAGGUAUGGCAAUUUGCAAUAAAUGUCGUAAAUUUUGAAGAUCUUUAUUUUAAAAUAUUAAAAAGCUGUAGUAAAUGAAAUGCUAGUUCUCCAGUGUUUAAACUGUUAAAAAUUACCGGCCAUACCUUAUGAACGAUCAAAUUGCCACAUUUUCUUAGCUUUAAACAACUUAAAAACUAUCUUUUAAGAUAAGUGAUGGAUCUAUUUCUAGUUAUUGAGGCUAGAACUUAACUUUCUAGGCUAAUAGGAAAAAAUUCUGCAGCAAGCUAAAACUGGCAAGUAAAAUACGGGCGAACUACCUGAAAUAAUACUAAAGUUUUUAAGUGCUUUAAAUAAAAGAUCUUCAAAGUUUAUGAGAUCUAGUAUAAAUUGCCUCACCUAGCAACUAAGUCUUCGAGGUAGUAGCUUUUGUUGAAUACUCAUGCUCCCAAGGUUAUGAGUAUUAUCAUAUCAUCGGUACCGGAUAUAUAUAUAUAUAUAUCACGCCGAUCCUACGAAUACCUUCGUGCCUCCCGAGGCACGAAGGUGAAACAAAAACUACAAGCCUGAAAGCUUAGCUGCUAGCCGAGGCAAUCUGAACUAGAUCUCAUAAACUUCAUAGAUCUUUUAUUUAAAUCGCUAAAAAGCUAUAGUAAACGGGUCACUAGCUUCACCGAGUUUUAGUUGCCGACUUUUAUUUUUAGAAUAUUUUAUACUACUAUACUGUAAUUUUAAAAUCUAGUUUCAAUAACUAGAACAAAAUAUACCAUAUUUCUUAAAAGAUAGUUUUAAAGUACACUAAACCUAUAAAGAUGUGACAAUUUGAACGUUGGCCGAGUGGUGCCGGUAAUUUUAAUAACUAAAACUCGGGGAAGCUAGUGAUCCGUUUACUAUAGUUUUUUAGUGUUUUAAAUAAAAGAUCCAUGAAGUUUAUGAGAUCUAAUUGAGAUUGCCUUGGCUAGCAGCUAAGCUUUCAGGCUUGUAGCUUUUGUUGAACUUUCGUGCCUCCCGAAGCAUGAAGGUAUUUGUAUGGUCAGGUGAGAGAGAGAGAGAGAGAGAUAUAUAUAUAUAUAUAUAUAUAUAUAUAUAUAUAUAUAUAUAUAUAUAUAUAUCUCAUCUCGAGAACACGGAAGUUUUCGUUUCCUCGAGACCAUGAACAUUAAAACAAUGGUGAUCUAGCGAGAGCGGAGCUCUAAGCGCGCGACGAUCACUCCGUUCGAUUUGCCUCCGUUCCUCUGCUGCAGAGAGAGAGACGUGCACUUGACAGAAAGCGAGAAAGAAAGNNNNNNNNNNNNNNNNNNNNNNNNNNNNNNNNNNNNNNNNNNNNNNNNNNNNNNNNNNNNNNNNNNNNNNNNNNNNNNNNNNNNNNNNNNNNNNNNNNNNNNNNNNNNNNNNNNNNNNNNNNNNNNNNNNNNNNNNNNNNNNNNNNNNNNNNNNNNNNNNNNNNNNNNNNNNNNNNNNNNNNNNNNNNNNNNNNNNNNNNNNNNNNNNNNNNNNNNNNNAGAGAGAGAGAGAGAGAGAGAGAGAGAGAGAGCUAGGCUGGGAUACUAUCGGUAGCACGGAGGCCUCCGUGCUACCAAGUUGUUUUCAAUGAUGCGGCUUUCAAAUCGACGAUCGGCUCCGUUAGGCUUGAUCUAUACUAUUAAAAGUAUUUGGAAACUAAAUUUCAUAAUUUUUCGACAUCAUUUGGCUAAUAAUCAAAAGAUCUAAAAAUUGACAAUUUUAAUGGUAGAUGUGAUGCAUUUGUGAAUUUAACGGUGUAAAACAAUCCAAAUCUGAUGAAAUUUUUAUAGAAAAUUCUUUUCACUAUUUAGAGUAAGAUCAGUACCCCGGAUCUUAAACUCAAGUCUUUUAUCAUCAUUUUUAGAAGAUUUUUAUUUUCAGCCGUUCAUUUUUAGACUGCUCGUUUGAUAGGUAAAUGAUGCCGAAAAUUUAUGAAAUUAGUUUCUAAAUAUUUUCAAUAGUGUAGAUCAAGUCUAACGGAGUCGAUCGUCGAUUUGGAAGCCGCAUCAUUGAAAACAACUUGGUAGCACGGAGGCCUCCGUGGUACCGAUAGUAUACCAGCCUAGCUCUAUAUAUAUAUAUAUAUAUAUAGAGAGAGAGAGAGAGAGAGAGAGAGAGAGAGAGAGAGAGAGAGAGUUGGACGGGCACUAUUAGUACAAAAUCCCAUUGUUGCUAUCGAUUUUUAGUCCUUGGAUCAACUCUUUUCAUUAUUUCUACCCAUGAUUAAAUAACUAUUACUUCGCAGUGGGACCACUUCAACCCUAAGGGGACUAUUCAAGCUCUAACUGACAAUAUCAUCGCUGGACCCGACAAUUUGUGUUAUGUUUUCAUAACGUGUUAAUAAAUUUGAUAGCAAAAAAAACGUUUUACUAUUAAUAGUAUUCCAGCCUAAUUCUAUAUAUAUAUAACUAUGCAUUUAUAUAUUUAUAUAUACUUUUUUAUACUUUUUCGAUAUAGUUACUUUAUGAUCAAACCAUUUCAAAAUUGUCAAUUUUCAAUGGCUACUAUUGCGAGUUUGGAGUUUAACGGUGUAGAAGAAUUUAAAUUUCUUCAAAUUUUGAUAGAAAAUACUUUAAACUAUCUAGAUCAAGAUCAACAUUCUUGAUCUUGAAUUUAAAAGCCCUAUGCUCAAAUUUGAAAGAUUAUUCGAUUUCCACCGUCCAUUUUGAUAUAAUUUAUUUACUAAGUAAACGAUGUCGAAAAAAACUAAAAUUUUAUUCCUAAGAACUUCAUUUACCUUAGAUCAUAUUUAACGGUGUGGAUCGAUAAUUUGAACACCCUAAAAUCGAAACAAGACUAUAGUACCGAAGCUCCGAUACUAUAGAUAGUUUAGUAGCCUAAUCCUAUAUAUAUAUAUAUAUAUAUAAUCCCUAAUGUAACAAUUGCGGCUAGCCCCACUUUACACAUGAUCUCCAAGGUGCAGCCUAAUUUGCACAUAAGUCCCCCUCCUCGAUAAGAAUCUCGCCAUUUAAUAUGCUAAAAGUCGUACAUUUGCAAGGUAGUCCCUCAAACGGAAAUCAUCUCUCUUUAGAAACAACUGCGUGCCAAAAUUCACAGAAAUCUCAGAAUUUCGUAAAACUUAAGUCCACGCGAUCCUCUCUGAGUUUAGUUUCACAUGAGCCCAUCCACUCAUGAAAAUUUUAGAAUUUCUCACAUAAAAUAUUAACCCCUUCGCAUAAAGCCCCGUUUUGCACCAAUCGCAAAAUUUGCAAUUUAAUCCCUUAUGAACACAAUUUCAAAUCCAAAACCCACCCAUAGGUGUAUUAUGCUCAUAAGAUCCUCCACCUCAGAACUUGUGCAUUUUGACACAUGAAAUGUCGCGCUUUUUGAAUAAAUACUUCGAUUAGUAAAAAUUGCACUUAUGCAAUAACAUCCCUAAGAUAUCACUAAAUCACGCCAAAUUGCAUCGGGGUCCAUUACUGGUCUUACUAUACUGGCGGACCAUGAAGGUGGCACUUUUCUUUCAUCGGAAGCUACAUCAGAUUGCAAAAUACCACACCCUCUUUAGAAAAUUUACCGUAAAACACCUGGGUACUACAUCACUCCCCGCUUAAAAGAAGUUUCGUCCUCGAAACUUGAUCGCGCAUCCCUAAGUAAUAACAAAGGGUACACCUUCACAUACUCGAUGUGAAAACACCAAGUCUUAACGUUUUCAAUGAAGCUCCUAUGGAAAUGACCAGGGACGUCGUCUACCGAAACCAGGUCGAUUGAACAUUAUCCAACAAUUAACAAUGCAACUUCACAUAAUACAAUAACCAUGGAGAGUAACUCCAAAAACCACCAAGAUUAAAAUCAUCUCAUAGCCAUCAGAAAAAUAGAUCACUAGUCCUAGCAAUCAAAGUCGCUUGAGUCGCGCAGGUGGCAAACCAUCCGUCAAGAUUCAUGAUCUAGUCAAUCAUACAAUACCGAUGACUGAUACUAACCUUUCGAUACAUUAGCCAAUGCUUCAAGGCUUAUGCUCACCGCAUGCGUCACCCAUCAGGUCGUGCAAACCGUAUCCAUCACCCACCGGGUCGUGCCACCAGCAUCUACUACCCUUUUAGCAUUCAAACCGCCAAACCUGCUGAUGAGGAUAACUCCGCGCAGGUUUCUGGGUACACUACAAAAAAAAUUUAAUAUAAGGACGCUUUUAGAUGACGCUUAGGGGAAGGGUCUCCAAGCGCUUUUACAAUAUAGAAAAUACCGACGCUUCAAAAAGCAUCGUCAUAUGAUAUCAAACAAUUUAUUAAAUAAUGAUAAAUUUUACUAUUAUUUUUAAUUUUCUGACGCUUUAAAGCGUCAGGAUUUCAAAAAUCCUGACACUUUAAAGCAUCAAAAUAUAUUUUACCGACGCUUGGUAUAAGCAUCAAUAUAUGCAUGGCGACUCUUCAUUUGUCGACGCUUUGACCGACCCUUUCAAAAGUGACGCUGGAAUAUAUUGGGACGCUUUUAAGCAUUGUAAAAUAUAAAAAAUAGCGUCCUUAAAUAUAACAUUUUUUGUAGUGGUAUGAACUGUGGAGUUACAAGAGAAGGUGACUUGUGAAGAGCGUUGAUGUGCUUUCUGGACUCGCGAGGAGAGGACAUUACAGAACUCUAUGAUUCUGUAUGUGUAGAUGGAUGAGCGCGUCGAGUGGGAAACCUUUGAAAACUCGAGAGAGUAACGCGUGAAGCCUAUCCUCAUCUGUCUGAUUGAGGAACUAUGGUAUGGAUUAGAGUUUCGCGAAUGAAACUACUUUUAAGGGGUGGGGAAUGUAACGUACCGAAUCCCCAAUAAGUUAUACCGAACUUCCGUCAAAUUGACCGAAGUGUGGUGAUGGACAAGAUGGUGAGGUCCAUUAAUUAUUCCGAGUGCUUCGGAAUACCUUAGAUAUGUAUUUGGGACCUUCGAGAGCAAAGUGAGAAAUUCUGAACUUUUUGUGUUGGAAUUGCUCUCGGGGUCCGAACCCUGAGUGCAAGGUCCGGACCCCGAACCCGCGGAAAGUUGGGUUGGUCCAAAAUGUUAUUGUUGGGAGGGGCCUAGGUGUAAUUGUAUAGGGGAAGGCUUCUUAUAUGGGUUCUAUACCCUUCUCCUUACAUUUCUCUCUACCAACACAAAAGAGAAAACCAUCUUUCUCUCUCUAAAAUCUUCUCUCACACUCUAAUCUCUUCCACCUCUCUCUUAGAAAUCUCUAGAAGGAGAUUGCUUGGUGAUGAAGCAAGCUCUUAGGAGAAGAAGCUUGAAGAGGAGAGAACUUUGAGGUAAGAUUUGAGGGUUUUGAGCUAGGGUUUGGUUAGUUUCCUUCUAGUUGUGGUUUCUAGAAGAUGCUACGGUAGAUUGGUUCAUGAAUCUCCAAGAAAUUUGGGGUAUUUGGUGGUAAUGAAAACCUAGGGUUAGAAAUUGGGGUUUUCUAAAGUAUGAGAGCUAACUUAGGUUUGAUCUCUUGUAGCUUGGAUUGGUGGAUAAAUUGACGUGUUGGGAGACUCGGAUCGAAGUUCCGACGAGUCUACGUCAAGAUAUUGGGGAAAAACCUCAUUUCAGCUUCGUUUGCCGUGGGUCGAGGAAAAUUGGCGACCAUAAAUCGUGAGACGUGAGUUAUAGCCUUUCGGCAUCACUACGAGGUGGGGGGUGCUAUCCGAAAUUAUCGAAUUUCUCAUUAUGUCUAUGUCGCCUUUUUUGCGCAUAUUUGUAUCCUUGUAGCAUUCAUGCAUGGUAGGGUUUGGGAUGUGUAGCUAUGGUAUGGAAUCUUUGUAUGCUUUCAAUGUAAAAGAACAUAUGACUUGUUAGUGGACCAUGUAUAUUGAAACCCUAUAAAUGUAUGAAAUGAAUGCGGACUAUGACAUUAGUAAACAAAUGUGAUAUUGACACUAGCGGAUAUGAUUAGCACCUAAAAGUAUGGUAUGCUAGACAUAGUAAAACCUUAUGAGCAUUGUGGAAUGUUGGAUUAUGACAUUAGUGAGCAUUGUGAUAUUGUGACCAUGGUAUACUAGACAAGGUAAAAUCUUAUGGGCAUUGUGGCAUUAGUGGCAAGGUAUCCCCAAAAUUGAGGAUGGGACUUUACUCACCUUGGGUCUAUUAUGCUUGAGGAUGGUUGCUCCACCUCAAGCGGUGUACUCCGGAGUUGUCACCAACUGGGUUGUAGCGGAAUUCUCCCCAGUAGACGGUCCCGUCGGGUUGUAGCGGCAUUCUCCCCGACAGAAAAGGAUUUGGUAUGGUGAGUUGGGGUUAAUCAUGAGUUAACCAAGAUGAUUGGGUAAAAGUACAGGUUUAGACAGUCCCGUCGGGUUGUAGCUGUAUUCUCCCCGACAGAAAGGGAUUUGGUUUGGUUAGUGGCAUGCAUGCAUUAUGAACAUAUUAUUUGUUGUUCAGUUCUUGUACAGGUAUUGUAGUAGCAUUAGUAUGGUUUGCUAUCUAUCUCUUCUUUUCUACAUAUGCCUGAGUAGACCUAGUGGGCGAGUCGGCGGGGUCGGCGGCCGAAUCUACUGGGAACUUUCUUGUAGUUCUCAUCACACUAUUUUUACAGGUCAUAGCGUGAGCGAGGCGAUCGAGGAUUGCGGCAUGGAUAUCUCGCACUAGAUAGCGGACUACCAUUGUAUAUAGAGGCAUCUUGUGUAUUUCAUCUAUUGUGGUUGAUGAAACAAAUAUGUAUAUUGGAGGAAUGAAUGUAAGUAAAAUUUGUAAACCUUGUAUUUGAUUCAAAGAGACCAAGAUACAAUAUAUGGAUACAACGUAUGGAUGUAAUAGCUAGUUACUUUCACUUGCUUGACUGUUGCUUGCCGUCGUGCAAGCCAUGUAUAUUGCAAUUAUUCCUGAGCAAAUGCUUUAUACAUGCUUUGUUGUUGUGGAGCUUUGGGCGGACAGGAGAGGUGUUCGUUCAGCGUCCAUAGACGUACCCGAACCGACCAAAUAGGCGGUCGCGGGGCGUGACACCAUGCCCUCUCUCCAUCCCGGAAGUGCACAAUUUUCGAUAAUGUCACGCCCCGUGGCUGAUUUUAAAAGCCUUUUUAAAAUUCAUUACCAUUUAGAAACCGAGUAGCAAAAGACGUGCCAAUUUUUUUUUUUUUUUUCAACCUGGCCCACGCGACGUACAGACCCGCCACAAAUACAAAGUUCCUCUGUCCACGCGGACAGAGUCUCCUUUGUAUUUGCACGGCGUACCAGCUAUACAACAGGAUCUCAACCACAACCUACAUUUACCAAUCAACAAUCAAUUCAUGACAUGCAUUCCCAUACAGCUAACGAUCCUUAGAAUGAUGCAUGCCUCUAAGCACUCCUUAGGCGCUGGAUGAUGCAAUGCACAAUACAACAAACAUCCUAUUUAAAAGUGCUCCCCACACGGAAGCUUUUGUUUUUAAACUCUAAUUCAUUCAUUCAUAAAAACCAUUCGAAAACCUUUUUAAAACUGUUUCCCACACGGAAACUCUAUUUUGAAAACCGACUACCUCGAGGGGUAGAAAACCACGAUAUGUAAAUACAAAAAAAUCCGAUAUCCAUAAAAUCAAUAUCCAAAUCCACAAACCUUAGUUUACAUGCAUAAAUAACGAAAGCAUCCCCAGAUCUACCAAAACCAGAUCACCAACAUUCAAACAAUCAUAAAGAUCAGCUAACUGAACCAUAUAAACUAUCUAAGCUAUAUCAACAGGACAGUAAGGGUAGAAACUAAACCGAAUAACCUGAGUCGGAAGCUCUAGCGACCACUACGAACGUGUCUCACGUCUCGUCUCAACUCUCACCGCCGGCGAUACCUGAAAAAUAGUGGGGGAGGUGAGAACAUGUAAACAUGUCUCCCCUCCCAGUGGGUACCGCAAGCCGAUGAAGGCGAGGAGUACUCACCGGAUCAGGAAGAGCUAAACAACAGUACGGGUCAGUAGAAAUACAGUAGCAAUAAUAGUGAAUGAAAGAGACAUAUAUACGAAAGAAGUACAACUACCGCUACUGUAAUGGACAACUGAAUGUAUACAUGUAACAAGACUAUGUAAUGAAAGAACUGAAGGUAUACAAGCAACAACCGCUACUAUAGUUAUAUGCAUCAACCGGACAAGAAGUCCAAAUAUACCCAAUCUAGUACCUGCUAUAUUGGUCCGCAGACCUCAAGCGCUGCCUGUCACUAACCUGCACCGACCUGAUUCACCCGCCCCACAGGACGACCCAUCCGGAUAAGUACACCUCCGAUCGGUGGCCAAACCGAUCCGGUGUCGUGAAUACCCCCAAGUGCUGUGACUAAGUCAUGAUGGUAUGCUCAAUACAAAAACCGGCUGAAACCGGUGCCUAGGCCGAAGCCAGAAACAAGGACGUACAACGCCGAACCUCGAUCAACCAGAUCGAAACACAUGACGAGAGAGUCAAUGUGUUACCUGGACCCAAGGUCCACAGAGUCCAACCGACCAGCAAGGUCACUGAUACGAAGUACGAGAACUGACCAACCAGGUCAACAGAUACGGAAUGCACAACCAACCAACUAGGUCAACAGAUACUGAAUGCAACAACAGACCAACUAGGUCAACAGAUACUGAAUGCAACAACAGACCAACUAGGUCAACAGAUACAGAAUGCAACAACAGACCAACUAGGUCAACAGAUACAGAAUGCAACAACAGACCAACUAGGUCAACAGAUACGCAUGUAGAUAGAACUACUCUACUCCUACUCAGGAUACUAAGCAUGCAAACAACGAGUAGAGUAUAACGAAUAAACAAGGGUGCAAGGCUCAAUAUACUAUGCGAUAGUAACAACAGAAGAGUAAGGGUAAGAAACCAUCACCAAGCGUGCACCACUGUACCGACGUCGGAUCGAAGUACCCACCUGUAAGGAUGUCGCGUCUGUCUCCUGACUGCAAAAGAAUGUCGACAGGACCUAUAGAGGGUCCACCGGGUUAGUAUCUAACCCACAACUAAUAAUCACAGUAUCCACAACCCCACAAACGAUUCCACGAAGAUCGGUUUCCCAAUACCGAUUACCGUAACUCGCCGGAAGUCCCGAAAACCACACCGGGACGCCGUCGGGACCCACUAAGUGUCCCGAAACUCACCGACUCGUGUCACGAGUCACCUGCUGCCCCAAAACACUCCAAUUUGGAUGUUUUGGCAGCAAACACAAGAUAACACCCCUACACAAUUAUCGCCGGAUAAUUGUACGAAUCCGGGUUCCCGAAAGUGUCUAUUUCGACACCGGAACCCACCGUCGCUCACCCAUCAUCACCGAACCCACAAAAUGAUGAUGGUGACCAGCCAACAAGGCUUAGCGACAACUAACAAAGCCACUAAACGAGUUCGGAAGAAAUCCGAACCGAAUCCGCGUUCUUUCGUCGAAUUUCGUCGAAAAAUGCGCCGAACUCGGCUUUUCGAUUUCCGCGAAAACUACAGGAUCAUGGACAAUCAGUCCAGAGGUCAAACACACUCUUACACGCUGCCCACAGUAGCCACAAGGUGUACAAUUGCACAAAAGCCCUUAUGUUUACAUAAAAUCCAUCAUUUUAUGUAAAUCGGGCGACUCUUAUGACUCGUUCUCACAAACUGAGAACCUCUAAGUUCCGCCGAGACACGUACUGACAGGUCUCGACGUGCCGGAGGCCGUGCUCACGAUCUGGAGCGCAACAGGUCACUGUGGGAAGCGUGGGAGCAACCCGAAGUUCUGCGAACAGCGCGCAGUCAGGGAAGAUCGCGCCAAACAGGGCUAACCGGACAUUGUUGAUCCAAAGUGAGGUGAGCAAUGUGAUCGGCACAGACCAACGAUCACCGUGCUCACCUCCGGAGGCAUCAGGACGGCCUCGGAUUGCCGGAUAAGCGUGCGCAAAUCCAAAACAACAGCCAAACAGGCUCAACAGGGUCAACACCGCCGAAAUAGCGGAACGGAGUCUCCCCGGCAGAAUCUAAGGUAAGCACGAUGAUCAGAAAUUUGCUACGAUCAUCGUGCUCCCUUCCGUACAGAUCGGGGAGGCUCAGGAAGCUCAGAAUAAUAAACCAUCCAAACUAAGCCCUAUUUCGGGCUUGGCUUUGCUCCGGCCGGCUUCCGGCGGCAUGGCGGCGCGCGCGGGGGCCAGGGAUGGGUGCGGGGGAGGUGAGGAACACGAUGCUCACCUCAGUUAGCGGCUGGAAGCGGCGGCGGCAGCGGUGGAACAACCCAAGCCCACACCAGGUUCGGCUCGGGUUCCAAGGGCACCUACGGCCACGGCGGCGGCAGGGGAACUCCGAGACGGCGGAGGAGGAUCGCCUGAGGCUGGAGGGGUGCCUCGGGUGCGGCUGCGGCUGCGGCUGCGAGCGGCGUUGUCGCGUGGGAAGCUGGUGCAACUCGGCUCGGCCCGAGUUGCCUUCAGCUGGCAGCAAGCAGCAGUGGCGGCAGCGGCGGCGCUCAGCGACGGCGACAGGCGACGGGGGAGGUCACCUGGGCUCCGGGGAAGGCGGCGGGACAGGUCUCAGGCGGCGGCGGCGCGCGGCCAACUGCUGCUACUCGGCUCGGCGGAGCCCUGUCCCAGGCAGCAGCGGCCAUCCUGGGCGGUAGGCCGGCGGCUCUAGCGACUGCUGCAGGCGGUCGGCGGGGAUGCUCCCGGAGCACGGGGCGACAACGGCGGAGGGUCUGGAGGUGGCGGCAGUCUCGGGCUUCCUCACAACCCGAGAGGAGAGAGAGAGAGAGAAAGAGAGGGAGAGGGAGAAGGAAGGUGGCUCCGGCGGCGGCUGGCCCGCCGGGGCCCAGUCGGCGGUGGCCUGGGUGCGCGCAGCAGGGGUAGGGGAGGUAGAUUGAGUGGCUGGGGUGCGGCUAAGGUCUAGGGUUAGGGUUUCCAUUGCAAAACCCUAGAUAUAAUAUAUAUAUAUAUAUGAGGUGCAAAUUGCGGAAAAGCCCCUCAAACUUCAGUAUUUGAUACUGAGUCCCUCACAGCAUGAGUAAAACGCAUGAAAACCCCUCCACAUGCAAUCUCACGCGAAACGGUACAUAAAAAUAUCGUGACUUUUGCGAAAUUACCGUUUUGCCAUCACCGACCUCUCCUCGAUCAACGCGCAAUCUCUGCAGAUCCGUCCGUCAGAUUUGCCAACGGAUCGCACCAGUGCGAUCGGCACGACGGAGACAACAAAGCUACGAUCUCGUUUCAUCUCGAUCGACCACAGAUUCACGACAAAAUCCAACCUUUCAUUCCAACGGAAUGAAUAACACAAAAAUACAUAUAAAACAUGUAUUUUUGGAUUUUCUCGAAAUCCGUGCGUCAAACUCAAAAUCCGUCAGCGUCAUUAGUUCCAAAAUAGCUGAACCGGUCGAAACGAGCUAUUGGACCGCUAGGAACGGAGUCCGCUACACUGUGGCUUCUCCGGAAAAUCGAGUUACUAUUCACUUUAAGUGAAACUUGGAAAUCCCGUAGAAUUUCCGUUUUAACUCGUUUUCGCCCAAAACUUGACGAGUGCUUUUGUAAUUAAAUUACACACAAAAAUAUUGUCAACUGAGAGUUUAGCUACACUGCAAAAAUCUCAGUCCUUACAGGUAACGGCCCUAAAUAUCGCAUUAUUUUAUAUAAUAUUGGAAUUAGUUGGUCCCUUAGGGGCCAUUUUGGCAAUUAGGGCUUUGUGGGCUACCUCGAGCAGUGUGUGGUCACUGCUUGUGACCCUCUGAACUUGUUGUCCAGUUUUCGAAGCCCCGUGCGAUCGGAAGUAGGGUUUUGGUGUGUUUUUCGGCAAAAUCGCCGGUAGAAUGCGGUUUCGCGUCGUAAUGGGUUUCCAACCAUGUGGUUGCCCCAAAAAUCAUUGCCUAGUCUUGUUGGCUUCCCGUCGUGGUCGCCUCGUGAGUUUAGAGGUGACCGGUGAGCGGUGAAGGCUUGCGAUGCCAAAUUAGACACUUCUAAAAGCCCGAUAGUGGACGAUCGAUCGGUUGCGACCGAGUUGACUUGGAGACUUGUGUUUGCUAUUUGGACACCCAAAUAGGUGUGUUUUCAGACAACGGGUGACUCUCGGUGUGAGUCGGUGCAUUUUGAGAUGUUUUUUGGGUCAUGGGGGCAUCUUGGUGCGUUUUCAGGAUUCCCAGCGAGUUCGGGGAUCAAUUUUGGGAAACCGAUUCCGCAGGCGGUAUUGGGUUUGUGAGCAAUGUGUUUUGAGUCAUGUGAAUUAGAUCCUAACUGGGUGGACCUGUCGUAGGUCCGAUCGGCGUCUCUCGCCUCGCAGGAGCUAAACACGGCGACAGACAUAGGUGGGUACUUUGAUCCAAAGUCUGUUCAGUGGUGCACGCUUGGUGAUGUUCCCUUCAUCCCUAUCUUUUACUGCUUACAUAAACACAUAUUCAGUAGUUGAGCUCUUCACCACAUGACUUUGACCCUUGCUCUACUUAGUAUACUCUUCCGUUUGCCAUGAUUGUCGGCUAUUAGCCAACGAUUAGCUAUUGAUCAUAUUUGCAUCGAUCGCCAUAGAUUGACAACAUUUUACAAAGUCUAGAGGUUUGAUUUACUGCAGGAGGGUAUUUUUUUUCGAAAAAGUAGUUGGUCGUGAGCCCAGCGGCCAUUUUUUAGAGUUAUAUGCUAGAUAGAGCGGUUGUGGCUUGCCUAAGGUCCUCAGACCGACAUAGCGGUAUAGAUUGGGUACAUUUGGACCUUUCGUCUAGUUGAUGCAUAUAGCUACGGUAGCGGUUGUUGCAUGCUUACUUACAGUUCUUCUUUCUUUACACUUACAUUGCUACUAUGGGCCUUUCUUUAUCUAUACUUGAUUACCGGUGAAUACGCUUGUCUUUGUCGGCUUGUGGUGUCCACUGGGAGACCCUUGUUGAUUUCUUACCUCCAUUUCUCCACAGAUGAUAUGGGUAGGAUUGGUCGAGACAUAGCGUGAGGCCAUAACUAGUGGGUGGUCUUAGAGGUCUUGAUCUACGGUAUACAUUUUGACUAUACUUCAUACUUAGCAGAGACAUACAUGUGAUAGUAUAGCUUACCCUUACACCUAAUAGUAGGCAUUUAUAUAUUUGUGGUUUAGUUGAUAUUUAUACUUGUGGGUUUUUGGAUGAUGGACCUAUAAGGUUUUGAAUGUUUGUAGUUGGAAAUCUUGUGGCUUCGGUUAUAGUUUUCGAACAUGGCUUUCUACCUCUUGUGGUAGUGUUUUCAAAAUAAUGGUCCCUAGGUGGGGGACAGUUUUCAAAUGAUUUUCGCGAUUUUUCGUUGAAGUUAUGUUUUCAAAUGAAGUCUUCGUAUGGGAGACAUUUCCAACUAAUAGGAAUGAAUAUGAAUGAAUGUGAAUGGAUGUGACUAAGGACAGCUAGCUAUAUGUUGGUAAAUGAUGAUCUUUGUAUGUGUUUGAGUGGAGGACUUGUUGUAAGUUGUACAUGUGCUACGCCGUUCAAAUACAGAAAAAAUUCUAUCAGUUUAUUUUCGAAAGGUUUCUGUAUUUGUGGUGGCUCUAUUGCACCCUUGGGGGUCAAGAUUUUGAAAAAAAAAAGGACGGACUAUUUUCCGCUUACUUUGAUUUGUAAAGAUGGCCCGAUUUCGAAUUGCCUUUCAAAAAGGACCACGGGGCGUGAUAGACAUAUUUGAAAAUAUUAGAACUUUUGCAGAGACAACAUAUGAAUGUUGGACUUUGUAGGGAUAUAUUUGCAAUUCACUACGUUUGCAGAGACCUAUAUGAAUUUAACCCUUUGUCACGCCCCGGGGUCCCUUUCAGUUUAAAAGAUAGAGGAAAAGCGUCUGAAUUUUUUUUUUUUUUUAAUAUAUAUCUGACCCCAGAGUAUGCCAGAUCCGCCACAAAUACAGGAGAUCCACUGUUCACACGGACAGAGUCUCCCCUGUAUUUGCACGGCGUCGCAUAAGUACAAGAGUACAACCAGGAUACAACCACAACUAGAUGAAUAUAAAUAUAACUAUACAUUCAUACAUUCACCAUUCACAUCACAGUUUUACAUUCAAUGUUUAAAUAGAAAUCCACGAAAAAUCCUUUUGAAAAUUGUUUCCUAUACAGAAACCUUUAUUCUUUAGAAACGCUACCACGAGGGGUAGAAAACCUUUUAGUUUACCAAAUCCAGAAAUCCUUUUAUUACAUUCAUGAAAAUCCACAUUUUUAAAUGUAAAUAAAUACUGAACCAUACAAGCUAUCUAUGCUAUAACAACAGAAUAGUAAGGAUAGAAACUAAACCGAACAACCUGGGUCGGAAGAUCUAUCGAGCGCUACAUACGUAUCUCGCGUCUCGUCCCAAUACACACCGCCUGCGAUACCUGAAAAAUGGUGGGGGAGGUGAGAACAUGUAAACAUGUCUCCCCUCCCAGUGGGUACCGCAAGCCGAAGAAGGCGAGGAGUACUCACCGGAUCAGGAAGAGCUAUACAACAACACGCGUCAGUGGAAAUACAGUAGGAACAAUAGUAAGCGAAAGAGAUGUAUAAAGUAAUGAGCAGAUAUACUAAAUACAGUAGCAAUAAACUGACAGACAGUAAGAACUAGACUGAACAACGGCUACCGCUACUGUAACUGGAACCGAAAGUAUACAUGAAUAUCUACUAUAGUAGCAUGACAACUAUAAAGUAAGAACUGUAAAUAUGCAUGCACGACUGCUACUAUAGACAUAUGCGUCAACUGACGAUAAUCUCAAAAGUACCCAAUCUCGUUGCCCUAUUGGUCCGAAGACCUCAGGCCCAUGCCACACUGCUCAACCUGUUCCUGACCCUCGCAAUGAAGCCCCUGGGUCAGAAGCAUAGUACCUGACCCUCACAAUGAAGCCCCUGGGUCAGAAGCAUAUACCCUCGCAAUAAAGCCCCUGGGCUCACGGGUUGGCAAUCCAACCACUUUUCCGGAAAAGAACACCCUCUUGCGGUGGAUCAGACCGCUGGUGUUCGUGAAAUCCGUACCUGCAGUGGCGAUCAAUGUAGUAUGCUCAAAGAUCUUCCAUCGGCAACUAGCCGACAAUCCAGCCCCUCAGGGCACACCGACCGUAUAGGCCAUCAACAACUAGUCGGCUACGUAUGUCAAGAUAGAACUGUAACAACUCGACCGAAUAGGUUAUAGAUAUCAAAAUAGGGGAACCGCCCAACCAAAUCACAGAUAUAGUGAACAGAUAAGUCGACUCUACUCCUAAGCAUGAUAUCAACAUGGAACCAUCGACCGCAUGGGUCAUCAUAUAACCAAAACGACCAACCAGGUCACAAGUAUAGCGUAUGAAACUCGACCAAUCAUGUCACAAGUAUAGGAUAUGAACUCGACCAAUCAUGUCACAAGUAUAUAAUCUAGAACUACCGUCGGCCACUAACCGACAAUCCGACCCCUCAGGGUACACCGACCUCAACAGUCAUCGGACAACAAAAGUCAAAGGACCGACCAACUAGGUUACUGAUACGAGGUACAAGAAACCACCAACUAGGUCACAAGUGUAGAAGAUGCAAUGUCGACCAUCCAGGUCAUGGAGAUCACAUAGGAGAUCAGACCAGCCAAAUCAUAAACAUCAUAUACAGAUAAAGUCUACUCUACUCCUACACAUGAUACUACACCUAGCAACAACUAAGUAGAGAGUAAUAAGGAAACAGCAUGGGUGCAAGGCUCAACAUAUAUAUGGUAAAAGAUAUAAACAACAAGGGUAAAGGAAACGUCACCGAGCGUGCACCACUGUACCAACGUCGGAUCGAAGUACCCACCUGUGCAACUGUCGCGCCUGUCUCCUGACUGCAAAAGAACGUCAACAGGACCUAAGGAGGGUCCACUGGGUUAGUGUCCAACCCACAGCUAAGAAACCCUAAAAGCAUAACCCACAAACAAUCUCACAGAAAUCGGUUUCCCAAUACCAAUUACCAUAACUCGCCGGAAGUCCCGAAAAUCGCACCGGGACUCCGCUGGGACCCACUAACUAUUCGGGAAGUCACCGACUCAUGCCACGAGUCAUUCGCUGCCUCUAAACACUUAUUUUAGUGUGACAUGGCAGCAAACACAAGGAUACACAACCAAACAACUAUUGGUGGAUAAUUGUUGGGAUCCGGGUUCCUGGAAGUGUCAAUUUCGACACCGGAACCCACCGUCGCUCACUCGUCAUUUCUGAACUCUCGAAAUGACGCGAGUGACCAGCCAACAAGGCUCAGCAACUACACAAUAGCUCUCGAAGCACCGUCGGAAUAAUUCCGAACCAAAACCGCGUUCCGUCGGCGGAUUUUGCCGACAAACGCACCGAAAAUACAUUUCCGAUCUUCGCAAAGGUCCGGGACCUUGGAAAAUCAGUCCAACGGUUACCCACUGCUCACCCAUGCUGCCAACAGCAGCCGCAACAACCCAAAAUACAUAAAAGCCCUCCCGAUUACCCGAAAUCGCAUUAUUUCAUGCGAUUUCGGCGCUUUUAUGGUCCGUCUACACAAACUAGAAAUCAUUCAGCCAAACCGACACACCUGCUGACAGGUCUCGGCGUGCCAAAGGCCGUGCUCACCUUUCGGAGCACUGCCGGCCGCUGUGGCACGAGCACAAGCGACGCGAACUUCAGCAAAAAUCGUGCGCUGAAACUAAAACACUUCAAAAUGACACAAUCGAUGCUCAUUGACCCCGAUUGAGGUGAGCACUGUGAUCAGAACUGACUGAAGAUCACCGUGCUCACUUCCGGAGGCAUCGGAAUAGCCUCGGGUUGCCGGAACAGUGAUCUAAACAGGCGACAAUGCGCAGAACAGCAAAAACAUUGCUUACCAGCCAGGGCAGAGCUAGGGCUGGCCGCCGGCGGCCAGACGACGAGCGCUUCGGUCGGAGAUGGGAACAGCUGGUCCAAGGGGUCCGGGGAACCUGCUGGCCGUCGGCGGGAGGCGGCCGGUGGCGCGACGGAGGAGAUCAAUUCCUCCAACAGCUCUCGGGUUCAGGAGGUACGCGGUGGCCGGCGGCGGCCGGAGGAGCUCCGGGCGGCGACGAUCCGUCGGCGGAGGCCUAGAGGGAGGUGGUGCUCCCCGCCAUAGGCAGUGGCGACUUACGGAGGCCACGAGGGCUCAGCCUCGGCCCGCAUCGCGACUGGGCGGCCGCAGGAGCUUCGGGCGGCGGCCGGCGGUGAUUGGGGAUGGCCGGGGACGCACGCCGGAGGUCGCCGGAGGCUGAGGGAUGAUGGCGCGGCCGAUAUGGAGUGGCGGCGGCGUGCGGGCCUCGAGCCCACCCGUGCUCAGUUUGGGCUGACCGAGGGUGGCCGCAGGGAACUCAGGCGGCUCCGUCGGCUCUCCGGGACGGCGGGGCGGCGGGCGGCGGUGAGCGGGAUGUCGCCGGAGGCCGGAGGAGAUCAGGGCGACCAAGCUGGGGCGAUUCCAACGCGCGGGCCCCAAGCUGGAGUCGGCUCGGCCUAGGCUGACCCAAGCUGGCCGCGGCUUGCUUUGGCUGCGCCGGCGGUGGAUCUCGGCCAAGGGAAGGCUUCCAAAGGUGUUUUGAAGCUCCUCAGGGUUGCAUGGCCGAGGAGGGUAGAGAAUAGGUGGACAAAGUGAUGGAGGAGAGGUUUUCCGGCGGCCGGAGCACCUGCCGGCGGCCGUGGUGCGCGCACGGCAAGGGCAAGGAUGCAGUUGGGGCGGCUGGGGUUCAGUUUGGCUGAGGGGAAGUCCAAGAGCUAGGGUUUCACCAUGAAACCCUAGAAGCAACCUAUAUCAAUUUAUAUAUGCAUUUGCAAAAAGGUCCCUCAGAGGUAAUAUUUUACAGUCCAGUCCCUCACUGCACGUGUAUUAUGCGAGUACGCACCUAGACGUUCAAAAUCUCGCAAAAUGGCGCAUAAAAUAUAGGGUCUCUUCGCGAUUUAUCCGUUUUGCCACUUUGACCCCUCAGCGAAAAUCUCGUAAUUCCCGGAGAUCCGUCCGUCGGAUUUUCGAUCCGACAGCACCAUUGCGUUCAGCACGUCGGGGGCAUCAAAACUACAAUGUUGAUUCGUCCGAUUUGGUCACGGAUUCGCGACGGAACCCAUCCGCUCUCUAAUUAAUCCGUAUAUCGCACAUAUACCAAAGCAUAAACCCUAAAUCUUUAAUUCAAAUUCAAAUUUGAAUUCCCUACCACCAGUAGGUACCAGAAACAACUCUCACCUAUCUCCAGAUCACUUGUACAAAGCACGAGGAGUUUUAAAAUGCACGAAUAGCAAAGAGCGGAAACCCUCUUUUCGGUAAAACUCCUUUUUCUCGAAAACCGUGCAUCGAAUCUGAAAUUCGUCAGUGCCAUUGGUUCCAGAAUAGCUGACCCGAUCGAAACGAGCUAUUGGAUCGCUAUGAACGGAGUCCGAUAAGCGCCGAAAGCCAACUCUACUCCGUGGCUUCACCGAAAAACCGGAGUUACUAUUCACUUAAGUGAAAACUAAUAAUCGCGUAACUUCUCCAUUUUAGCUCAUUUUCUCCUGAAACUUGACGAAUGCUUAUGUAAUUAAAUUACACACAUAAACAUCAUCAACAGAGAGUUUAGUUGCACUGUAAAAAAAUCUCAGUCCUUACACCCUUAAAUAUAUGUGCAUUUUUUUUUAGUUGGUAAAAAUGUAUAGAACUUAUCUCAACUAUUAUCCAAAUGGCUCUUUAACUUAAAAAUUUGAAUGCAUCAUUAAUUUGUUUUUAUGAAUUUAUUUAGUAUAUUUUAUGCAAUUUGUGUAAUUAUAAAGUCAUAAAGUAUAAUGAGAUUAAAUUUUGUAUUGAAAGAGUCAUCAAAUAAUUUAAAUUAAAUACAUUAAAAGGUUGGACGCUAAAAUUAAAAAAAUUAAAAUUUUAAAAUAUCUAAGAGUCGUAUCAAAAUAGUCCAUUGCUCAAGUAUGUUUUAUAUAUAUAUUUUUUUCCUUUUUAUAUAUAUGUGCAUGCAACUAUAGACUACUAAUUAUUUUUUUAAAAAAAAAUGUGUUGGAAUGUGUUGGAAUUAGAGAGCAGCAAAAACUUACAAACUGGAUAGUCAAUGUAUAAAGAAAUCAAAAUCGGAUCAGAUUGCUUGUCUUACUAGCCUUCUUGGAUCGUCCUUGUCUCGAUACUUCUGAAUCUUCUUGAUGCUUCUGGAUCUUCUAUGUAUCUUGGCUACUCCCACGUGUUGCAGAUCGUCGGAUGCGAAGUGGGCUACCAGAGUCUCUUCUAUGUCCACACUCCAAAAUCAUGGAAAUGUAGAUAAAAAUUUCAGAGAGAAAGAAGAGAAAGGAGCAAGAAGAAAUCUCGUAUGUUCUCAUAGAUCCAAAAUUCGAGAGAAAGGGGACGUAUGUAUAAAUUAUCAGAACCCCUUAAAAUAUCCUGAUUUUAAAUAGGGAUUAGAAUUAGAAUAUCUAUUAGGAUAUUCAUUAAGUGAUAUUUUUCUUAACUAAUAAGAAAUGUAUAAUUCAUUCUUAUUCUUAACUUCUUAGGAUAAAUCCUAAUCCACAUUUUAUAUGAAUCGUGUUAAAUUUGAACGGGCCAAUAUGGACACACGAUAUGACAAUAAAAUGCAUGUGCAACUAUAAGACACUGUUCAUCGUGAGCUUCUACUUUUUCCAAGUAUAAGUACAGGGUCAAUUUUUUUUAAAUUAAUUCUACAAAAAAUUUUAAUUAGUCAAAUGAUCCUCUCAAAAAUUUGUUUUAUAAGUAACUCUCUUCUUGCCCACUUAGUGCCAUAUUGGACAGUGAGUAAGAUGGUGAAUUAUUCGCCGUUUUUAAAAAGCUAUGAAUUAUUCACUAUUUUUAGGUUGUCAUCAUUGUUUACAAGUUUUUCUUUUGUGUAUGGGUUGUGAGGAUUUUUUUUGAUGUUGUUACAAUUAUAUGUGAAUUGUUGAAAAAUUUGUUUGGUUGUAAAGAUUGUAUGGGCAGGUUUUAGGAUUUUUUAAGUUGUUAUUGUUAUGUGAUUUGCUGAAACUUUUAUAUGAUUGAUAGGAUUAUAUAUGUGAAAUAAAAAGAAACCGCAUAUCGUUUAUCAUUUUUCUUUCUAAAAAAAUGUGGUAAAUGACUUGUUGUCUUUUAAAUUUUACUAAAGACGGUAACAUUUGAAUAAAGAUAAUAUUUGGAUACUUUUACAUUAUAAGUAGAGAAAUUCAAGAAAUUUGAGUAAAGAUGUUAUACAUUUCAUCACAUUUUCGGUGUGUACUUCAAACACAAACAAGUAGGGGCUGAUACGAACAAAACUUAUCUGACCUAUAGACCAUUUUGAAUUGACUAUUCAUAUUUUUAAAAUUUUAAUUUUAUUACCCAACCUCUCAAUUUAUUUGAUUUGAGUCAAUCAAUGACAUUUUGGCUUCAAAAAUUAAGCUAAUUGCUUAUUUUACUAAAUUCGUAGUUGCAAAAAUUACAUAAAACAUACUAUUUAAGAUAAACAACGCAUUCAAAUUUUAAAGUCAAAGUGCCGUUGACUAAUUAUAAUCAAACAAAUUGAAAGAUUGGUAGUAAAAUCAAAAUUUUAAAAGAUCGGAUAGUCAAAUCAAAAUGGUCCAUAGUUCAGAUAAUUAAGUUUUGUAAGGUUUUACCCUUAGACUUCUUGAGUGUGAAAUAUAACUCCUUGAUUUUUGAUGUAAUUUCUUGUGUGUCUCUCAAAAUUUUAAAAAAAUAUAUAUCAUAAUCCUUUCAAAAUUAUCAAUAUUAAUAUGAUCCCUAUAAAUCUAUAAAUGGUAUUUUAAAUGCCAUUUCUAUCAAUUUUGCUUAGAAUUUUAUUAGAAUAUGAAAUCACUAACUACCAUAUAGCUUAAAGCUUUUGGUUCAAUUUGUAUAAUUUGCAAUAGCUUUUCCUUACUUAGUUUAUAAUUUGAAUUAUUUUUUCUUAAAUUAUGCUAUUGCUUUUUCUAGCUUAAUACUUAAUUUCGAUUUGUAAAAUUUGUCUCUUUGUUAAUUGAAGGGGCAUUGAUUAUAGUCAAUUGGAGAUUUUUUUGGAUAUAAUGUCUACAAUAUGGAUAGUUUUAAUAAAUUUUCUGAAUUAAAAAGAUAUUUUUGGUAUGACAGAUUUUAAAGGGUACGUAGCACGAAAGGGCACAAAUAAACUUAACUCUUUUUAAGCACAUAAUUUUAGUAAAAGGGACUUAGAUUUUAUUAAAUUCAUUGAUAAUGACACCAAAAUUUAAUAACUUUAAUUGCUUUCUAGCAAAUAAAGUCGAAAUAAUUAAUAGCUAAUAGCUAAUAGAACUACUAAAUUUAGUAAGCUUUGCAUAUAAAGCCACUAGAAUAACUCAAUAUUUAAAAAAUCAAACAAUAAGACAAUCUCAAUAAAAAAAGAGUAAAUACCAUUUGGUUCUCGAACUUUUGUUUCUCAAACUUUAAUUUAUCUAGAACAUUUAGAAUUAUUGCAAUUCAAUCCUGUAACCCAAUUUAGUUGACUAAAUAUUGACUCAUCACCAAUAAUUAACAUGAUACAUUGCUUUUAUUUUAGUGAUACGUAAAUAUUUAAUCAACUAAUUGAAAUUUGAGAUUUUAUUACAAUAAUUCUGAAAGUUCGAGCUAGGGAGGGAGGAGGAAGCAAUAUCCUAGCAUCUCCCCAAUGGAUUAACUGGUAUCAGAGCCGAAUUAUCCUGGUGCAUGGUGCGAACCAGAAGUGUCUACAGAGCUACCAGUGAACAACGUGUUUUUUACUCCUUUUGGAGUUUUCCCACAUAAAAAUUUCGGUGUAUUGGCUUUAAUUUUUCCGCACUUAAUUUUGAUUGCCUCAAGUUGGUCGGUUUGUCGUUUACACCUAUUCCCCCCCUCUAGAUGUCUUUUUACCUUUUAGAUCUUAGGGUCCGUAUAACCUAUAAAUAGUUCAACAUACAAAAUGAAUACAUGAAAUACGUACUAUAAUAUUAAAAAAAAAAAGGAGAAGCGACUCUGGGAGCAAGUGAAAUAGAGAGAGCAAUUAGAGUAAGGUUUUGCUGAUUUGGAUUUGUUGACCAGUAAAUAUACCUAAUAGCCAAAACUCUAUAUACAUGUAAUUAAUUUAUACAAAGUAUAUGAUUAUAUAUAAUUAUACACUAGUGAAGAGACCCGCGUUUCGCAGCAGACGGAAACUAUAAAAGCUACCAAUGAAAAAUAAAAAGUAUUGAUCAAUAAAAAAAAGAAAAAUAAAACUUAUCACAAAAACAAUUAGACAUAGAAUAUAUAUAUAGAGCUAGGCUGGUAUACUAUCGGUAACACGGAGGCCCCCGUGCUACCAAGUUGUUUUCAAUGAUGCGGCUUCCAAAUCGACAAUCAGCUCAGUUAGACUUGAUCUACACUAUUGAAAGUAUUUGGAAACUAAAUUUCAUAAUUUUUCGAUAUCAUUUACCUAUCAAACGAGUAGUCUAAAAAUGUACGGCUGAAAAUAAAAAUCUCAUAAAAAUUGAUAAUAGAAGACUUGAAUUUAAGAUCAGAGAUACAGAUCUUACUCUAAAUAGUAAAAAGAAUUUUCUCUAAAAAUUUCAUCUGAUUUGGAUUGUUUUAUACCGUUAAAUUUACAAAUGCAUCACAUCUACCAUUAAAAUUGUCAAUUUUGAGACCUUUUGAUCACUAGCUAAAUGAUGUUGAAAAAUUAUAAAAUUUAGUUUCUAAAUAUUUUUAGUAGUAUAGAUCAAGUCUAACGGAGCCGAUCGUCGAUUUGAAAGCCGCAUCAUUGAAAACAACUUGGUAGCACGGGGGCCUCCGUGCUACCGAUAGUAUACCAGCCUAGCUCUAUAUAUAUAUAUAUAUAUAUAUAUAUAUAUAUAUAUAUAUAUAUAUAUAUAUAUAUAUAUAUAUAUAUAUAUAUAUAUAUAUAUAUAUAUAUAUAUAUAUAUAUAUAUAUAUAUAUAUAUAUAUAUAUAUAUAUAUAUAUAUAUAUAUAUAUAUAUAUAUAUAUAUAUAUAUAUAUAUAUAUAUAUAUAUAUAUAUAUAUAUAUAUAUAUAUAUAUAUAUAUAUAUAUAUAUAUAUAUAUAUAUAUAUAUAUAUAUAUAUAUAUAUAUAUAUAUAUAUAUAUAUAUAAUUUUAAUUUUAAUAAUAAUUAAUAAUAAGGAAUAAUGUAAUAAGAAUAGUAAUAAAAAGAAUUAUUUUUCAUUCUCAAAGUGAAACAACUAAUUGAAAAUGAUCUUUCUCCGAUACUGAAUAUUAUCGGAAUCUAAUUCAAAACUUGCAAAAUAAUAAUUGAUAAAUAAUUUUAGAGAAAAAGAAAAUCAUAUUCAAAUGGAACAACUACUUGCAUUGAGAUGAUUUAAUGGUAUUCAAAUUGACUAUUAAAUCUUGUUCUCCAAAAAAGUAAAAACUUUUCAUGUAAAAGGAGGCACUAAGACAGUUCGAAAAACUAAAAAACAAAAAAAUAAAAAAAUGAAAUAAUUUUUUUAAUAAAAAAUUUCAUAUCAUAAAACAUCUAAAUAAUAUAUAUAUAUACCUGCGCGCUUAUCAUCUUGAACUUUCUUAGUAACUCCAGGCUGUUUAUCGAUAUCAGGAUGGUACUGAAAAAAUAAAAAAUAAAAAUCAAUACAAUUGUGCAAAUCCAACAUGAAAGAAUGUACAGAUUAUAUUAUUAAACAUGCUGAAGAAUUCUAUAGAUAAAUAAAAGUAGNNNNNNNNNNNNNNNNNNNNNNNNNNNNNNNNNNNNNNNNNNNNNNNNNNNNNNNNNNNNNNNNNNNNNNNNNNNNNNNNNNNNNNNNNNNNNNNNNNNNNNNNNNNNNNNNNNNNNNNNNNNNNNNNNNNNNNNNNNNNNNNNNNNNNNNNNNNNNNNNNNNNNNNNNNNNNNNNNNNNNNNNNNNNNNNNNNNNNNNNNNNNNNNNNNNNNNNNNNNNNNNNNNNNNNNNNNNNNNNNNNNNNNNNNNNNNNNNNNNNNNNNNNNNNNNNNNNNNNNNNNNNNNNNNNNNNNNNNNNNNNNNNNNNNNNNNNNNNNNNNNNNNNNNNNNNNNNNNNNNNNNNNNNNNNNNNNNNNNNNNNNNNNNNNNNNNNNNNNNNNNNNNNNNNNNNNNNNNNNNNNNNNNNNNNNNNNNNNNNNNNNNNNNNNNNNNNNNNNNNNNNNNNNNNNNNNNNNNNNNNNNNNNNNNNNNNNNNNNNNNNNNNNNNNNNNNNNNNNNNNNNNNNNNNNNNNNNNNNNNNNNNNNNNNNNNNNNNNNNNNNNNNNNNNNNNNNNNNNNNNNNNNNNNNNNNNNNNNNNNNNNNNNNNNNNNNNNNNNNNNNNNNNNNNNNNNNNNNNNNNNNNNNNNNNNNNNNNNNNNNNNNNNNNNNNNNNNNNNNNNNNNNNNNNNNNNNNNNNNNNNNNNNNNNNNNNNNNNNNNNNNNNNNNNNNNNNNNNNNNNNNNNNNNNNNNNNNNNNNNNNNNNNNNNNNNNNNNNNNNNNNNNNNNNNNNNNNNNNNNNNNNNNNNNNNNNNNNNNNNNNNNNNNNNNNNNNNNNNNNNNNNNNNNNNNNNNNNNNNNNNNNNNNNNNNNNNNNNNNNNNNNNNNNNNNNNNNNNNNNNNNNNNNNNNNNNNNNNNNNNNNNNNNNNNNNNNNNNNNNNNNNNNNNNNNNNNNNNNNNNNNNNNNNNNNNNNNNNNNNNNNNNNNNNNNNNNNNNNNNNNNNNNNNNNNNNNNNNNNNNNNNNNNNNNNNNNNNNNNNNNNNNNNNNNNNNNNNNNNNNNNNNNNNNNNNNNNNNNNNNNNNNNNNNNNNNNNNNNNNNNNNNNNNNNNNNNNNNNNNNNNNNNNNNNNNNNNNNNNNNNNNNNNNNNNNNNNNNNNNNNNNNNNNNNNNNNNNNNNNNNNNNNNNNNNNNNNNNNNNNNNNNNNNNNNNNNNNNNNNNNNNNNNNNNNNNNNNNNNNNNNNNNNNNNNNNNNNNNNNNNNNNNNNNNNNNNNNNNNNNNNNNNNNNNNNNNNNNNNNNNNNNNNNNNNNNNNNNNNNNNNNNNNNNNNNNNNNNNNNNNNNNNNNNNNNNNNNNNNNNNNNNNNNNNNNNNNNNNNNNNNNNNNNNNNNNNNNNNNNNNNNNNNNNNNNNNNNNNNNNNNNNNNNNNNNNNNNNNNNNNNNNNNNNNNNNNNNNNNNNNNNNNNNNNNNNNNNNNNNNNNNNNNNNNNNNNNNNNNNNNNNNNNNNNNNNNNNNNNNNNNNNNNNNNNNNNNNNNNNNNNNNNNNNNNNNNNNNNNNNNNNNNNNNNNNNNNNNNNNNNNNNNNNNNNNNNNNNNNNNNNNNNNNNNNNNNNNNNNNNNNNNNNNNNNNNNNNNNNNNNNNNNNNNNNNNNNNNNNNNNNNNNNNNNNNNNNNNNNNNNNNNNNNNNNNNNNNNNNNNNNNNNNNNNNNNNNNNNNNNNNNNNNNNNNNNNNNNNNNNNNNNNNNNNNNNNNNNNNNNNNNNNNNNNNNNNNNNNNNNNNNNNNNNNNNNNNNNNNNNNNNNNNNNNNNNNNNNNNNNNNNNNNNNNNNNNNNNNNNNNNNNNNNNNNNNNNNNNNNNNNNNNNNNNNNNNNNNNNNNNNNNNNNNNNNNNNNNNNNNNNNNNNNNNNNNNNNNNNNNNNNNNNNNNNNNNNNNNNNNNNNNNNNNNNNNNNNNNNNNNNNNNNNNNNNNNNNNNNNNNNNNNNNNNNNNNNNNNNNNNNNNNNNNNNNNNNNNNNNNNNNNNNNNNNNNNNNNNNNNNNNNNNNNNNNNNNNNNNNNNNNNNNNNNNNNNNNNNNNNNNNNNNNNNNNNNNNNNNNNNNNNNNNNNNNNNNNNNNNNNNNNNNNNNNNNNNNNNNNNNNNNNNNNNNNNNNNNNNNNNNNNNNNNNNNNNNNNNNNNNNNNNNNNNNNNNNNNNNNNNNNNNNNNNNNNNNNNNNNNNNNNNNNNNNNNNNNNNNNNNNNNNNNNNNNNNNNNNNNNNNNNNNNNNNNNNNNNNNNNNNNNNNNNNNNNNNNNNNNNNNNNNNNNNNNNNNNNNNNNNNNNNNNNNNNNNNNNNNNNNNNNNNNNNNNNNNNNNNNNNNNNNNNNNNNNNNNNNNNNNNNNNNNNNNNNNNNNNNNNNNNNNNNNNNNNNNNNNNNNNNNNNNNNNNNNNNNNNNNNNNNNNNNNNNNNNNNNNNNNNNNNNNNNNNNNNNNNNNNNNNNNNNNNNNNNNNNNNNNNNNNNNNNNNNNNNNNNNNNNNNNNNNNNNNNNNNNNNNNNNNNNNNNNNNNNNNNNNNNNNNNNNNNNNNNNNNNNNNNNNNNNNNNNNNNNNNNNNNNNNNNNNNNNNNNNNNNNNNNNNNNNNNNNNNNNNNNNNNNNNNNNNNNNNNNNNNNNNNNNNNNNNNNNNNNNNNNNNNNNNNNNNNNNNNNNNNNNNNNNNNNNNNNNNNNNNNNNNNNNNNNNNNNNNNNNNNNNNNNNNNNNNNNNNNNNNNNNNNNNNNNNNNNNNNNNNNNNNNNNNNNNNNNNNNNNNNNNNNNNNNNNNNNNNNNNNNNNNNNNNNNNNNNNNNNNNNNNNNNNNNNNNNNNNNNNNNNNNNNNNNNNNNNNNNNNNNNNNNNNNNNNNNNNNNNNNNNNNNNNNNNNNNNNNNNNNNNNNNNNNNNNNNNNNNNNNNNNNNNNNNNNNNNNNNNNNNNNNNNNNNNNNNNNNNNNNNNNNNNNNNNNNNNNNNNNNNNNNNNNNNNNNNNNNNNNNNNNNNNNNNNNNNNNNNNNNNNNNNNNNNNNNNNNNNNNNNNNNNNNNNNNNNNNNNNNNNNNNNNNNNNNNNNNNNNNNNNNNNNNNNNNNNNNNNNNNNNNNNNNNNNNNNNNNNNNNNNNNNNNNNNNNNNNNNNNNNNNNNNNNNNNNNNNNNNNNNNNNNNNNNNNNNNNNNNNNNNNNNNNNNNNNNNNNNNNNNNNNNNNNNNNNNNNNNNNNNNNNNNNNNNNNNNNNNNNNNNNNNNNNNNNNNNNNNNNNNNNNNNNNNNNNNNNNNNNNNNNNNNNNNNNNNNNNNNNNNNNNNNNNNNNNNNNNNNNNNNNNNNNNNNNNNNNNNNNNNNNNNNNNNNNNNNNNNNNNNNNNNNNNNNNNNNNNNNNNNNNNNNNNNNNNNNNNNNNNNNNNNNNNNNNNNNNNNNNNNNNNNNNNNNNNNNNNNNNNNNNNNNNNNNNNNNNNNNNNNNNNNNNNNNNNNNNNNNNNNNNNNNNNNNNNNNNNNNNNNNNNNNNNNNNNNNNNNNNNNNNNNNNNNNNNNNNNNNNNNNNNNNNNNNNNNNNNNNNNNNNNNNNNNNNNNNNNNNNNNNNNNNNNNNNNNNNNCUAAAAGUGUUAACAUAACUAAAAAUCAAAAAUAAAAAAGUCAUGGUAUAACUACAGCUAUUUGUCGGACCUCAAUGAUUUUUUCAAGUUCUACUAUUCGCGUGCCCAUAUAUAUAUAUAUAUAUAUAUAUAUAUACAACAUGAAAGAAUGUACAUAUUAUAUUAUUAAACAUGCUGAAGAAUUUUAUAGAUAAAUAAAAGUAGAGAAUUGGUUAAUCUGUACUAAAAAAGGCAAGAGGGUAAAAAAAAAUGGCAAUGAAGAAGCAGGAGAAGAAACCACAACUUAUGGUGAAGAGAAAUGGUUGCAUGGCCGGAAAAAUAAAUUGUCAUAUGAAAAAGAAAAACGGUCGCAUGGAGAAGAUAACUUUCAUAUGGGAAAGAGAAACGGUCACAUUGAAAAGAUAAAAUGACAUAUGAAAUUAUGGCGAAGAGAAACGGUUGCAUGGCCGGAAAAAUAAAUUGUCAUAUGGAAAAGAGAAAGGUCGCAUGGAGAAGAUAACUUUUAUAUGGGAAAGAGAAACGGUCACAUUGGAAAGAUAAAAUGUUAUAUGAAAAAGAGAAACGGUUGAAGGAAGAGGAGAGGUCGGUUCAAAGAGAGCAAAAGAUAAAAUGUCAUAUGAAAAAGAGAAACGAUUGAAGAAAGAGAAGAGGUCGGUUCAAAGAGAGCAAAAAAAUGUAAAAAAUCUAAAAAAAAGGAGGGCUUGCCAUGUCAUCAUUUUUAUUGGGGAUUCAUACAGAGUUAUAGAUAUGUAUUUAUAAAUAUUUUAAUAUAUAUAUUCAAGCUUAUAUAUAGAGAGAGAGAAAAUUGGGCUGGAAUACUAUGACAGUAUUUGGGCUCUUUUGCUAUCGAGCUUUUAACCCUUAGAUAAAAAAUUAUAGGAUUAGGAUAAUAGUGGCCUCAUAGAAUUUAGUGCUGGUCCUCCUAGGGAUGAGUGGGUGGUUGGUUGAAUAGUUAGAUCUAACGAGUGAAAAUGAUUAAAGUGUAGAUCUAACGGCUAAAAAAUCGAUAGCAAAAUAGUGUAACGGCUAAAAAAUCGAUAGCAAAAGAGUACAAAUACUAUUAAUAGUAUUCCAGCUCAACUCUCUCUCUCUCUCUNNNNNNNNNNNNNNNNNNNNNNNNNGUUACUCUAUAUAUAUAUAACGUAUGUAUUUUUUAAAUUCUUAUGUAAACAGUACGUUGAAUUAUAUCUAUAAUAUAUAUAUAUAGAUAUUAUCGAUAUACCAAUAUUAAUAUAUACCUACUCUCCAGGUAAAUAAAUAAGAAUAAUACUUCAAGUUUUAUGCUACUAGGAGCUAUCACUAGUGACCCUAUACGUUCUCCUCGCUACCGUGAGACACAAACGUGCAUCGUUGAACCGGAUGUUAAUUCUGUAAUUGUCGUUGAUGAAAAGGAUGUUGAGCAGUUAGAUAGAGUGGCCGCGCUACACUAUUGGUUGAGUUGUCUAACGUUGUUCUCCGGUUUUUUGUUCUUGCCUGGUUGGUUGAGAUAGUAAUAGAACUUCGCUAUGCUUAAAAUAACAGAAUUUAUCAAAACCAUAACAAUCAGAAUUAGAUCCUAAACGAAAGCAGACACACACUGAUAGAUAUUUGAUCUAUAAAAUGAUCUUCUCGCAACAGCAAUUCCCGUUCAUGUGUUAUAAAGCUGUACUAGCAUACGCGCUGGACAUCUCUCUACUCCCCCGCUAUCGCGCCUGCUAAGUCUUACAUUGUUUGUCCGCGCGUUUUUGUUCUUGUGCGCCGUCGCAUGACUUCGUUCAAAAUGUACAACCUUUCGGGCCUACAUAUAAAUUAAGGUCAUUUACCGCUUUCUCUACCCCCGAUAAAUCGAAGAAAAACAUCGUUUCAAAAAGCUUAAUACUUUAUGGCACGCAGCAAACCGCUGAGUCUAGAUACUAAUGUUGUUUCCGUUUUCUUCUUGUUAUCCCGUUGACAUCUCGAUUCGUUCCAAAUUUAAUCUCUUGGGCAAUAAUAGAACAUAAUAAUGAGAUUUUGCGGCUUUCUCGAUAAAAUGAGAAAAGCAACUAACCUCGUUGCAAAGUUUUAUACGUGUUAUGGCUCAAAUGCGUAGUCAUGGUUGUUUCCGUUUUGUUCUUUUCAGUACGAUUGCACAGUCCGAUUCGUUCCAAAUUUACAACUCCCUGGACAAUAGAAAAUAUAAUUAAGUUUUACGCUUCUCUUCGAUAAGAGAAAUAAGUGCUUUAAAAAGUUAUAAUCUGUUAGGAAUUGCGACAACUGUGAGUUAAUGUUAUUCCGGUUAUUGUUCUUGGGACAUAUGACAUUCGAAUUCGUUCCAAAAUUUAACACUCCUUUAGCAUAAUACGAACAAUAUACAGAUAUUUCGCUUCUUCGAUAAAAUGAGUAAAUCACCGUUGCAAAGUUAAUAUUUUAUGCGGUCAAUGCGUUCUAUGUUUAUCGAUUAUUAUCUGCUCUCUCUUCUAUAUAUAUAUAUAUAUAUAUAUAUAUAUAUGAGGGGCUGAUGCUCCUGGAACACGGACCUAUGUCUUCCAAGUUGUUUGUAUGUCGGACUUUCGAUCUACCGAUCGGUCUCCGUUAACCGUUAUUAGAGUAUUGAAGUACCUAAAAAAUAAUAUUUGUAUUUUUUCGAUAUCAUUUGCCUAGUGAUACAAGGGCUCAAAUCAUAAUUUUAACGCGUGGUGAGCGUUUGCAAGUAACGGGUGUUAGAAAUAUCCAAAUCACAUGAAAUUUUGAAGAAAUUUUUAUACCGUAUAAACAAGAAACUCAAAACUUGUGUGCUAAAAUUUUAAUGUCAUAUCAUCAUAUUUUGUAAGAUUUUAUGCUUCAACUGUCGUGAUUUGAGCCACUUCGAUCACUAGGCAAAUGAUAUCGAACAAAAUCGCAAAAUUUAUUCUAACGGAGCCGGAUUGAUCGAUUUGAUAAGUUCGACCAUCGAAAACACUUGAAGCAGCCGGAAGCGCCCGUGCUUCCACAGCUAUACCAGACCACUCUAUAGAUAUAUAUAUAGGUUGGGGCUACUAUACCCUUAUGAUAUAGAACGCCUUGUACUCAUAAAUUCUUGUUAACCGUUGAUUGAUGGGCUUGUUGGUUGGAUGCAUGGUGGUCCCCCAAUUAAAAUACAUGGUCCCCUAGAGUUAGUGGGUGUUUGGUUUAAAGUAGAUGAAUCUAACGAUUAUAAAUGAUUAAUGGUAAAUAGAUCUAAAGGGCCGAAACGUUAUAAUAUAUAGGAGAGCUAUAAAUCAUAAAAUGCAUAGUAGCCGGACUCUCUCCUCUCUCUCCCUCUCUCCUCUUCCUCUCAUCCUAACUCUCUAUUAUAUAAUCAUAUAUAUAUAUUAUAGUAAGAGUAAGAGAGGAGAGAGAAGAGAGAGAUCCAGAGAGAUAGAGAGAGAGAUUACCUGAAUAUAUAUAUAUAUAUAUAUAUAUAUAUAUAGAGAGAGACAGAGAGAGAGAGAGAGAGAGAGAGAGAGAGAGAGAGAGUCUGGCUACUAUACUUUUAUGAGUAUCAGCUUCCUUAUACUCAUAAGUUUUCACCUGUUAAAUCAUACUAUUCAACCAUCUACCCACUCAACCCUAGGGGACUACUAUCAUUCUAAGUGGGGACCACCAUCAUCCUAACCACACAUCCCAUCAAUCAACGGUCAAAAAUUUAUGAGUACAAGGGGGUGUAUACUCAUAAGAGUAUAUUAGCCCCAGCCUAUAUAUAUAUAGGUUGUGGCAACUAUACUCAUAUGAGUAUAGAGCCCUUUAUACUCAUAACUUUUUGACCGUUCAGAUAAAAAAUGUGAGGUUAGGAUGAGAAUGGUUAUGGUUAGCUUGAUAGUGGGCCCUCUAGGGUUAAGUGGGUGGUUGGUUGAAUAGUAUAAUCUAACGGGUGAAAAUGAUUAAAGAGUAGAUCAAACGGCUAAAAAACUUAUGAGUACAAGAGGCUCUAUAUCAUAAAAGUAUAGUAGCCGGACUCAUAUAUAUAUAUAUAUAUAUAUAUAUAUAUAUGAGUCCGGCUACUAUACUUUUAUGAUAUAGAGCCUCUUGUACUCAUAAGUUUUUUAGCCGUUUGAUCUACUCUUUAAUCAUUUUCACCCGUUAGAUUAUACUAUUCAACCAACCACCCACUUAACCCUAGAGGGCCCACUAUCAAGCUAACCAUAACCAUUCUCAUCCUAACCUCACAUUUUUUAUCUGAACGGUCAAAAAGUUAUGAGUAUAAAGGGCUCUAUACUCAUAUGAGUAUAGUUGCCACAACCUAUAUAUAUAUAGGCUGGGGCUAAUAUACUCUUAUGAGUAUACACCCCCUUGUACUCAUAAAUUUUUGACCGUUGAUUGAUGGGAUGUGUGGUUAGGAUGAUGGUGGUCCCCACUUAGAAUGAUAGUAGUCCCCUAGGGUUGAGUGGGUAGAUGGUUGAAUAGUAUGAUUUAACAGGUGAAAACUUAUGAGUAUAAGGAAGCUGAUACUCAUAAAAGUAUAGUAGCCAGACUCUCUCUCUCUCUCUCUCUCUCUCUCUCUCUCUCUCUNAUUUGUUCUAGAGUAUUUAAAGUAUUUAAAAAAUAAAUUUUAUAAUUUUUUGAUAUCAUUUAUAUAGUGAUCGAAGGGGGUCAAAAUCAAUAAUUUUAAUGAUGAUGGUGAGCAGUUCGCAAGUUUAACAGUAUAGAAAUGUUCAAAUUAUAUGAAAGUUUGAUAGAUAAUUUUUUGCAUUAUAUAAAACAAGAUUAAUAUUUUUGAACUAAAAUUUUAAUGUCAUAUUAAUUUUUUUUGUUAAAUUUUUAUUUUCAGUCGUUGAUUUUGAGCCAUUUCGAUCACUGAGUAAAUAAUAUCGAAAAAUUAUAAAAUUUAUUUUCUAUAAACUUCAAAUAUUCUAUAUCAAGUCUAACAAAGUUGAUCAUCGACUCAAAAAUUCUAGUACCAAAAAUAACCUGAUAGCAUAGAGACCUUCGUGAUUCUAAAAGCACGCAAGCAGAUUCUUAAAAUAGUAUAACAAAACCAAAACAUUAAUUUAAAAUAAAAAAAAAGAAACAAAGGAAAAAUCAACAACAAUGACGGGUACGGAUGCGUCACGAUGUCUCGUUGUACUUCGAAUUCAGUUUCACGUUUCUUUAUAUUAGUUUUUGGCUUUUUUGCCUCUACGGUCAUGCGCUCUAUGUUGGACAAAAUUUUAUGGGGCUUUUAUCAUACAUUUAAGGGUGAACUUUAAAUAUCAUCUAUGUGAUUUCUUCUUUUUUUUAUUUUAAUAUUUCGUAGUUUAAAGUAUAUUAAUUUAAUAUCAUGUGAUUUUAUUAAUUUUUUUCUUUUCGUCAUUCCUUUCUUUAAUUUUUUAUUAAAUCAUAUAUAAAAAAAACUUUAGAUACCUUAUCUAUAGUUUAUCGAAUAUUUAUUUUAGUAUCUUUUAGUUUUAACUUUGUCACUGAUUUAACCAAAAAAAUUAAUAGAGGGCAUAAAAAAAUGAAAAAAAUAAAACCACCGGGUACAAAAAUAAUACACUAUAACCACAUAGUAUUAAAGUGAGAGAGUGCGAAAUCACAUGCGUGGUAUUUGAAGUUUUUUUCUACAUUUAACCCUAAUUGAGCGUUGCAGUUCAAAAAAUUUCGAAAUCACUUUUAAUUUUUUUUUUUUAUCAUUGAUAUUGUAAAGAUUAUCGGAUCGUUGGCACUAAUCAGUAAUCAUUAAUCUAAAAAGUUCAAACGGUUAGAAAUACGCAACCAGUUCACUUCAAGCGUACAAACGUCGCGCCCAUGGGUUUCAACUAUGACUCGACCCAAUCAGUCUCACGCCACUUUAAACAUGACUUGGCUCAAUCCCAGCCUCACGCCAUAUCGAACGUGACUUGGUCCAACCUAACCUCCCGCCAUAAGAUAGGAUGCUAGCUUAUUUAAACCAACAAAAAUAAAAAUGUAUAAAACUUAUCUAAAUUACAAAUUAUUUUGAUUCACCUAUCUUCUUUUUUCUUUUCUUUUUUUUUAGAGAUAGGUAGCAUGCUACCCGCUUCGUUUAUUUCAUAUAGAAAUAAACUUAGCUGGAAAUGUGAAUCAACUAGGAUUCGAACUUGGGUCUCGAAUACCAACCACCAAACCCUUUGACAGUGCAUAUGAAAUUGAAAGUAGCAUCAGGGGGGCUGGCUAUAUUGCAUUUAAUUAAUGUGAACACAGGAAUGCUAACGCAAAGUAUUACGGCAGGAUAGUAAAAUUGUAUUCCGUCUCUUCUGAGUAGAUUCUUCUUUCCAUAAUCAUCAACAACUAUAUACUAAAAUAAGCAUCCAAAUUCUCUUUCAAUGCAAAUUUAUUUAUUUCGUAUUUAUAUGUAUAUGUAUAUGUAUAUAUAUACAUAUAUUCCCUAAGCUGCUGCUGCUGCUGCUACUGCUGCUGCUUCUCCUUCCUUGUUCCUUGAUUUUCUCAUCCACAACAGAGAUGGAAAAGAAAUGUGUUAUUCAACAAGGUACCAUCAUCAUCAUCAUCAUCAUCAUCAUAGAGCUUUUCUCUUUUCUAGGGUUUUGCCAUGGUUGGGGAGUAGAUGGGCACCUCAUGUCACGCCCCGGAUUGCACGAUCACCGGGCACGCCGACAAAUCGCCGUAUACAAGAAAUUUUUCCUGUAUACGAAGCGUAGCAGUACCUGUACAACACACAAGGCUACGAACAGUAGCGUAGAGCUGAAACUAAAACAAACUGAACAGGUAGAGAAAGAACGAGUCUAUAUACAUACAAAAAUCUCUAUACAAAAGCACUCGCUCCAACGAGUUCACAAAUAUGUACAUAGCUCCCAAAACACGAGCACACUACCUGCAGUAGGGGAAAACUGCUAACUCAGCACCAGUCGGGAAGGGCUCUAGCUCGCGACGCCCUUGCCGCGAUCCGCCUCAGAAGGAGCAGCAGCCGAGACCGAAGGUCCUGCGACAACGGUGGAAGAAAAGGGGCGUGAGAACUACUGUAAAAAUAAGUAGUCCUCAGUGGGUGCCGCCCUAAACCUCAUCGGUCAACCCACUAAGUCUACAGGGUAAGCAAGAAAAGUAAGGAAAAGCUGGAAACACUCUACAGCUAGAUACCACUAUGCUAUCCUGCUCUAGUACAACCCUCUGUAGAACAAGUAAAAACUGACCCAAUUUUACGUGGGACUGUGAUACACCCGUCCCGCCUGUCGAAGCUACACUAACAACUACCCCUGGGGUAGCUAGUGGAGAGCGAGUCCAACAACUAGGACACAGCGACACCAACGCAAAAGCACUAAGCCAGACUCCGGAGCGGCACUCGUGGGCGCGAACCAACCGAGUAUGCAAGCGUAUCUCUGUCGAGCUCAAUCAAGCUCUCACAGGCAUAAUUCAAAUAAACAGGGUCUAACCACCAAUAUACCUCGUGCCCUUGGCACAAUCUGUAACCAAAACAGUAAUCUGGGCCCACCGUCAACCCCCGACGGUCCCCGACAACACCAACGGUCUGACUCUACUGUAACAAAGCUCGGCAUCCACAGCACGAGCGUGGAAAUAAGCUACACUACCCUGGGUAUCCGUCACACUCCCCCGCGACGAUACCGCACAGUACGGCUCCUAGAGCUAAAUCUGGUAGUGUAAUACAAAUGACGAUCAAACCGUGGUUUUCUCCUAAGUCAAGUCCACGUCCAACAUGUAUAAUUUAAAUACUUGCUAAACAUGCUCCAAAACUCAGAUUUAACAUACUAUGAUCCAUGAAUUCGAGCUAUCAUAUACUAGUCAAAAGCUGAAAUUAUACUUGUCGACUAUUAUGCGCUUAGGAUGAAAAGCCGAUGAUUAACCCACCUCGAUCGCUAAUCUCCUGGCAACGAAGAGAGUGGCCGAGUCCGCGAAAACCCAACGCGUCCCGCUCAAAACCGAAUCCACCUGCUGCGGAAAAUAAGACCAUGGAUGACUCAAUCCACGAAACUGUCCGAAAAACAGUGGCUGAGAAACCUUUAAAUCCGAUCAAGCUAACCUUUCCAAAUCCAGCAAACUUGGACUCUGUGGAUUCUUCUCGCAGUCUAGAAUCCAGCAAACCCGAUUUCGUCGCGAUCCGUCGCUCCUACGUCGCGCACGAGCCGAAGUACCGAAGGCCGACGCUGGGAUCUGCAGAUCAACACCUCAGAUUCUGCUCGACAAACAGCAGCGCAAUAGGACUAGGUUUCGAGCAAGUAAACCUCAUCUAAAAAUUCCAAUCUUGGGCUCAGAAUCUUCGUCUCGAAGCCGCGAAUCCAGUAAAUCAAGUUUCGCUGAAUUCCGACGCUCCUACGCAGAGAACAAGCCAAAACACUGAGCGUCGACGCUGGAAACUACGGUUCAGCAAUUCAGAAUCUGCUCGGCAAACAGCAGCUCAGUAAAAAGGGGUUUCUACAGGGCAAACCUUCUCCAAAUCGGGCGAGUAAGGAUCCUCUGGAUUCGUCUCGAAGUCCCGGAUCCAAUGACGCAAGAAUCACCGCGAUCCGACGCUCCUACACAGAGAACAAGCCAAAACGCCAACAGUCGACACUGGAAUCAGCAGCAGCAGCAGAGAAGCUCGAUAAUGGAGUAGUUUGAAGUAACCGAAGGGAUUUCGGUGGCCUACUCACCUCGACAACCGCCCUGGGAGCAGCACCACGUCGAGGAUGGUAAGGGACAGCAGUCGCCCGGCCUCCUCGCAGCGUCACAAUGUUGAAAGCACCCUCGAUCCGCUCCGCGGCGCGUCGUCGACGAAGCUUGAGCUUCUCCCUUGAGCUCCUCCACCACCUCUACUCAGCCAAGGGGGAAGAGGAAGAAGCACAGCAGAGGAGGAAGAAGCCCUCCCCCCUCUCUCCUCCCUGCUCUUAAGGUAAGGGGAAAAGUGGUGACAAGACUAGAGAGGAAAAAGUCAAACAGCACCAUACCUGUCAAAGUGUACCGGUACAGCUCACUGAAAAUCUGCUAUUUCGCAGAUCUUCAAGAUACACGCUGCUCUCAAGUUCCCACAAGGCCCGUUUGGCGUCCACUUCGCGCCAACGCGACCCGGACUUGACCCGACACUCUCCAGAGCUGUCGACAAGCCUCAGCUAAAAUUCCCGGUCUCUACACCUCAUUAUUUGCCAAAUAGCACAGGUAUCUUUUUAUUAUAUAUUCCCCCUUACACAUUUAUUUGUGCAUGCUCCAGCAUCUAAAGUUCAUUAUUUGGCUUUCUCAAAAAAAAAAAAAAUCAUUACUUAUUUGGAGAUGUAAAUGGGGCGGAUCCAGAGGCAGGAGGGGCCUCCCGCUUCGUUUCUUAUAGCGAAUCAUGAUAGAUUGAAAGGGAAGCGAAUUUUGAUGAAUAUUUAGCGAAUUAGGCGAAUCAAGGGAAGGAAGGAAUCCCCACCUCCUACUCCAUUUUCUUAGCGGAUCAGAGCAGAUUCAAACGGAUUUUUUUUUCUUUAUUUUUGUCCCCCAUUUACCGCUCCAUUGAGGACGGACCGGGGCAGUAGCUCUGCUGACCCGAAUCCAUUUGCAUUCUUAUUUAUUUAAUUUAGUCCAUGUCAUAUUUAAACCUCUCAAAGUGCCCCCCCCCCAACACUUCUUUUGUACCCCUUCGACGAGGAGUUGUAGAGAUUACAAUCCUUUCGGGACUCCACAACUCUAGUCUUUCUUCAAUUAUUUAUGGCAUCCAUUUAACUUCUAAUUUUGUUUAAAUCGAGUUUUUAUAAUAAACUAAGUUAAAAAUUUUGUUAAAUUUCACGGCUCAUUUUAGCUAUUCGUAUUAUUUAAUGUGGUUUUUAUGCACUAUAUAAGUAGUUUAAACUGUUAAAUUUGAUUGAGUUGUCAAUCAAUUUGGCAAGAUUUCUAAUUUAUUUAUCUAGCUAAAAUCACUUGAUUCCGAAAAAAUAAAAAUAAAAUAAAAGUUAAGGAGGUCUCAAUUGAGGGGAUCUCCCUACAUUUAUACCUUUUAUGUAGCAGUAGAAACUGUGCAAUUGAGUCAAUAUUUCUAUAAUGUGUGAGAAACUCUGCUUCUUUAGGUAUCAUGGUCAUGUUAUAUCUUUUUUAAACAUAAAUUUUCCGUAAUUAGAUUCCCCAACGGACGGACUCUUUAUAUUUUUGUCAUUUUUGGUUAGCUUGCGAUGCAUCGCAGUCAGAAAAAGAAGCAGCAAAUAAGUUAACAUUGAGAUAGAAUAUUUGUUUUCAAAUUGUUAUAUUUGGUUUAGAUUUGUAGUUAUCUAAAUUGAGGAUAAAUCCUAAUCUAAUUAGGAUUAGAUAUUAUUUAGAUUUAAUUUUGCAUAUAUAGAUUAUAAUUAGGAGUGUAAUUCUAAUAUAAUUAGAAUUAGACUCUAGUUAGAAGACAUGUAUUAUAUAUACAUGCUACGGCCAAGUUAAUGAUGCCGCAACCAAAUUAAGAUGCCACGUUCUAAUUAAGCCAAGCAAUGCAUUUUGGUUCCGUAAGAGCAAGAAGCCGCGGCCAAAAUUAAUGAAGUCGGGGCAUUGAAAUUAAGCCAUGCUCUAAUUAAGAAGGAGCUUAAAUUAAAGGGCCUAAGAGAUUGUGCCGGAGGCUACGCAGGAAGGGCAUUAUGGUGCGGAUUGCACAAGGAGCCGUAGCCCUUUUAAUUAUGCAGAGCUCUAAUUAAACCAUGCACAUUGGUGGUGAGUUGGCAUUUAUUGGUCCGUACGGGUUUGAGAAAGAAGCUGUUUCUUGGAGUUGCUUGUUGCGGCGUUUCGGAUCUAAUUACGUUUUGGUCUUUUGAGAGAUUCAAUUUUGUACUCCGCCUUUUCAACAUUAAUAAAAUAUUUGCUCCGUCUUCGCCCGUGGACGUAGGCCGUUAGCCGAACCACGUAAAUAUCAGUGUACUCUUUCCUUAUCUUUUUUUUCUGCAUUAAAUUAUUUUCUGGAUCUCUUUUUCGCCGUUCCGAUUUUAACAAACUGGUAUCAGAGCCUUUCUAUUCCCUUUGAGGAUUAAGAUGACGACGAAAUUCGAGAUUCAGAAAUUUGACAGGACCAACAGUUUCGCAUAUGGCAAGUCAAGAUGCGUGCUAUAUUGACGCAGCAAGGAUUGCAGAAGGCACUGUUGGGAAAAGAAAAGAUGUCUGAUUUAUUGACGGCGGAGCAAAAGGAGGAGAUUGAUGAUAAAGCUCUUACGGCAAUACAAUUAUAUUUAUCCGAUGAGGUAUUGCGCGAGGUCUUGGAUGAAAAGACCGCUGCAGGGCUUUGGCUUAAAUUGGAGUCUCUCUAUAUGACGAAGUCUCUCACCAACAAGUUAUAUUUGAAGCAACGUCUCUUCAUGUUGCGCAUGGCGGAAGGUACCUCUAUUAAGUCGCAUUUAGAUGAAUUUAAUUCUAUCAUUAUGGAUCUCCGCUCGAUAGAUGUUAAAAUCGAGGAGGAAGAUGAAGCCCUUUUAUUAUUAUGUUCUCUACCGCCCUCUUAUAAGAAUUUUCGUGAGACUUUCUUGUUUGGACGAGAUACUCUAUGUCUCGAUGAUGUUAAAUCCUCUUUACUUUCAAAAGAGAGAAUUGACAUGCAGAUAAGCAACGAGACAGGUGGAGCUUCAGGACAAGGUUUGGUCGCUAGAGGGAGGUCUCGGGAGAAGGGUUCCGGUAAUAGAGGUACAUCUAGAUCAAAGUCAAAGCACAGGAAUCUGAUUUGUGGUUAUUGUAAGAAGAAGGGUCACAUAAAAGCUGAUUGUUUCAAGUUGAAAAAUAAAGAGCAGCGGAAGAAUAACGGUGAUAAAAAUCAAGGUCAGAAAAACACCAAUACUGAAGCAGAAGCAAGUGUUGCAGCAGGAGAAUCAGAUAAAAAUGAUAUCGUCUUUACAGUUACGGAUAAGACACGCAGACAGGAUGAGUGGCUUAUGGACUCCGCAUGUUCUUUUCAUAUCUGUACACAUAGAGAAUGGUUCUCGACGUACAUGCCUAUUGAAGGUGGAGAUGUAUUGAUGGGAAAUCACUCUAAGUGCACAGUUAUUGGAAUUGGCACUGUUCGGGUACGAAUGUUCGAUGGAGUAGUGAGGACUAUAUCUGAGGUUCGGCAUGUUCCGGAUAUGAGAAAAAAUCUGAUCUCAUUGGGUACACUUGAUACUAAAGGCUUUAAGUAUUCUUCAGCUGAUGGAUUAAUGAAGGUCGCUAAAGGGAAUCUUGUAGUGAUGAAGGCCAACUUGUCCGACAUGUUAUAUGUUCUACAGGGUUCCACUGUGACAGGUUCAGCAGCGGUGACUUCUUCUUCUAUGUCAGAUUCGGAUAGCACCAAAUUAUGGCAUAUGCGACUGGGCCAUAUGAGUGAAUAUGGUAUGAUAAAGUUGGGCGAGAGAGGUUUACUUGGUAGUCAGAGUUUAGAAAAGUUGGACUUCUGCGAGCAUUGUGUUUUUGGCAAACAAAAGAGAGUCAGCUUUAGGGCCGCAGUUCACCGAACAAAAGGUACUCUGGACUACAUCCAUUCUGAUCUUUGGGGACCCUCUCGUACUCCUACUCAUGGUGGUGCUAGAUAUAUGUUGACUUUUAUUGACGAUUAUUCUCAUAUAGUGUGGGUGUUCUUUCUGAAAAGUAAGGAUGAGGUGUUUAAUUAUUUCAAACAGUGGAAGUCAUGAUUGAGAAGCAAACUGAAAAGAAGAUCAAAUGAUUAAGGACCGACAAUGGUUUGGAAUUCUGUUCGUCGGAGUUUGAAGAAUUUUGCAAGAAUGAAGGGAUCGUUCGACAUAAGACCGUUAAGCAUACUCCACAGCAGAACGGGGUGGUCGAAUGGAUGAAUAGAGCUCUUUUGGAGAGAGCCCGUUGUAUGCUCUCUAAUGCUGGCUUAGCGAAGAGUUUCUGGGCAGAGGCGAUCUCUACGGCAUGCUAUUUGGUGAAUCGAUCUCCACAUUCAGCACUUGAUUGCAAAACUCCGGAGGAGGUAUGGUCUCGCAGCCCUUCUGAUUAUUCUAAUUUGCGAAUAUUUGGUUGUCCUGCUUAAAUUCAUGUCAAUGAAGGCAAGUUAGAACCUAGGGCUAAAAAGUGCAUUUUUAUUGGUUAUGCAUCAGGGGUUAAUGGAUAUAGAUUGUGGUGUCCUGAAUCGUCUAAAUUAAUCAUUAGUAGAGAUGUCACAUUUGAUUAAUCUGCUAUAUUAUAUCAUAACCGUAAUUCUUCAGAUGAGACCCCGAGUGCUAGCAAGCAGGUGGAGGUAGAGACAGAUGGUAUAGUUCAGUCGCAGGAUUCUUCUCAGUCAGAACAAGUUCAGUCGACAAACACCUCAGUAACUGAAACCCCACAAGUUGAGAGGCAGAGCAUUGCUACAGGCAGAGCGAGGAGACAGAUUAAACCACCGCAGAGAUACGGUUAUGAAGAUAUGGUUGCGUACGCUCUUUCAGUGGCACAAGUGUCACGCCCCGGAGUCCUUUUUUGGUUAAAACACAACAGAAUUUUUUUUUUUUGAAAACUUGACCCUAGGGUAUGCCAGAUCCGCCACAAAUACAGGGAAUCCACUGUUCACACGGACAGAGUCUCCCCUGUAUUUGCACGGCGUCGCACAAGUACAAGAGUAUAACCAGGAUACAACCACCAUAAUGAAUAAACAACAAUCACUAUUCAUUCACCAUUCAUCACAGAUUUACCAUUCAUAGCUCAAUUCAUAAUUCCACGACUAUUAGUUAAAACGUUUCUAACUAGAAACGGGUUUUGAAAUACUAAGUUAUGAAAACUACGAAAAACCUUUUGAAAGCUGUUUCCCACACGAAAACCUUUUCUUUUUAAAACACGCUACUACGAGAGGUAGAAAACUAUUUUUCCUUUUCAAAACCGUAAAUCCUUUAUCAAUUUUUAGAAAUUCAGAUUACACAAUUGUAAUAACAAACUGAACCAAUAACUAUCUAAGUCAAAUAAUACGAAAUAAUGAAAGUAAUAGCAAAACUGAACAAACCGGGGCGGAAGCUCUAUCGACUGCUACGAACGUGUCUCACGUCUCGUCUCACAUCUCACCACUCGCAAUACCUGAAAAAUGGUCGGGGAGGUGAGAACAUGUAAACAUGUCUCCUCUCCCAGUGGGUACCGCAAGCCGAUGAGGCGAGGAGUACUUACUGGAUCAGGAAGAGAUAUAUAACAAUAUGGUAAACAAAUACUGAUGCUGAUAUAAAGAAACUACAAUAGCUAUAACAGAUAAAGAGGAAGCAAUAAACAAUACUGCUACUGUAAGGAAUACAAAGCCAAGUAUGCCUCAAGGUAACCAAACCAAAACUGUACCCAAUCUGAUGCCUGCUAUAUUGGUCCGCAGACCUCAAGCGCUGCCUGUCACUGAACUGCACCGACCUGAUUCACCCGCCCCACAGGACGACUUAUCCGGAUAAGCACACCUCCGGUCUGUGGCCAAACUGACCCGGUGUCGUGAAUACCCCCAAGUGCUGUGACUAAAUCAUGCUGGUAUGCUCAAUACAAAACCGACUGAAGCCGGUGCCUAGGCCGAAGCCAGAAACAAAGGCGUACAACGCCAAACCACGAUCAACCAGAUCAAAACACAUGACAAGAGAGUCGAUGUGUUGCCUGGAUCCAAGGUCCACAGAGUCCAACUGACCAACAAGGUCCCUGAUAAGAAGUACGAGAAUCGACCAACCAGGUCAACAGAUACGGAAUGCACAACCAACCAACUAGAUCAACAGAUACGGAAUGCAACAACCGACCAACUAGGUCAACAGAUACGGAAUGCAACAACCGGCCAACUAGGUCAACAGAUACUGAAUGCAACAACAGACCAAGUAGGUCAAGAGAUACGCAUGAAGAUAGAACUACUCUACUCCUACUCAGGAUACUAAGCACGCAAACAACGAGUAGAGUAUAACGAAUAAACAAGAGUGCAAGGCUCAAUAUACUAUGCGAUAGUAACAACAGAAGAGUAAGGGUAAGAAACCAUCACCAAGCGUGCACCACUGUACUGACGUCGGAUCGAAGUACCCACCUGUAAGGAUGUCGCGUCUGUCUCCUGACUGCAAAAGAAUGUCGACAGGACCUAUAGAGGGUCCACCGGGUUAGUAUCUAACCCACCACUAAUAACCACAAUAUCCACAACCCCACAAACAAUUUCAUGAAGAUCGGUUUUCCAAUACCGAUUACCGUAACUCGCCGAAAGUCCCGAAAACCACACCGGGACGCCGUCGGGACCCACUAAGUGUCCCGAAACUCACCGACUCGUGUCACGAGUCAACUGCUGCCCCAAAACACUCCAAUUUGGAUGUUUUGGCGGCAAACACAAGAUAACACCACUACACAAUUAUCGCCGGAUAAUUGUACGAAUCCGGGUUCCCGAAAGUGUCUAUUUCGACACCGGAACCCACCGUCGCUCACCCAUCAUCACCGAACCCACAAAAUGAUGAUGGUGACCAGCCAACAAGGCCGAGCAAUAAUUUCGCCGAAAAACGCGCCGAAAUCGACUCCUCGAUUUUCGCGAAGGCUAUCGGAUUAUGGACAAUCAGUCCAGAGGUCACCACACACACACAUGCACUGCCCACAGUAGCCACAAGGUGUACAAUUGCACAAAAGCCCCUCAAUUUACAUAAAAUCCUAUCAUUUUAUGUAAAUUGGGCGAUUAAGUGGCUCGUUCACGCAAACCGAGAACUUCUAAGGUCCGCCGAGACAUGUACUGCUUGGUCUCGAUGUACCGUAGGCCGUGCUCAUGAUCCGGAAGACAACGGCUCACUGUGGGAAGCGCGGGAGCAACCUGAAGGUUCAGCGAACAGCGCGCAGUCGGGGAAAAGCGCGCCAAACAGGGCUAACCGGGCACUGUUGAUCCAAAGUGAGGUGAGCACUGUGAUCAGCACUGACCAUCGAUCACCGUGCUCACCUCCGGAGGCAUUGGAACAGCCUUGGAUCGCCGGAACAACACACACAAUCCAGAAACAGCAGCCAAAAAGGCUCCACGGGGUCGGCACUGCCAAAACAACAGAACGGAGUCUCCGCGACAGAAUCAAAGGUGAGCACGAUGAUCAGCAAUUUGCCAUGAUCAUCGUGCUCCCUUCCGUAGAGAUCGGGGAGGCUCGGGUUGCUCGGAACAGUAAACCAUCCAGAAUAAGCCCUAUUUCGGGCUUGGCCGGAGCAAGCUUGCUCCGGCCGGCUACCGGCGGGGUGCGCGCGGGCCAGGGAAGGUUGCGGGGGAGAAGAAGAGUUCCAAGCUCACCUCAAGUGGCGGCUGGAAGCGGCGGCGGCGGCGGCCGAACAAGGCAAUCCCACACCAGUUAGGGCUCAGAUUCCAGCGAAGCUACGGCCAUGGCGGCGGCCGGGGCUCCUCGGGGACGACGGCGGCAGGUCCCCAGAGGCUGGAGGAGGAGGAGGGAGGUGGCACCGGUGGCUCCCGGGCGGCACCGGUGCGCGGGGCGGAAGCAGGCCAAGGUUAGCCCGAGUAGGCUGGGGUGGCUGCGGGUUGGCCGAGGUGGCGGCGGCGGCCAGCAGGGGCGGUGGCUGCCGGCGCGCAGGGGUCGCCGGGCUCCGGGGGAGGCGUCGCGGCCGAGCCAAGGUGGCGGCAGCGCGAAGGAGAGACUGCCAAGUCUGCUCGUCCCGAGCAGAUCCGGGGUGGCAGCACCCGGUCUAGGUGGCAGCGGCGGCGCUCGGGGCGGCGGUGGCCGGCGGGGGAGAUUCCGACGAGGUCGGGGCGAUGCUGGCAGGGUACAGGGAUGCAAAUGCGGUCUUAGAUCUGUCCUCAACCCGAGAGGAAGAGAGAGAUAGAGAUGGAUAGGGAGAAAAGAGGCUGAAGUGGUGGUGGCUGGCCAGAGAUCAAUCGGCGGCGGCCGGGAGGCGUACGGCUAGGGCAGGGAAGAGGGAUGAAGGUGGCAGGGUGCGGCUAGGGCAGUUGGGGGCUAGGGUUAGGGUUAGGUAGAUCAAAAACCCUAAAAGCUCUAUAUAUACCAAGGUGCCGAUUUGCGAGUUAGCCCGCAAAACCUCAGUAUUUCAAACUGAAUCCCUCACAGCGCGUGAACAACGCGAGAAUACCCCUCCACGUGCAAUCUCGCGUAAAACGGUACAUAAAAUGUUGCGACUUUUGCGAAAUUACUGUUUUGCCAUCGCCGACCUCUCCUCGAUCAACGUGCCAUCUCCGCAGAUCCGUCCUUCAGAUUUGCGAACGGAUAGCACCAGUGUAAUCAGCACCACGGAGACCACAAACCUACCAUUUUGGUUCAUCUCGAUCGGUCGCGGAUUCGCGACGAGAACCGUUCCAACUCUCCAAUAGAAGAAACUACGCACAAAUACAUAUAAAACAUGUAUUUUUGAAUUUUCUUGAAAUCCGUGCUUCAAACUCAAAUUUCGUCAGCGCCAGUAGUUCCAAAAUAGCUGAACCCGUCGAAACGAGCUAUUGGACUGCUAUGAACAGAGUCCGAUACGAGCCUGAAGCCAACUUCACAACGUGGCUUCACCGGAAAAACCAAGUUACUAUUCACUUAAGUGAAAAAUAAAGAUCGCGUAACUUCUCCGUUCUAACUCGUUUUCUCCUGAAACUUGACGAGUGCUUAUGUAAUUAAAUUACACACAUAAACAUCAUCAAUAGAGAGUUUAGUUGCACUGUCAAAAUCUCAGUCCUUACAACAAGACACAGAAGAAGAAGGUGAACCUUCCACAUAUAAUCAAGCUAUUUCAGGUGCCAGUUCUGCAGAGUGGUUGGUGGCGAUGAAUGAGGAGAUGGAGUCUCUCCAUAAGAAUCGCACAUGGGAGUUGGUAAAACCGCCUACAGGCAAGAAAAUUGUCGGCUGUAAGUAGGUCUUCAAGAAAAAGGACGGAAUCCCCGGCGUGGAAGAUACAAUGUAUAAAGCUCGUUUAGUUGCUAAGGGCUACAGUCAGGUAGAAGGUGUGGACUUUAAUGAUAUUUUCUCACCCGCCGUAAAGCAUACUUCUAUUCGUGUUCUUUUAUCGUUAGUAGUCAUGAAUGACCUGUAUCUUGAGCAGCUUGAUGUUAAGACAGCUUUUCUGCAUGGAGAACUUGAGGAGCAAAUUUAUAUGAAACAGCCGGAGGGAUUCAUUGUUGAAGGGAAGGAGGACCAUGUUUGCCUGUUAAAGAAAUCGCUUUAUGGCUUAAAGCAGUCUCCUCGACAAUGGUAUAAGCGGUUCGACUCCUUUAUGACAGGUCACGGAUAUUCCAGAAGCAAGCGUGACAGUUGCGUGUAUUUCAGAAAGCUUGAUAAGGGAUCUUUCAUAUAUUUGUUGCUCUAUGUCGAUGAUAUGUUAAUUGCUUCCAGCGACAUAGUUGAGAUAAAUAAAUUGAAGGCUUUACUUAAGGGUGAGUUUGAGAUGAAAGAUCUAGGUGCUGCUAAGAAAAUCCUUGGUAUGGAAAUUAAGAGGGACAACAAGUCAGGACUACUGCAUUUGACACAAGAGAAAUAUAUAGAGAAGAUUUUAAAGCGUUUCGGGAUGACAGAGGCAAAAUCGGUGAGCACUCCUUUUGCGGCGCAUUUCAGACUUUCCGCCGAGGCAUCACCGCAGUCUAAUGAUGAACGGGAGUACAUGUCACAUGUUUCCUAUUCUAAUGUUGUCGGGAGCAUCAUGUACGCCAUGGUUUGCACAUGGCCGGACAUCUCCUACGCAGUGGCAUGGUUUGCAGAUAUAUGACCAAUCCUGGUAAGGCUCAUUGGCAGGCUGUUAAGUGGAUUUUGAGAUACUUACGAGGUACCACUAGCACUUGUUCGGAGUUUGGGAGGUGUAAGGAUGGUGUGGUCGGAUAUGUUGAUUCAGAUUUUGCAGGUGAUUUGGAUAGGAGGAGAUCACUUUCAGGUUAUGUAUUCUCUAUUGGCGGAUGUGCAGUUAGUUGGAAAGCUUCACUACAACCUAUUGUCGCCUUGUCUACGACGGAGGCGGAAUAUAUUGCUAUGACAGAAGGUGUGAAGGAAGCUAUGUGCUAAGAGGCUUAUUUGGAGAGCUUACUUCUUAUUGGGAUCCGACGAUUGUUUAUUCGGACAGUCAAAGUGCUAUUCAUUUGUCUAAAGAUCAAAUAUUUCAUGAGAGGACAAAGCACAUCGACGUAAAAUUUUACUUUGUUCGGGAUGUGAUUGAGAAACACACGGUGACUGUUAAGAAAAUUGAUACUGAGGACAAUCCGGCGGAUAUGCUUACUAAAUCCCUUACGAUUGCCAAGUUCAAACAUUGUUUGGACUUGGUGGCAGUUAGCAGCACUUGAGGCCCUAUGGGGUGUUUGGAGAAGAUGGAAUACGGAGCGUUAAGGAGCAUUGAGGCGAAUUAAAUUCAAGGUGGAGUUUUGUGGCGACCUCGACAUAGCGACGGCUAAACUGCAAAUUAAACCAAUGUAGAGAUUGUUAUAUUUGGUUUAGAUUUGUAGUUAUCUAAAUUGAGGAUAAAUCCUAAUCUAAUUGGGAUUAGAUAUUAUUUAGAUUUAAUUUGGCAUAUAUGGAUUAUAAUUAGAAGUGUAAUUCUAAUAUAAUUAGAAUUAGACUCUAGUUAUGAGACAUGUAUUAUAUAUACAUGCUACAGCCAAGUUAAUGAU
rnacentral:lncRNA from 1 species